CGCAACCAGCUAGAAACCAAGGUGAUUCUACAUUUUCAAAGAAGAAAAAAAAGAUUUCUGAUGCAAGUGAUUUUUCUACUUCAUUUAAUGAUGCUGCCGCUUUAUUGGCAGCAAAUAUACGAACCGUUGGCCUUGAAAUCAGUAAGAGUAUUGCAUCCGAAGUGGUAAUUCAACAAAAGUCAGAAAUGACCAUUCAAGAAAGUGCUCUGAAAUUAUAUCCAACAUUAUGUGAAGUGGAAGGUUUAACUGAGGAUGAACGCUAUCGAGCAUUGAGCAAAAUUCCAGAUCAUCCAAUGCAAAUGCUCAUUUUCUUUAGUUUACCUUCUGCUGUGCGAUUGGAAUGGUUCAGAAGAUUUCUUGGUGACCAUUAAAAAUCAUGGUUGUAUUGAUAUUUUGGUAACUUUUUGUGUUUGUAAUAUUUGGAUGGUAUAAUGACAUGAUAGAAUGUCAUUACAAUGAUGUAACUUUUUGAUGUUGUAAAAUUUUAAAACAUACAGAUUAUGACAUAUAAACUAAUGAAAUCAUGUUUUAUUGUAGAAUAAUUAAAUUAUUUGUUUCAGUAAUGAUAUUUUAACACAUUAAAUAUGUAUUGUAGUUUAAAAAUAAUAAGUAGAUUAUAUAUAUUUUUAUAGUAUUAUAUAUUUUGAGUUUUUAAUUCAUAUAAUAAUAAUUUUAUUAAGAAUGUUAUUAAAUUAUAUUUUUUAUUAAAUUAUAUUUAAUAAUAAUUAUGUUAAAAUAUGGUUAAACUAUUUAUUAUUUUUAUUAAAUUGCUUUUUAAUACUAAUCUUAUUAAAAUUUAAUAACAAUAAAAAUAAUCAUUUACCUUAAAAAAAUUCUGCUAAGGGUAUUCUGGUCAUUUUAGUUUUUUUCCUUAUGCUAUUACAACAUCAUUCCAUUCAACCAAACACAAGAAUACUAUUACAGUUCUAUUCCAUUCCAUUCAACCAAACAGUUGAAUUACUUAUUAUAGCUCUAUUCCAUUACAGCUCUAUUCAAUUACAGCCCUAUUCCAUUACAGCCAACCAAACGUACUGUAAGACUUGAACACCUGUGAAUUUCAUUGAAUUGGUAAUACAUAGUAUAAUGAAAGUUGAGAUAGAUGAUAUAUGCAUAUGAUACAUGAUUAAAUAUUGUGAUCAUCCAUGAUAAAAUUGUUUAUGUUAUAUGCUUGUAUGGUUAACAUGUUUGGUGUAAAUGUUGAAGCUUUGGCCAAGUGUGGUUUGAUUAUGCCAUGUUUAACUUACUUAAUUUGUGAUGAAAUGGUAAGUUGAGCUUUACAUUAUACGAACUUACUAACCAUUUAUGCUUACUCUAUGUUAUUUUUCAUGUUUUAUAGUGAAUCGAAAGCUUAUUCGAGUUGGAAGCUUGUAGGAGUUAAUCACACUAUCCAUUGGAUGAAUCGAUAGAUUUUGCUGUUUCUAGUUUUGGUUAUAAUGGCAUGUAUAGGUAUUUUGUUUGAUGAUGUAGCCAUUUGUUUUGGCUUGUGUUUAUGGUAUUUUAGGUGAUGAAAUGGUACUAAUUUAGGCAUGUAUAUAUUUGGUGUUAAAAUGAUUGAUAUCAUGGCUUAUGAUGCUUGAAUGAUUGAAGAUGGAAUGGUAGUUAAAGUGUAUGUUAUAAAUGGUCUUGUGAUAUGUUUCAAUGUGGUGAUUUGGUAUAUUUGUUAUAGAUGACAUAUAUGGCUAUUGGUUCUAGAUGUUAAAUGCAUAUUUCGUACUUUUGGUGUGAAAUUUGAUAGAUAAACAAAGUGGUAAGUUUUGACAUAAACUUAGUUAUAAAUUAGUUAAACUUUUUUUCCAAAUUUUGCAUAUGGUUCUUUUAGGCAUAUUGGUUGUAUGAAUAUGAGACUUUUAGGCAUAUUAGUUGAACUUUUAUGCCGUGUGUCCCUUGUAGCUUUCUAAGGUUGCAAGUCAGGCUGUUACAUGGCCUAGCACAUGGCCUGUCACACGGGCGUGUGGCUUAGCCGUGUGACUCAAGUCCGUCAGUUACAAGGACACGAACAUGGGCUGGGACACGGCCGUGUGUCCCUACUUCGAAUGUCCACAUGACCUGUGACAUAGGCAUGUCUCUCGGCUGUGUGACCCUUACAGUUUGAAAAUUUUCAACUUUUUCUAAAAAAUUCUAUAUGUUUCCUAUUUAGUCCCGACUUGUUCCUAAUGUGUUUUUAGGGCCUUGAGGGCUUGAAUAAGGAACAAUAUGUAUGCCUUUGAUUGGAUUUUCUAUGAUUGAUGAUGUGAAUUAAAUGUUUUAAAAUUUUGAUUAUGUUGAACUAAAAUCUCUAAUAAUGCUCUGUAACCCUAUUUUGGUGACAGAUAUGGGUUAGGGGUGUUAUACCUUCACUUCAAGCAAGUCUGGACAGUGAGGUCAGAAAAUAAAAUGUCUUUGCCGACUCAUUAUUUGAGUGGAUCAUAAGAUCCUACUAGAAUAGCGACUAGCCAAUUGAUGGGAAACUAAAGCGAGAGUUAAUGGGGAUUAACAAAGCGAGCUAACCACCCAUAAUUAGAUUUGGUUAAGUCUAUAUUUUGAUCUCUUGUAUUUUCAUUUGCUUAUGUUAUUUUAUUUUAUUAUCGUACUAUAAAUAAAUCAAAGUACUAAUUAUAUCUUUUGGUGUUUAGGUUAAAAUUGACCUAGUACUAGUCUCCCUUGGGUACGAUCCUUGGAGUACUCACCCACUCCGUUUUAACUAUAUUACAACUGAACUCAUAUACUUGCGAAUACUGCCUCAUUGAUAUAUCUUUCACUGCAGUAUUCACACUCUAGAUGUUAGUACGUCCGGAGGUGGUCAAGUUGUUGGCACCAUUGUUGGGGAGGCAAGGUCACUAGUUUAAUUUUAAUUUUUGCACCCAUAGUAGGGGAAGACCUAUUAUAGCAGUUGCAGAUCUAGAGAGAAUAAUCCAAAGAAAUCAUCAAUAACACCAGCAAUAGCAGUGGAUGCAAGACCCACUUCCACCAAUUGUAGGCAACAUAUCGUGCGAAAAUCCACUGUUUGAGGAUGCUAACAACAACACUUUAGGAAACCCACUAGCACCACCACAGGUACCUGCAAAAGUACACAUGGCUCGCAACGAACGAACACUAAAAGAUUAUGCAUUACCAGGUUUGGACAUGGUUUAGGAAAGUAUAACAAGGCUGGCUAUUACAGCACAUAAAUUUGAGAUUAAACCAGAAAUGAUUCAAAUGAUCCAGAAUAAUUUGCAAUUGUAGGGGUACAAUGACAAAGGAUCCGAUCAACACUUAAAAUGGUUUCUGAAACUUUGUGAUACUUUUAAGUAUAAUGGGGUCACAUAUUAUCCUAUUCGCCUUCGGUUGUCCCCCUUUUCUUUGAUUGAUAAUGCCUUUUCUUGGUUAGAUUCGCAGGCACUAAUGUUUGUCACGACAUGGGAUGAGCUCAUUGGAAAGUUCUUGCAAAAGUUCUUCCCUAUUAGCAAAGCGAUUCAACUAAGAAGAGAGAUUGUUGUCUUUAGAUAGAUGAAAGGAGAAAUUUUUAUGAGGCUUAGGAAUGUUUUAAAACAUUGAUUCAAAAAUGCUCACACCAUAAGUUACCUAAAUGGAUGCAUUUGCAAGUGUUGGAUGCAAAUGCAAGAUUAGAAGUAGAUGAAGCAGUAGCAGGAGCCCUCAUAAACAAAAUGUACGAGGAUGACAUUUGGCUAGAAACCUGCUUUUGUGAAAGUUAUACAAGAGGAUGACAAGUAUCACCAGCUGGAGGAUAAACUUAACCGUAUUGAAUCUACUAAUAAAUCGUCUAUGAGUGGAGAAGGCAAACCGCUCUUCCACUACAUCAACAAUUCUACCAAGAUGUCAACUAUAUUGGAAAUAAGGGUGCAAACCCCUAUUAAAAUACCAAAUGAAGAGAUCACCCAAACCUGAGAUGGGGAGGCAACCAUGGAUGAGGUAAUAAUAUGAACCAAGCUAAAAACACUAACUAUCAACCUCAUUAUUUGUAGAAUCCUCAGGAUAGGGCCAACCCAGGUGACCAUACAUCAUGUGGUCAACGACUGGAUAGAAUCGAGGGAGAGAUGCAAUCAAUGAGAACGGACGUAAAGUAGUUGAAAUAUAAGUUUUUCAAUUCAACUAGAACAUUGAGUAAACUUGGAGAUAAAAUGAGCCAAUUAAUGAGCAUGAUGGGUUGUAACACCCCAUACCCGUAACCCAUAUUGGAGUGGAAUACGAGGCAUUACUUAACUCGAUCUCAUGCACACAAAUGUUUCCCAAGUCACCGAGACUUGAUCCAAAUUAGAACUUUUUCAAUCUCUACAUAAAAUUUCUUAUUAUGGGCCCACGAGCCCCAAAUCGACCAUUGAAAACUAUUCGGGAUCAACCCGGGUCCUUAAACACCCUAUAGAAAAUUUGACUUUGAAAUAGGGCACACGCUCGUAUAGAGGGGCAACAUGCCCGUGUCGCCAUUUCAACAUGGUCGUGUUGAUGGCCCAUGUGGCUUAAACGACCUAGGUAAUAUAGGGACAUGCCCGUGUCCUCCACCUAUGUGGAAUUAAUUCUAAAUGCACACCUACAGGGGUUUUCACAUGGCCUGGCACACACCUGUUUGCCUGGCCCGUGUCUUUCACGCUGCCAUAACAUGCCCGUGUCCUAGCCCGUGUGCAAAAAAAUGGACAUUCUAUUUCUGACGUCAACAUCCCCAAAAUAUCACAUAGCCAAUGCACACGCCUGUGUGCUAGGCCGUGUCCAUCAAACGGCAGAGACACACGACCGUGUCUCUACCCGUGUGUUUACUAUCAUGCAUACUGACUUGAAAUUUUUAUGUACAGGGGACACAUGGCCGAACCACACGCCCAUGGGACAGACCGUAUGACACACACGGUCUAGACACAUGCCCAUGUGUCUAUCCGUGUAGAUAAUAUAAGGCUAUUUACGAAGCCUAUUUGCCACCCUUAGUUACACAACCUGUAUAAUAGCAACCACAAUCAAGAUAAGACUAUCCUAUGCAACCAAAUUAGCCACAAUAAACAAUAGUCCAUUUGUGCAUUUUACUCAUCUAUGAAAAUAACAUUUUUGCAUAUAAAUCAAAAUGAAUAUUAGCCAUCAUUCAAGACUUAAUACAAAAUGAAGGGUUCCCAACCCAAGCCAACAUAUUUGGCUAGUUUUCAAUGACACAAAAAUAACAAAGUCUAAGCCCUAUACAUGCCAUAUUCAUAAAUAUAAAUCAAACUAUACUGAAAGCUUAAAUUGAUAGUGUGAUCGAUAUCUUUGACUUUCGUUGAUCCUAGAGCUAGAUAGGUGGCACUAUAAGAAAAUAGAAAAAGAGAGAGAGUAAGCAUAAAGCUUAGUAAGUUGCACAUAAAUAAAUAUACAACAUAUCUUUACCAUUCAUCAACAAGUAUCAUAAUACACAACUGCAUAAGCAAAACUUACUCAACAAUAUUCAUUACACCUCAUAUAGCAUAUAUUGAGCACACAUUCCAUACAUGCCAUAUAGGUACCUGUACCACUCACAACACGGUUAUACUUUCCUUGUUAACUUUAAAUCAUGCUUUCACCAUUGAACCAUAUGGAACAUUAUUGGAUACUCAUUUAGCCUCAAAUAUGGGGUCAGACAUCGAUGCCAUGUCCUAGACAUGGUCUUACACAAGUUCUAGUAUAUAUGUGCGGUGCCAUGUCCCAGACAUGGUCUUAUACAGACACAUCUCGUAACUGAUGCAUGUCCUAGACAUGUCUUACACUAGCUUACAUCUCGAGGCCGAUGCAUGUCCCAGACAUGUCUUACACUAGAAUUUGUCUCAAUGUCAAUGCCAUGUCCCAGGCAUGGUCUUAAACUGGCUCUCAUAAUGUGGCCGAUGCAUGUCCCAGACAUGGUCUUACAUUGGCUCUCAUAAUGUGGUCGAUGCAUGUCCUAGACAUGUCUUACACUAGCUUGCACAAGUGACCCAAAUGUCAUGGCAUGAAUAUCCGAUUUAUUUCCUGAGGUUCAUUCGGGAAUUCUAUUAUCUCUAUUCUCAUCAUAUUGUCUCAUUUCCAAAAUCAAGCAAUUCAUGCUAUAAUAAUUCAAAUACAAUUCAACACAUACAUAAGCAAUGUAGUUAUAUUAUUUCAUACAACUUACCUCAGAUUACAAAAUGUGGCGACUAGUCGAUUUAGUCGAUUUGCUUAGCUUUCCCCCAGUCUAGGUUUGGAUUCGGUAUUUCUUGAUCUAUAAUAGCAAAAUGCACUUUAUCAAUCUAGGCACUCUACAAUUCAUAAUUGGGCAAGAUGACCAAUUUGCCUCUAGACUUUUGCAAAAUGACCAUUUUACACCUAGGUCCGAAAAUCAAUUUUUAUUGAAUUUCUUUACAUCUUAAGCCUAGAUAAACCCUUUUUACUCUUAUUGAAACUCCAAAUUCUCACUAUUUCACAUAUUUAACAUCUAUUUUACAACCUAUACAAAAUGGUCCUUUUAGGUGUUUUCAUGCUAGCACAUUUCACAAAAAUUGGUUAUAAGACAUCCAAGACUCAUUUUCUUCCACAAAAAAUCAGCAAACAUUACAAAUCCUUUCAUGGUAAAACCCUAAACUCUUAUUCAUUUUGCAAAAUAGUACCCUUAUUUGAAAGCUUAUGCUUCAAGGGUCUCAAAAGUAAAAAAAUAUUCAAAAAAGCCAUAAAAAUCACUUACUUGCAAGAGGAAUGAGUUGCUAAAUUUUUUGAAGCUCAAAUUGCUAAAAAUGGCUAAAAAUCGAUGGUAAAUAAGAAAGAAUGAAAGAAAAAGAUGAUAGCGAGGCUUAGGGCAUUAUUAUAUCAUAAAUUAUGUCACCAACUUACCUAAUGUGGACUUUUCAACAUUUUUACCUCCCAUGGCCGGAAAGCUAUCACAAUAGGGUCUAAUUGCCCUUUAAAGACCUCCUAUUUAUAUUCUCUAGCUAUUUGACACUUUUAGCUAUCAAUUUAGGACUUUAGCAUUUUAUGCUAUUUAGUCCUUUCUCGCAAUUGGACUAGCAAACGUCAAAAUUAACUCACCAAAUUUUCCAUACACUUAUAUAAACAUGCAAUGACUCCAAAAUAAUAAUAAAAUAAUUUAUUCAACUCCAGAUUUCUGGUCCCAAGACCGCUAUUCCUACUAGGCCCUAAAUCGAGCUGCUACAUAGGUGACAUUGGAACGAUGGAAAUUUGCAAGUGUACGCAAUCUUAACAAGUAAUAAAGUGACAAGUAAAUGUCGAGUUAUUGUACCUGCACAGACUAUGUCAAAAAAUUAUUUAUGAAAUGAAAUUCAAACACUUUGGUGAUUACAAAUAUUUUGAUUUUGAGGAAGUAAUUAAAAACUAAAAUUUAACUAAGUAAAAUAAAAAAUAAAUAAAAGUUUCAAUGCACGAUUUCAAAAGAUGAGUUUAAUCAAGAUGACAUAAUUGUGUUAGAUUAAUUACACUUUUUAACUUAAUAUUACUAAAACAAUGUUAAUGUUGUUACGAAUAAAUCCACAACAACUUGGUAAUUUGUUAACUAUAGCACAUACAGACUUACUACAUUAACUCAACUCUUGAACAUAUCACUAUGCCAAUUCAAACAAUUGAUCAAUUUAAAUAAGCAAGUAAAAGAUUAUGUGAGGUAAAAAAUAUAUACCUACAUUGAAACUAUUUAAUCAAAAUAAUAUUGCAUGUUAUUCAAGGCUAAUGUAUCGUUUAAUACCGUCGCUAAUUUAACCCUCAGCUACUAUAGAAGAUUAAACAUGCACUAAUUAAGUAUUGUGCCCAUUAAUUAAAAUUUCAAUAUGAUUAAGAAUUAAUUCAUUAGUUACCUUAUAAUUAUAAUGCAAGAAUAACUUAAUCAUGGUUUUACUUAAUCAAAAAUUUUACCAAGACUUAUAACAACACAAACAUAAUUUUAAUAACUUAAGUGGACGAAACGCAACCAACCUAACAUGAAUUAAAUUUAAGCCAUGUUAAUUAAAUUAAAAAUAUUAGCAUAACAAGUAUUCAUAGGCAUGUUUAUAAAAACAACAAUCAAAGUUAAAGGAUAGAAAACUAGAAUCAAAUCUCGUGUUUCUCCGAAGUUUGACUAGUUUUCUCUGCUCCUCCUUCUCCGCUCAUUCUGAUUAAACUGAGGCUUUACAAGAACUUGAAUGAUGCUACCAAUGGUGGUUGAAGGGCUCUUUUCCAAGACGGGAAAUCGGCAAGGGAAUGGAAGGGAAAAUGGAAAGCAAAGGAAGGUUUGGAAGAGAGAAAAUGAGAGAGAAAUGUAGAAUGAUAGGUGUGCGAGGUGUGUUUGAAAUGAGUAGAAAAUCGGGUAUUUAUAGGGUGGAUAGGCUGCUAAAAAUAGAAAAAAUCAGCAGCCAUUAACUCCCCCCAUGGCCGGCCACACAUGUGGCAAGUAUGAAGCUUUCAAACAAGCUAAAUUUAGCUAGGGGCAAAUUUACAAAAGCUUGAUAAGUGGGGGGUUUAAAUACAAUUUUAAGGAAACCUCAAGGGCUGUUUUGCAAGCUGAGAUGGAAGCUCAGACUUCAAGUAAAAGGUUUACUGGAAAGUCAUAUCAGUUUUCCUCAAAGAAAUCAAAGAAAUAUCAUGACUAUUACACUACCUCUACAGGGUAUUCUAGGAAAGACAAAAGUAUCCAAGAUCUUAGUCUACAUCUGUAGCAAGUGCAGGCAGUGUCAGAAACAUUAAAACCAGGUACAAAUACUAUAAUAAAUUCAAUUUUGGUGAGUUCUACAUGAGAAGCCGAACAUGUUUUAGAUGUGGUUAUUUUGACCACUAUCUAAGAAACUGCCCAAAAAUGCCUAAGAAAGAUACUGUACAGACUUCAAAGCUACGUAACUCUGUUACAAGAGGUAGAUCACCUUGAAACCAUGGCAAUGUGAAUGGAAGCCAAGGUAUGGCAAAAGAUUCAACUGCUAAAUCUGAAGCAAAAGCGCUGGCAAGGACAUAUGCUAUCAUGCACGUGAGGAUGCCUCUGCACCCAAUGUUAUUACCGUUACAUUUUCUCUUCUUGAUACUAAUAUAAUUGCUUUAAUUGAUCCUGGUUCGACAUGUAACACCCCUAUCCCGUAACCGUCGCCAGAAUAGGUAAGGGGCAUUACCGGACUUGUAACUCAUGUCAGAAUAGUAAAAUUUUAAACUUUUUCUUGAAAUAAAGAUCAUUCAUUUAAAUAAGUACUAAGCACAGCCAGAGAUAAAAUUUAAACUUCACUAAGUAAACAUUCAAAAGAUGCCAUUUUCGCAUGGCUUAUAUACAUUAACCAAAAAUAUUCUUCCGCCACUAGUCUAUUCUAUACAUGCCAUAAAAUAGUUCUAAACAUAACAGUAACAAGCAGUGGAUAGUGAUAGUGUGACUAGUUGCUGACGAUCCCCGAGCCUGUAGCUUCGCAAUGAGAUCUAUAAAACACUGGAAACAGAGUAAACGGAGUAAGCAUUACAAUGCUUAGUAAGUUUUAAGCAGUGUCAACAGAUAACAAUCAAAUUAUAACAUAGUUGUUCGUAUUUUUAUUUCACUCUUCCUUCGGGCAUACCAUCCCUUUACCGAAUAUGCACAUCUCAUCAUAUACAAUAGGCAGAUAAACUUUCACAUAAAAGUGAGCUCAUGUGACAUAGAUAUAACGUAUGAUUUCACAUAACCUCUCACACUGAUCCGAUGUCACAUAAUCAUAGGAAUAGUCUCAUAGAUUGCUCUCGUAUGCAUCACAUAACUACCUUAUGAUUUAGUGCAAAUCAAUCUCACAUAUAAACUUGGAGUACAUACCUGUUUAACCUUUCGCAUUGAAUAUAUUUAUAAGCAAUUCUUAUUACGAAGUCUUACCCGGACAUAAUCUCCACACGAAGUUAUCGGGUCUUACCCGGACAAAAUCCCCACACGUAGUCAUCGGGUCUUUAGAGCUCGGAUAUAGUACGAGCACGAAGCUUACGGACAUUAAUCAGUGAUAAUAUUCUCGCAUAAAGCCUACAGGGUUUUAACCCGGAUAUAGUACUGACACAAAUGCCCUUCGGGACUUAUCACAUUUAUACACUUUCACAUCCAUCACGUUGGCCACUCGGCCCUGUCACAUAUAUACACUUUCACAUUCAUCACAUCGGGCAUUAGGCCUUAUCACAUAUAUACACUUUCACAUUCAUCACAUCGGCCAUUAGGCCUUAUCACAUAUAUACACUUUCACAUCCAUCACAUAGAAUCCCAAAUCAAAAUAUAGAUUUUCAUGUAUUCACAUCACAAUUAUCCAAAUAUACUUCACAUACCACAUAUACUUUCACGUAUACACACUGUCUUGGCUGAAUCUACAUCUAUCAUUUCCCAAUAUCACAAUUUAGAAUUCACGUAUGGGUUUAAUCAAUAGCUUAUGAGCAACUAAAACAAGUUUAUCAAGGUUUACAACACAAUCUCAAAUUCAGCACAAGCUGUUUUUCCUGAGCAAUAGUCACUAAAUUAUUUAUAACUGGAGCUACAAAACUCCAAAUCACUUUCCGUUAAUUUUUCCUGAAUAUAGACUCAUAUAUCUUCCAUCCAUAAAAUUUCAAAAAUUUUAUGUUUUUACAAUCAAUACCAUAUUUUUCUUAAAGUUUCCCCUGUUUCACUAUUUGACUAAUCUGACCACUCUUCACUACGAAUCAAAUUUCUCAUUUUAAAGAAUUAAAAAUGUGUUGUAUUUGAUUUAAUUUGAAACUAGACUCAUUAAGGAGUCUAAGCAUAUAAAUUUUAUCUUAUAACCAUUUUUGUACAAUUUAUAAUGAUUUUCUAAAAACAGAACAGAGGAUUACAGUGUCAUUCUGCACUGUCUCACACAACUUUAAGUAUCUCAUUAUCGGAAAUUCUUUUGCUUACACGGUUUCUUUUAUAAGAAACUAGACUCAUUAAGCUUUAAUUUCAUGUCUCAUUCAGCCUCUAAUUCAAAUCCAUAAAUUUAUGGUGAUUUUCUAAAGUCACAUUACUGCUGCUGUCCUAAGCAGACUAUUUCAAAUUACCCUUAAAUUCCCAAGCUCAAACACUUAAGAACUUACCAUUUGAGCUUAGAACAUAUCAUGGCCACAUCAUAUCUUAUUAAAUCAACUCAUCAUGUCCUAUUAUAAUUGAAUUUACUCAACGUUUAAUCACUUAAAACUUACCUCGGAUGUUCUUGAACGAUUUCGGCGGCUAUUCGAUCACUUUUUCCUUUCCUUUAUCCAACUUUGGUCCUCUAAGCUCUUGAGCUAAUUCAAACAAAUUUAACUUAUUAAAGUCUCAUUAUGCUAGCUUAUGGCCGAAUAUGACAAUGAAUUUGAUAGGUCAUAUGGCCACCUUUAGCUCAAAUACAAAAUGGUCAUACGCAUUUUUAAUCACAUUAAGCAAUUUAGUACAAUUAAUCAAACAUUUCCUCAUGUGCACCUUUAGGACCAAAUACACACAUCAUUAACCUAAUAUCAAUUAACUAAGCACUUAACAAAUUCUCCUUGAGCCGAUUGUCUAAGUCAAGAUAGGAUCAUCAUUAUGCUUACCUAUAGCCGAAUGUACAACAUCAAUCUAUGCAUUCAUUCGUGUGGCCGAACAUGCAUGUCUAUGUUGAGGCCGAUUGCAUACUUAAUACAUUCUACAAGUAUGGUCACUUGUAUUGACCAAAUACCAUUUUGUUUCAAAUUCAAAACUUGGCUAAUACACAUAUAUGCACUAUUAAAACAUCCUCUCCAUUCCAUCAAUUCAACACAUGCAUUACUCAUUAAUAUACAAAAUUAUAUUCGGCCUUAGCACACCUCUUGCUGGCCGAAUUUUUUCUCCAUCUAGCAACAUUUUAUGUACUAUGCCGAACCAAAAAGAUCAAACACCUAGCUUAAUCAUUUCCAAAACACUUAACCGGCCUUUGACCAAGACUUUAAACAAAGUCUAUGUUCGGCUAUCACACAUAUGGGCAAUCACAUAAUCAAACACUAAACCUUAACUUCCAAGCCAAAACAACUAGCAAAUUCAACACAUCCAACAUAAAUUUCCAUGCUAAUGACAUCAAAACAACUACUAAGAAUUUCAAGCUCCUUGGCCGAAUUUCAAUCUUCCAAAAUAACAAAAAUUUGAACCAUGAAAUAGGUAGAAUUCAAACUAACCGUUCAAUUUAUGCAUGAAUUUCCAAGAGUAGCAUUCUACAUACCUUAAUCUAGCAAUCUCCUUAGCCGAAAAUUUUAACAACAAAAGGAAAUUUCUUCUCCACCCUUUCCUAGCUACGGCAAUGGAGGAAUAAACCAACUUUGGUUUCUCCUCCCACUAACACAUUAUUUUUAUUACCCAUACUCUUUUAUUCAUCUUUAAUUCAUUUAAUACAUUUUUUUAUUACAUAUUUCUCACCACUAAUAAAUAUAAUAAUAUUAAACCAUGCAUAUAAUGCCCAUACUUAUGAGCUUGGCCGGCCACUAGCAUUAAAAGUGGCAAAUUGGCAUGCAAACCCACUUAUUUGCAUCAUUCAAUAAUUAAUCACUUAAAAUAAGCCACACAUAUAUUCAAAGCUUCUCACAUAAGUCCCUUUUAUUUAGAAACACAUUCAAAUUGACAAAAAUCAAAGCAUUCAAAUUUCACACAUGCAUGAUCACAUAUUUUAGACAUAAAAUAUUAUAUUCAAUUAUUUCUGCAACUCGGUUUAGCGGUCCCGAAACCAUUUCCCGACUAGUGUCAAAUUAAGGGUGUCACAACUCUUCCCCCCUUUAGGGAUUUUCGUCCCCAAAAAUUUCUACCGAUGCAUAGUUAGGAUAACAUCCUCUUAUUGAAUUAUAUUCAUAUAAACAUUAGCUCAUCGAUGGCAAUUGUAAUUCAUUAUUUAUUUUGCAUCGAUCUAUAAAAUCAUUUUCUUAUCUUAAAACAAAUACAUAAACAUUUCUACAAGUAUGCACAUAUAUCUCAUUUUCUUGAUUUCAUAAGUAAUAAUCACUUAAUUUAAUUCACAAUUGCAUCUCAAACACAUAUUAAGCACAUAUUAAUAUGUAUAAUUCACAUCAUCAACCCACAUAUUUGUAACCCACAUUUUCAUUCAUGUAUAAGCUGUAACCUGACCGAAAGUACACAUAUACUCAAACAUCCCAAUAAAUAUCCUUUAUCACUCCAUCAUAUCUCACUAUUCAACUUAACCUAUUUCCAACAGAAAAUCAACUUCCACAUACCUGAACAUUGAGUUCAUUUAGCACAUUCAAUCACCGUUAACGAUACCCGUAUACAAUCGAUUUGGCAUCAAGCCUCAUAUUGUAUACCGGCAUGGGAUUUAUUUUAGCACAUAACCCAUAUAUCCAAAAUUAUCAGCAUUCAUCACAAAUUCUUACAGACUUUCAAAUGUCAAACUUAAUCGAAAUAAUUUCUUGAAUAUGAUUAACAAAAAAAUAGGGGUCAUUUAGCAAUAGCACAUAUGACUUCAUAUACCAAGCAUUCCAUAGACUAAAUUCAUAACACAUUUACAUCAUGAAUUCAUUUCUUAACAACAUAUCCACCAUCUUUUUACUUUCAUCUGAUUUUCUCAUACCUUCCGUACAUACCUGUAUCACUUAUUCUGAUCUUACUUAAUUUAUCAUCUUAAAUAUACCUGUUGAAUCAUUCGAAAUCAUUACGGAUACUCAUUAAGCACAUAUAGCUCUUACAAUGCCAUAUCCUAGAUAUGGUCUUACAUAUUCUCACAUAUCGAGCCGAUGCCAUGUCCCAGACAUGGUCUUACACACUAUCUCAAAUCAAUGCCUUCGUCCUAGACGAGGUCUUACAUGAAUUCCACUUCACACACUUAGUGCCCACUGACCGAUCUCGCACUCAUAGUGCUCGGUUAAAGGAAUUCGCACACACACAGUGCCUCUAAUCAUUCACACACAUAGUGCUCUUAUUCAUUCGUUAUUACACAUUGAAAUGACUUAACCAAGUCUAUAAACAUCAUGUAUGUACACUUGUAAACAUAUCAUCUCAUUUAAAUUUUAAUUCGUAUAGUAAUGAACACUUAAACUUUGCUCAAAUUACCGGCACGAAGCCUACUAGGCACGAAGGCCCGAAUACACGUCACCAGCAUGAUUGCUCUUCGGGACCUAGCCCGGAUAUAACACCAGCACGAAUACUCUUCGGGGUUUAGCACGGAUAUAUCACUAGCACGAAUGCUCUUCGGAACUUAGUCCGGAUACAUCACUAGCACGAAUGCUCUUCGGGAUUUAACCUGGAUAUAUCACUAGCACGAAUGCUCUUCGGAACUUAGUCCGGAUAUAUCACUAGCACGAAUGCUCUUUGGGACUUAGCCCGGAUAUAUCACUAGCACGAAUGCUCUUCGAGACUUAGCCCGAAGAUAUCACUAGCACGAAUGCUCUUCGGGACUUAGCCCGGAUAUAUCACUCUCAAUUCUCAUGUACAUAUACACAUAUAGCAAUACACAUUAGCAUAUCAUUUACAUUACUUGAAUACAAACACAACAUGCUUAUCGACCAUUCAACUUCCAGUUCCAUAGCCACAUACAAAAAUCACAUUUAUAGUCAUAACACUCUUUCAAAAUUGCAUCACUUAUACCCUUAUAAUUCAAUCCAAAUCGAAAUUCAAAUACGAGUACAUGAUACGUACCUGAUCAACUUAAUAAUUUAGGCAUAUCUAAGUGAAGUUAUAUCGCAAAUUCUCAUAGUCAGAAGCUUGCUACAGCUCGAUCGGGAUCAAGAUUCAUUACAAUACAGCAAACACAUUUUAAUAGCCAAAAAUCAUCACACUAUCAUUUUAUCACUUUAUGGCAUGUAUAAAUAGACUCACGCGUGCUACGUUAGUCCUAGAAUAGACUAAACCGUAGCUCUGAUACCAAUAAAAUGUAACACCCCUAUCCCGUAACCGUCGCCAUAAUAGGUAAGGGGCAUUACUGGACUUGUAACUCAUGUCAGAACAGUAAAAUUUUAAACUUUUUCUUGAAAUAAAGAUCAUUCAUUUAAAUAAGUACUAAGCACAGCCAGAGAUAAAAUUUAAACUUCACUAAGUAAACAUUCAAAAGAUGCCAUUUUCGCAUGGCUUAUAUACAUUAACCAAAAAUAUUCUUCCGCCACUAAUCUAUUCUAUACAUGCCAUAAAAUAGUUCUAAACAUAACAGUAACAAGCAGUGGAUAGUGAUAGUGUGACUAGUUGCUGACGAUCCCCGAGCCUGUAGCUUCGCAAUGAGAUCUAUAAAACAGAGGAAACAGAGUAAACGGAGUAAGCAUUACAAUGCUUAGUAAGUUUUAAGCAGUGUCAACAGAUAACAAUCAAAUUAUAACAUAGUUGUUCGUAUUUUUCUUUCACUCUUCCUUCGGGCAUACCAUCCCUUUACCGAAUAUGCACAUCUCAUCAUAUACAAUAGGCAGAUAAACUUUCACAUAAAAGUGAGCUCAUGUGACAUAGAUAUAUCGUAUGAUUUCACAUAACCUCUCACACUGAUCUGAUGUCACAUAAUCAUAGGAAUAGUCUCAUAGAUUGCUCUCGUAUGCAUCACAUAACUACCUUAUGAUUUAGUGCAAAUCAAGCUCACAUAUAAACUUGGAGUACAUACCUGUUUAACCUUUCGCAUUGAAUAUAUUUAUAAGCAAUUCUUAUUACGAAGUAUUACCCGGACAUAAUCUCCACACGAAGUUAUCGGGUCUUACCCGGACAAAAUCCCCACACGUAGUCAUCGGGUCUUUAGAGCUCGGAUAUAGUACGAGCACGAAGCUUACGGACAUUAAUCAGUGAUAAUAUUCUCGCAUAAAGCCUGCGGGGUUUUAACCCGGAUAUAGUACUGACACAAAUGCCCUUCGGGACUUAUCACAUUUAUACACUUUCACAUCCAUCACGUUGGCCACUCGGCCCUGUCACAUAUAUACACUUUCACAUUCAUCACAUCGGGCAUUAGGCCUUAUCACAUAUAUACACUUUCACAUUCAUCACAUCGGCCAUUAGGCCUUAUCACAUAUAUACACUUUCACAUUCAUCACAUCGGCCAUUAGGCCUUAUCACAUAUAUACACUUUCACAUUCAUCACAUCGGCUAUUAGGCCUUAUCACAUAUAUACACUUUCACAUUCAUCACAUCGGCCAUUAGGCCUUAUCACAUAUAUAUACACUUUCACAUUCAUCACAUCGGCCAUUAGGCCUUAUCACAUAUAUACACUUUCACAAUCAUCACAUCGGCCAUUAGGCCUUAUCACAUAUAUACACUUUCACAUCCAUCACAUAGAAUCCCAAAUCAAAAUAUAGAUUUUCAUGUAUUCACAUCACAAUUAUCCAAAUAUACUUCACAUACCACAUUUACUUUCACGUAUACACACUGUCUUGGAUGAAUCUACAUCUAUCAUUUUCCAAUAUCACAAUUUAGAAUUCACGUAUGGGUUUAAUCAAUAGCUUAUGAGCAACUAAAACAAGUUUAUCAAGGUUUACAACACAAUCUCAAAUUCAGCACAAGCUGUUUUUCCUGAGCAAUAGUCACGAAAUUAUUUAUAACUGGAGCUACAAAACUCCAAAUCACUUUCCGUUAAUUUUUCCUGAAUAUAGACUCGUAUAUCUUCCAUCCAUAAAAUUUCCAUAAUUUUAGGUUUGGCCAAUCAAUACCAGAUUUUUCUUAAAUUUUCCCCUAUUUCACUGUUUGACUAAUCUGACCACUCUUCGCUACGAAUCAAAUUUCUCAUUUUACAGAAUUAAAAAUGUGUUUUAUUUGAUUUAAUUUGAAACUAGACUCAUUAAGGAGUCUAAGCAUAUAAAUUUUAUCUUAUAACCAUUUCUGUACAAUUUAUAAUGAUUUUCUAAAAACAGAACAGAGGAUUACAGUGUCAUUCUGUGCUGUCUCACACAACUUUAAGUAUCUCAUUAUUGGAAAUUCUUUUGCUUACACGGUUUCUGUUAUAAGAAACUAGACUCAUUAAGCUUUAAUUUCAUGUCUCAUUCAGCCUCUAAUUCAAAUCCAUAAAUUUAUGGUGAUUUUCUAAAGUCAUGUUACUGCUGCUGUCCUAAGCAGACUAUUUCAAAUUACCCUUAAAUUCCCAAGCUCAAACACUUAAGAACUUACCAUUUGAGCUUAGAACAUAUCAUGGCCACAUCAUAUCUUAUUAAAUCAACUCAUCAUGUCCUAUUAUAAUUGAAUUUACUCAACGUUUAAUCACUUAAAACUUACCUCGGAUGUUGUUGAACGAUUUCGGCGGCUAUUCGAUCACUUUUUCCUUUCCUUUAUCCAACUUUGGUCCUCUAAGCUCUUGAGCUAAUUCAAACAAAUUUAACUUAUUAAAGUCUCAUUAUGCUAGCUUAUGGCCGAAUAUGACAAUGAAUUUGAUAGGUCAUAUGGCCACCUUUAGCUCAAAUACAAAAUGGUCAUACGCAUUUUUAAUCACAUUAAGCAAUUUAGUACAAUUAAUCAAACAUUUCCUCAUGUGCACCUUUAGGACCAAAUACACACAUCAUUAACCUAAUAUCAAUUAACUAAGCAAUUAACAAAUUCUCCUUGAGCCGAUUGUCUAAGUCAAGAUAGGAUCAUCAUUAUGCUUACCUAUAGCCGAAUGUACAACAUCAAUCUAUGCAUUCAUUCGUGUGGCCGAACAUGCAUGUCUAUGUUGAGGCUGAUUGCAUACUUAAUACAUUCUACAAGUAUGGUCACUUGUAUUGACCAAAUACCAUUUUGUUUCAAGUUCAAAACUUGGCUAAUACACAUAUAUGCACUAUUAAAACAUCCUCUCCAUUCCAUCAAUUCAACACAUGCAUUACUCAUUAAUAUACAAAAUUAUAUUCGGCCUUAGCACACCUCUUGCUGGCCGAAUUUUUUCUCCAUCUAGCAACAUUUUAUGUACUAUGCCGAACCAAAAAGAUCAAACACCUAGCUUAAUCAUUUCCAAAACACUUAACCGGCCUUUGACCAAGACUUUAAACAAAGUCUAUGUUCGGCUAUCACACAUAUGGGCAAUCACAUAAUCAAACACUAAACCUUAACUUCCAAGCCAAAACAACUAGCAAAUUCAACACAUCCAACAUAAAUUUCCAUGCUAAUGACAUCAAAAAAACUACUAAGAAUUUCAAGCUCCUUGGCCGAAUUUCAAUCUUCCAAAAUAACAAAAAUUUGAACCAUGAAAUAGGUAGAAUUCAAACUAACCGUUCAAUUUAUGCAUGAAUUUCCAAGAGUAGCAUUCUACAUACCUUAAUCUAGCAAUCUCCUUAGCCGAAAAUUUUAACAACAAAAGGAAAUUUCUUCUCCACCCUUUCCUAGCUACGGCAAUGGAGGAAUAAACCAACUUUGGUUUCUCCUCCCACUAACACAUUAUUUUUAUUACCCAUACUCUUUUAUUCAUCUUUAAUUCAUUUAAUACAUUUUUUUAUUACAUAUUUCUCACCACUAAUAAAUAUAAUAAUAUUAAACCAUGCAUAUAAUGCCCAUACUUAUGAGCUUGGCCGGCCACUAGCAUUAAAAGUGGCAAAUUGGCAUGCAAACCCACUUAUUUGCAUCAUUCAAUAAUUAAUCACUUAAAAUAAGCCACACAUAUAUUCAAAGCUUCUCACAUAAGUCCUUUUUAUUUAGAAACACAUUCAAAUUGACAAAUAUCAAAGCAUUCAAAUUUCACAUAUGCAUGAUCACAUAUUUUAGACAUAAAAUAUUAUAUUCAAUUAUUUCUGCAACUCGGUUUAGCGGUCCCGAAACCACUUCUCGACUAGGGUCAAAUUAGGGGUGUCACACGACACAUUCAUACAUAUGUACAAAUUUAGUGUCAAAUAAAAAUUUUCCUGUCGAGUCCACUAAAUUUGCACUUAAAGGAUCAAACCCCCAGGCCAGUAUUUAAUGGUGGAUAAAAUAUGCAAGAAUUGUCAACUAAUAAUACGAGGUUACUAUUUACCGACUGAUAUUUGAUGAGUUUGAUGUGAUUUUGGGCAUGGAUUGGUUAACUCCACAUGAUGUUGUGGUAAAUUGUAAACGGAAGUAUAUUGUAUUGAAAUGUCAGAAUGGUGAAAUGAUCUGUAUUGAAUCUGAUAAUUUGGAUGGGUUGUCUAAUGCGAUAUCAGCCAUAUCAGUACAAAAAUAUGUCAGAAAGGGUUAUGAUACUUAUCUUGUGUAAUAUCUCGAAUUAGGGCCUAAUCAGAAUAGUGGUUUCGUGACCACAAAUCCGAGAUAGAAAUAAUUAUUUUAUAAUUAUUUUGAUGUUUAUGAUAUGAUUGCAUGAUUGUGUGAAAAUUUUGUGAUGAAAUCCUAUGCCUAAAGUGCUUAAAUUGAAAUUAGGGACUAAAUCGAAUAAUUUAAAAAACUUGCAUUCUAGGAGCUUUUAGUAUGAAAUUGCUUUGGAAUAUUAAUGGGGAGAUCUUAAAUAGAAAUUUGACCAAUUUCUAAGUCUAUGGACAAAAAUUGGACAUGGAUGGACUUUUUGGAAAGUUUAGAAUUAAGGGCAUUUUGGUCAUUUAGUUAUUAAAAUGAAUUAAAAACAAAAUUAAAAGCCAAUUUUUGUCCAUCUUCUUCAUUAGGCCGAAUUUCAAGGGUUCUCCAUAGCUAGGGUUUGUUUCAAGCUUCCAAGCUCCAUAGUAAGUGAUUCCAAGCCCUGUUUUUAAUGUUCUUUACGUUUUUGAAAUCCCGGUAGCUCGAAUUAAGUUAUGCUAGCAAUAAUUCAACCUAGGGUUCAUAUUCGAAAAAAUACCCAUAGGUGAAAUUUGUGUAUUUUGGUGUUUUAUGAUAGAAUAUGAGGUUUUAAAUUAUGUUAGAAAACUUGUGCUACUCGAUUUUAUGCGAAAACGAGUAAAAGGGUUGAAACUCUGUAUAGGGAGAUAUCUGAUUCGUAAUACACAGGGGUCAGAGUAGUUGAACCCUGAAAUAGGGGAGAUUUUAACUAAUAAACUGUACUAAUUGGCUCGACCAAAAUAUCUAGACAAAAUUUAGUAAAUAGAUAUAUGAAUCUAGUUUCAGGGAAAAUUUACGGAUCUUAAUUUCGAGUUUCAGAACUCGAGAUAUGAAUUUUUAAGCGACUGUGAUGCAGUUGGCUAGCUUGUUUGCAAAUUUUAAAAAUACAUUGUUUGAGCUGUUAAAUUAAUGAAUUAAGUUUAGUAACACCUCAAGCUCGACUCUAGCGACGGUCUCGGGCAUGAGGGCGUUACAUUUGGUGGUAUCACAGCAGGUUUAGUCAGUUUUCAGACUAAUGUGUUGUAUGUACGGGUUUUUCUAUACAUGCCAUAUAUAUUGUGAUAGUGUGACGACUUCUGACCUUUUAAAUGAUUUUUUUUCUAGUAAAUGGAUCUCGAUCCAGUUACGGCUAAUGAUGUAGAGAGUAAUGCAUCAGCUCUGGCUGAAGGGGCAGUGCCAAUUGAAAAUCCACCUCUUACUGUUGGUCAAGGAGGAGGAGAAGGGGCUCGGGAAGCCUUUCUCCUGAUGAUGAAUGCCUGGUAUACUGAGUUCGUUCGUACGAACCCGAAUGCACAACCUCCCCCACCUCCCCCGAUUCCUCAACCUGUACCCCCAAUGCCUCAAGGUUUAGAUCUAAUGAAACUUCACAGAACUCCAGUUGACAAAAUCCGUAAGCAAGGGGCCGAAGAAUUCAGGGCAAAUAUUGAUGAUGAUGCUGAGAAAGCAGAGUUUUGGCUUGAGAAAUCUAUUCGAGUAUUUGAUGAAUUGUCUUGUACACCUGAGGAAUGCUUAAAAUGUGCUAUAUCAUUGUUGAGGGAUUCAACUUAUCAUUGGAGGAAGACAUUGACUUCAGUAGUACCUAAAGAGAAAAUAACUUGGGAGUUCUUUCAAGAAGAAUUUCGAAAGAAAUACAUCAGCGAAAGAUUUGUUGAUCAAAAGCGUAAAGAGUUUCUUGAAUUAAAGCAGGGGAACAUGACAGUUACUGAAUAUGAAAGGGAGUUCACUAGGUUGAGUAAGUAUGCUAGAGAAUAUAUUCUUACAGAGGCUAAAAUGUGUAGACGAUUUGAAGACGGACUCAAUGAAGACAUUAAAGUAUUUGUUGGGAUUCUCAAAUUAAAAGAAAUGGUAGUACCUGUUUAUUGAGCUUGCAAGGCUGAAGAACUACUGAAAUAGAAGAAAAAAGUAGAGGCUGAGACUAGAAAUUGGAAGAAAAGACCGACGAGCAGUUCAUUCUCACAGCAAUCCAGAAAAUCUAGAAAUAUGAAUCCUCGUUCACAGGUUUCGGCUGGACAAUCAUAUGGAAAUUUUAAGAAGCAAAAUGUGGGUCUUAAAUCUCAGACUACUUCCAUGGCUAGUGUGGGAAAUUCGAGAUUUGUUAAGCCUGAGUGCCAGCGGUGUGGUAGAAAUCACUUUGGCCCAUGUAGAGCGAAUGAAUGUUUUCGGUGUGGUUCUCCGCAUCAUUUUAUUAGAGACUGCCUAGAGAGAGCUGAAAAAGAAAAAUUUCUUAGUGUAAAAGCUAGUGGUGCAGACUUGAGGGGAAGAUAUUCGAGAAAAACUAGAAAUGAAGCAAGCAGCAAAAAUGUAGCCAAAGAUUCAGCAGCUAAAUCUGAAGCAAGGGCUCCAGCUAGAACUUAUGCUAUAAAGGCACGUGAAGAUGCUUCAUCACCCGAUGUGAUUACUGGUAUAUUUUCUAUUUAUGAUGUUAAUGUUGUUACUUUGAUUGAUCCCGGUUCUACUCAUUCAUAUGUAUGCAUUAAAUUGGUGUCUAGUAUGAAUAUACCUGUUGAGAACACAUAAUUUGUGAUUAGAGUGUCGAAUCCAUUAGGCAAAUGUGUGAUAGUUGAUAAAGUAUGCAAGAAAUGCCCUUUAAUGAUUCGGGGUCAUUACUUUCCGGCUGACUUGAUGUUGUUGCCGUUUGAUGAAUUUGAUGUUAUUCUGGGUAUGGAUUGGUUGACAUUGCAUGAUGCUAUAGUAAAUUGCAAAGAAAAGGUUAUAGAAUUAAAGUAUGAAAGUGGUGAAAUUCUGCGGGUUGAACCAGGCAAAUUAGAGGCAUUAUCUAGUGUGAUUUCUUUGAUGUUGGCUCAGAGAUAUUUGAGAAAGGGUUAUGAAGCUUAUUUGGCGUAUGUAAUUAAUACAAAAGAAAUUGAAAAGAAAGUUGAAUCAGUGUCGGUUGUGUGUGAAUUCGCAGAUGUAUUUCCAGAAGAGUUAUCGGGUUUGCCUCCAGUCAGGGAAGUAGAAUUUGGUAUUGAAUUGAUACCGGGAACAGCUCCGAUCUCGAUUGCUCCGUAUAGAAUGGCACCAGCAGAGUUGAAAGAACUAAAGUCACAUUGCAAGAGUUGACUGACAAAGGCUUUGUGAGACCGAUUUUUUCACCUUGGGGUACUCCCCAGUUAUUUGUGAAAAAGAAGGAUGGUUCUAUGAGAUUGUGUGUUGACUAUCAGCAAUUAAUCAAGGUGACAAUCAAAAACAAGUAUCUGUUUCCAAGAAUUGAUGAUUUGUUUGAUCAGCUAAAAGGAGAGACAUGGUUUUCAAAGAUUGACUUGAGAUCUAGGUACUACCAGCUACGAGUAAAAAAGUCGGAUGUGCCUAAAACUACUUUUAGAACAAGGUAUGGUCAUUAUGAAUUUUUAGUUAUGCCAUUCGGGUUGACAAAUGCUCCUGCUGUGUUUAUGGAUUUAAUGAAUCACAUAUUUAGGGCAUACUUGGGCAAAUUUGUUGUGGUGUUUAUAGAUGACAUCUUAAUUUAUUCAAAAGAUGAGACAGAACAUGCUGAGCACUUGAAGAUAGUUUUGCAAACUUUGAGAGAUAAGCAGUUGUAUGCUAAGUUUCGUAAAAGUGAAUUUUGGCUUCGGGAAGUUGGAUUUUUAGGUCACAUUGUUUCAGGUGAUGGUAUACGGGUUGAUCCUAGUAAAAUUUUAGCCAUUGUUGAUUGGAAACCACCGAAAAAUGUAACCGAGGUUAGAAGUUUCUUGGGGCUAGCUAGGUAUUAUCGACGGUUUGUAAAUGGAUUUUCUAUGAUUUCUGCUCUUAUGACUAGACUUGUGACAGCCCUAAUUUGACCCUAGUCGGGAAGUGGUUUCGGGACCACAAAACUGAGUCAUAAAAAUAAUUAACUGUUAUAUUCUAUGCUUAUUAUAUGUGUACAUGCAUAUGUGAAAGUUUCAUGCUCUAAUUUUGUCAUUUGUAUGUGAAAUUAUUAAAUAGGACUUAUGUGAAAUAAUUGUGGAAGGUGUUAGGUAAUUUUAAAAAGGGGGUCUAUUAAUGCAUGUCACAAAAGGUUUGGACUUGCAUGUCAAAUAUACAUUUUUGUUUAUAGUGGCCGCCAUAAUGAUGCUUUAUAUUAAAUAUAUGUAUUAAUUAUUAGUUAAAUGGCUUUAUACUUUAUAAUAUAGAUGAAUAAAAUAAAAUAAUAAUAGAAAGAAUGGUGAAGAAAACAAAGUCUCAGCUUUGUUCUUCUUAGCCGAAUCUAAAGAAAGAAAAAAAAAUGGAGCAAGACAUUCGGCCAUUUGAAUCAUAAGGAAGGUUAGUAAAUUUUGUUAGGUUUUUUUUUUUAAAAUUCUAGCUUGUUUUAGGUUAAUCAUCAUGUUUCUUACUUAGGCCAUGUUAAAAUUUUGGAUUUGGGUGGUGAAUGGAGCAUUCGGCCAUGGUUGUUAAUGAAGAGAUUGGAUUAUUUUCAUUAUGUUUUGAUGAAUAAAUGUUGAUGAGAGAAGUUUGAACUAGUUAAAAGUUUAAUUUGAUAGUAUUUAUAUGUGUAAUAGCCGAACUUGGACUUGUUUAGUUACUUGAAUAAAUGUUUUGAAGUUAAAUGCUAAAAUAUGAGUAUUGCCGUUUAGAUGAUUUGAAAAGAAAAGGUAGAUGUUUGAAUGUCUAAAGGUUUGGUAUUGUACAUGAAUUCUAAUUGUAUGAUUUUGUAAAUUGCCGAAUGAGUUUUAGGAGUUCGAAAAUGGUUUAAUUUUCAUGUUUAAAUUUGGUUAUAUCCAAUCAUGGUUGGAGUUAUUUUGAUAUGCAUAGUAUAAGGUAUGUAUGAUUUGUGUUUUGGUUGCAUAACUAUACAUGUUUAAAUGAUAUGAAUGCAAAGAGUUGUGAAAUAGUAAAUUCUAGUAAAUCUGCUUGGGACAGCAGCUGUAAUGAGAUUUUGGAAACUUUACGGCAAUUGAUUUGGAGUUUCGUAGCUCCAAUUAUAAAUAAUUUAGUGACUGUUGCUCAGGAAGAGAACUUAUUGUCAAUUUAUGAUUAUGUGGUAAAUAUUGAUAAAAAUUUGUUAACGAGUUGCUUAAUGUUUUCUUAUAAACUUACUAUGAUCUAUAUGUGUGAAAUUCGUAUAUAUAGAUUAUAUUUUGAAAGUAAUACUUGAAUAGUCGAAUAAUAACUACUUUAAAAUUGUUGAAUUUAAGCUCAAGAGCAUAGAGAACCAAGGUUGGAGAAGGGAAAAGAGAAAGUAGUUGAAUAGCCGAUCCGAGUCUGUUCGAAAAUACUCGAGGUAAGUUUUGAGUAGUCACCUUUAGUAUAUAAUUGAUGAUGCCUUGAUAUGUGAUAUUUAUGUAUGGCUUUCGAAUCGAAAUGUAAAUGAUGGUAUUCAUAUGGAGCCUAUAUCUGAACGUAGCAAAUGACUACUAAUGUGAUAUGUUGAAUAAGUUGUGUUAAUAUAUGGUUAAAUAUGCAUGAUAUUUGAUGUGAAUCCGGGCUUAAAGACCCGCAGGCUAUAUUCUGGAAUUAUAUCCGGGCUUAAAGACCCGCAGGCUAUAUGCUGGAAUUAUACUCGGACUUAAGGUCCGCAGGCUAUGUGCUGGAAUUAUAACCGGACUUAAGGUCCACAGGCUACGUGUUGGAAAUAUGUCUGGGAAAAAGUCCCGCAGGCUUCGAGCUGGUAUUAUACCGGGUUUAAAUUCCCGCAGGCUUGUGCUGGUAAUUGGUUUCAAGUUCUAAGACCUGACAGGCUUAAUGCUAGUAAUUAAGUAAUACUACGAUAUUGAAUGUUCGCAGUAAACCAUCGUUGAGUAAGUAAUAUACAUUUAAGAUGUUCAGGUACGUAUUACUUACACAUAGGUGAUUUGAUUUCGAAGUGAAUCAUAGCAUCAAAGAAGAAUAUAUAUACAUUUAUAUAUAUAAGUGUAAUUGAUGGUUAUAUUAGCGAAUAUGAGAAUGAUUUAAUUGGUCAUGGUAUAUUUGUAUAUGAAUUAUAUAUUAAAAUUUCUUUAUGUACUCAUGAACAUUCAGUCAAUGAUUUGUGAAUUAUUAGUAUUAAAGAAUGAUACUUAAGUGUGAAUGAUUGUUAUUUCUACGAGUAAAGCAAUGACCUAUUCGAUCAAAUGUUGUUAAUAUAUGAGAUUAUUUAUUUUAAAUGCAUCGUAUGAACUAUUAGUAAAAGAAAAAUAUGUGCUGAGAAUCUAUGUUUAUGUUUAUGUGUAUUCGGCCAUGAAGCAAUUUAAAUUGAGAAUAAGUCUGUUUAAAUGAAUGUUUUGAUUUUCGAUAAGUUUUAAUUAUUUGUGAUGCUUAAAACUUACUAAGCUUUGAAAGCUUACUUCGUUUGUUACGUUCUCUGUUUUAUAGAUUGCUGAUUCCAGUUACCUGCUCGGAAAGGGAAUCGUCAGCUACUAGUCACAUUAUCUGUCAUUUUGGGGUACUACUAUAUUUUGAAGCUAGUAUGGCAUGUAUGGAAUAGACUUAAGCGAAUGAUAUUUUGAGAUGUACUUAUAUAUAAGCCAUGUGAAUAUGGCUACUUUUGAAUGUCGAUACAAGUUUGAAUUUCGAUCUUUAACUGAGUUUGGCGAUGUAUAUUUUUAUUUUAUUUUUUUAUUGUGUAUGUGUUUAAAAUAUUAAAUUUUGAAUCAGUAACUCUUCAUAACCCACCCCGGCGAUGGACACGGGUUAUAGGGGUGUUACAAGACUACUCCGAAAGGAUGUUAAAUUUGAAUGGACGGAAGAAUGUCAACAGAGUUUUGAAGAAUUGAAAAAGUUAUUAACUGAAGCACCAGUGUUAGUUCAACCCGAAUCAGGUAAAGAUUUGUGGUGUUUAGUGAUGCUUCUCGAAAUGGAUUAGGAUGUGUACUUAUGCAAGAAGGAAAAGUGGUGGCUUAUGCUUCGAGGCAGUUAAAAUCUCACGAAAGGAAUUAUCCGACUCAUGAUUUGGAAUUGGCUGCUAUAGUGUUUGCUUUGAAGAUUUGGCAACAUUAUUUGUAUGGUGAAAAGUGCCGAGUAUAUACCGACCAAAAAAGUCUUAAGUACUUUAUGUCACAAAAAGACUUGAAUUUGAGACAGCGAAGAUGGUUGGAGUUAUUGAAAGAUUACAAGCUUGUUAUUGAUUACCAUCCGGGAAAAGCGAAUGUGGUUGCCAAUGCUUUAAGCAGAAAGUUGCUAUUUGCUUUGAGAGCUAUGAACACUCAGUUAAAGGUAUCAGAUGAUGGUUCGAUUCUGGCAGAGUUAAGAGCAAAACCAAUGUUUUUACAAGAGAUUUGUGAAGCUCAGAAAAAUGAUCAAUAUUUGCAAGACAAGAGAAAGCAGUGUGAAGCUGAUACGGGAUUAGAUUUCAGAAUUAGUUCUAAUGGCUGCUUGAUGUUUAAAAACCGGAUUUGUGUACCGAAAAAUGAUGAAUUGAUUCAAAAGAUUUUGCAUGAAGCAUAUAAUGGUUGUUUGGCAGUUCACUCAGGUAGUACGAAAAUGUAUAAUGAUUUGAAGAAAAUGUAUUAGAGGAGUGGAAUGAAAAGAGAUAUUUAAGAGUUUGUAUCAAAGUGCUUAGUUUGUCAACAAGUGAAAGCUGAACACCAAGUACCUUCGGGACUACUCCAGCCUAUCAUGGUUCCUAAAUGGAAAUGGGAUCGGAUUACUAUGGAUUUUGUAUCAGGGUUACCGUUAACUCUGGGGAAGAAAAAUGCCAUCUGGGUAAUAGUUGACAGACUGACUAAAUCGGCUCAUUUUAUUCCGGUACGUGCAGAUUAUUCUCUUAAUAAGUUGGAUGAAUUGUAUAUCAGUGAGAUUGUUGGACUUUAUGUGAAUACCUUUUUCAAUCAUUUCGGAUAGAGAUCCGAGAUUUAUUUCACGGUUUUGGCAAAAGUUACAAGAGGCAUUAGGUACGAAGUUAAAUUUCAGCACUGCCUUUCAUCCAUAAACUGAUGGACAAUCAUAAAGAGUAAUUCAGAUUCUUGAAGACAUGCUUAGAUGUUGCAUAUUGGAAUUUCAAGGUAGUUAGGAAAGGUACUUACUGUUGGUAGAAUUUGCUUAUAAUAAUAGUUAUCAGACGAGUUUGAAGAUGGUACCUUAUGAAGCAUUGUAUGGUCGUAAAUGUCGGACGCCAUUGUAUUGGACUAAACUCAAGGAAAAUUAGAUUUAUGGAGUUGAUCUAAUAAAAGAAACCGAAGAAAAGGUGAAAGUGAUUCGAGAUUAUUUGAAAGCUGCUUCAGAUAGACAUAAAUCUUAUGCGGAUAUGGAACGAAAGGAAAUCAAGUUUCAAGUUGGUGAUAAGGUAUUUUUGAAAGUGUCUCUAUGGAAGAAAGUCCUUAGAUUUGGACGGAAGGGUAAGUUAAGUCCGCGUUUUAUUGGACCGUAUGAAGUAAUUGAAAGAAUUGGACCAGUAGCUUAUCGACUAGCAUUACCACUUGAAUUACCGAAAGUGCAUGAUGUGUUCCACAUAUCUAUGCUACGUCGGUAUCGUUCGGAUCCUUCACAUAUAAUUUCACCGACAGAAAUUGAACUAUGACCAGAUAUGACUUACGAAGAAGAACCGAUUAAGAUUUUAGCUAGAGAGGUCAAGCAACUAAGAAAUAAAAGUGUCGCUCUCUUGAAAGUAUUGUGGCAAAAGCACGGGGUAGAAGAGACUACAUGGGAACCUAAGGAAACUACGAGAAACCAAUACCCACACCUAUUUACUGGUAAGAUUUUCGAGGACGAAAAUCCUUAAAGGGGGGAGAGUUGUAAUAUCCUGAAUUAGGGCCUAAUCGGAAUAGUGGUUUCUUGACCAAAAAACCGAGAUAGAAAUAAUUAUUUUAUAAUUAUUUUGAUGUUUAUGAUAUGAUUGCAUGAUUGUGUGAAAAUUUUGUGAUGAAAUUCUAUGCCUAAAGUGCUUAAAUUGAAAUUAGGGACUAAAUCGAAUAAUUUGCAAAACUUGCAUUCUAGGCGUUUUUAGUAUGAAAUUGCUUUGGAAUAUUAAUGAGGAGAUCUUAAAUAGCAAUUUGACCAAUUUCUAAGUCUAUGGACAAAAAUUGGACAUGGAUGGAAUUUUUGGAAAGUUUAGAAUUAAGGGCAUUUUGGUCAUUUAGUUAUUAAAAUGAAUUAAAAACAAAAUUAAAAGCCAAUUUUUGUCCAUCUUCUUCAUUAGGCUGAAAUUUCAAGGGUUCUCCAUAGCUAGGGUUUGUUUCAAGCUUUCAAGCUCCAUAGUAAGUGAUUCCAAGCCCCGUUUUUAAUGUUCUUUACAUUUUUUGAAUCUCGGUAGCUCGAAUUAACUUAUGCUAGCAAUAAUUCAACCUAGGGUUCAUAUUUGGAAAAAUACCCAUAGGUGAAAUUUUUGUAUUUUGGUGUUUUAUGAUAGAAUAUGAGGUUUUAAAUUAUGUUAUACAACUUGUGCUACUCAGUUUUAAGCGAAAAUGAGUAAAAGGGCUUAAUCGGUAAAAAUACCUAAUAGUCAUAAGUACAUGUUAGAGUGUGAAUUUGAUGUUGCCAUAUAAGGGAAAAAUGAUCAGCAUGUCAUAAAACAUAAGAAUAAGGGAUGAAGUUUAAUUCCCAAGCCUAGGGGAAAAAGUGUAAUUAUGCAAAAGUUUAGGGGCAAAAAUGUAAUUUUUCCAAAGUUCAUUUUAAAUGUUGUUUUGAUGAAUGUAUGUAUUAAAUAAGAUUAAUUUGGCAUUAUAGAUCAAGAGAAAUUAGAUUCAAGUUGCGAUCGAGGGAAAAACAAAGUUUACGAAGAAUAGGCUCGAUUGCUAAUAUUUUGUAUCGAGGUAGGUUCAUGUGUAAAUGUAGUAACAUAAUUGUCAUUUUGAGAAAUUUAAUGUUGUUUAUAUGAUAUGAUGCUUAUUAUUAUCAUGAAAUGUUAUGUUUUGUGGUUAUUUUUGAAUAAUAUGUAAUUAUGUGAAUUACUUGAUAAGUAUGAACUAUCACCGAAGUAUCGAUUUCGAUAAUCCGUGGAAGACGGCAAAGAUGUGUAAUCGAGGAAAAUCUCGUUUGAACCUUGGGAAUAGAUUAGAAUACAAGUGACAUGUCACUAGGAUACUUGAGUUCCGAACUCGUUGAGUUGAGUCCGAGUUCGUGAGAUGUAACUAGGCAUCCGAACUCGUUGAGUUGAGUCCGAGUUCACUUAUGGAUGCGAACGCUCGAGCUCGUUGAGUUGAGUCCGAGUUCACUUAUGGGCGGGUUACAUGGUAGCUUGGCUACAUAAGUUCCGCAGGUUAUUGAGUUUGUCUAGCUGCAGGUAUGGCACUUACGUUCAUGAAAUCCGUGAAUUCGAAUUAUAUUCCGAUGUGUUUAACGGGUGAAUCUUAAGUGAAUGAGAAGAAUGCCUAAAACAAAGGUGAUAUAUUGGUAAGUGUGGUGAAUGAGAAAAUUUGACAGGUAUGUGCUUAAAUCCUCGGGUUGAGAACUUGGUAUGAUGAAAUCGUAGAAAGAUAUUAAAUGCAAAUGAAACAUGAAUGUCUUGGUGUUGUUUAUGCAAAUGAUGUUUUAUGUGGAAUUUCAUGAUUAUGUUACUUGUUAUUUGCAUGUGAACUUACUAAGCAUUUAUGCUUACCCCCUCCUUUUCAUUCAUUGUAGUUGUUGACAAGCCGGCUUGAGAAUCGGGAUAGGUCGAAGAUUCGUCCACACUAUCCGAAGGCCUAAAUUGGUAAAAUGGCUUGUGUAUUUUGAAUGUGGCAUGUAUGGAAAAAUACUCACUUUGUGUAAAUGAUCUUACGAUAUGGCUAUGGUUUGGAAAGAAAAGGGUUUGUAAAUGGCAAUGGCCAAUCUAAGUCAUAUUUGAUGUUAUGUAUGUUUAAAAUGCUAUUUAGUCCAUGAAAAUCUAUAGUAAAAUAAAAUUUGCCAUAAAACAGAAUCUGACAGCAGCAGUGAUGUAAAAUUGAAAAAAUCACUAAAAAUAGUAGAAAUGGAAUUAAAUAAUUAGUAAGUUAUGAAAUUGAAUCUUGAUGAGUCUAUUGUCAUACGAAUGGAACAAAAUAGGUUUCUAAGUUAUAUUUUGUGAGAUAUUUAAGUUUUGGUGGAACAGGGUCAGAGUGAACUCUGUAUGCCCUUUUCUGACUUUAAAAAUUCACUAUAAAUUUUAAAAAUACAAUUAUGAGUUUUAUCUUACAUUAAUGGAAUCCUUGUUGAGUCUAGUUUUAUAAGAAACAAACGACAUAGUCAUUGAAACUCUGUACAGGGAGAUAUCUGAUUCGUAAUACACAGGGGUCAGAGUAUUCGAACCCUGAAAUAGGGGAGAUUUUAACUAAUAAACUGUACUAAUUGGCUUGACUAAAAAUUCUAGAAAAAAUUUAAUAAAUAGAUAUAUGAGUCUAGUUUCAGGGAAAAUUUUUGGAUAUUAAUUUUGAGUUUUGGAACUCGAUAUAUGAAUUUUUAAGCGAAUAUGAUGCAGUUGGUUAGCUUGUCUGGAAAUUUUAAAAAUAAAUUGUUUGAGCUGUUAAAUUAAUGAAUUAAGUUUAGUAACACCUCAAGCUCGACUCUGGCGACGGUCUAGGGCGUGAGGGCGUUACAUCUUUCUUAUGUAUUGGAUACCAAAGUAUCUAAAUCGAAGAUUAACUCAGUGGUAGUAGUCUGUGAGUAUCCUGAUGUGUUUCCAGAAGAGUUACCCGGAUUACCGCCCAUUAGAGAGGUUGAAUUUUCUAUAGAUCUUAUUCUAGGGACAACACCGAUAUCUAUAGCACCGUAUAGAAUGGUCUCUAUAGAAUUAAAAGAGUUAAAAGCACAGUUGCAAGAACUGACUAACAAGGCCUUUGCUCAACCCAGUCAUUCACCUUAUGUGCACCUGUUCUGUUUGUUAAGAAGAAAGAUGGAUCCUUGAGAAUAUGUAUUGACUAUAGACAGCUCAACAAAGUUACAAUCAAGAAUACAUAUCCACUGCCUCAUAUUGGUGACUUGUUUUACCAGUUAAAAGGUUCCAUAGUAUUUUCAAAGAUUGAUCUCCGUUUUGGUUAUUAUUAGUUACAAGUCAAAGACUCGGAUGUGCCCAAAACAACCUUUAAAACUAGGUACAGGCAUUAUGAAUUUCUUUUGAUGUCGUUUGGUUUGACAAAUGUACUUGCGGUAUUUAUGGAUUUGAUGAACAUAAUUUUCAGACCGUAUCUAGAUAGAUUUGUUGUUGUAUUCAUUGAUGAUAUUCUGAUAUAUUCCCAAGAUGAAAAUAAGCAUGUUGAUCAUUUCAGAAUUGUUUUGCAAACUCUGCGUGAAAAACAGUUGUAUGCUAAAUUCAAUUAAUGUGAAUUUUGGCUUUGAGAAGUUGGUUUUCUUCGGCAUAUAGCAUCUGCUAAAGGCAUCAAGAUAGAUUCGAAUAAAAUUUCAGCAAUUGUUAAUUGGAAACCACCAAAAAAUGUGUCUGAAGAUAAAAGUUUUCUCGGAUUAGCUGGUUAUUAUCAGAGAUUUGUACAAGGAUUCUCGAUGAUAGCUUCGUAGAUGACACGGUUGUUGCAGAAGGAUGUAAAAUUUGAAUGGACUGAUAAAUGUUAGAAAAGCUUUGAUCAGUUGAAAGCCCUGUUGACUAAAGCACCUGUAACAUCCCGAAUUAGGUCGUAGUCUGUGACAGCCCAAAAUUGACCCUAGUCGGGAAGUGGUUUCGGGACCACAAAACCGAGUCAUAAAAAUAAUUGAUUUCCAUAUUCUAUGCUUAUUAUGUGUGUACAUGAGUAUGUGGAAGUUUCAUUCUCCAAUUUUGCCAAUUGCAUGAGAAAUUAUUAAAUAGGGAUUGAUAUGAGACAUGGUGAAAAUAUGAUAGGCUAAUUUAAAAUGGUCUAUUAAUGCAUGUUGUGAAAAUGAUGGGUUUGCAUGUCAAAUUACCCAAAAUUUGAGCUAGUGGUUGGCCAUGCUAUGGGUGGAAACAUGUUGGGAACAUGUUGGCCUAGUGAGGUAUGUAGGAAAAAAAUAAAAUAAGGGGCAUGGGCAUAAAAUAAUGAAAAGGAGUAUGAUGAAUACAAAAAAAAAAUGUGUGUAGUUGUUUGUUCCCCCCCCAUUGCCGUGAGCUAAAGAAAAGAAAGGAGAGAAUUUUUGUUCAUCCUUUUCUCAUCCUUUGGUCCAUCCUUGGCCAAAAAAAUUUUAAGGAGGAAAGAAGAAGAAAGGUGAAGAGAUUCGGCCAUGCAUGUAGCUAGGCUAAGGUAUGUUGAUGAUGUUCCAUGAGAUGCAUGCAUGUUUUAGUUGUUAGCUUGAGUUCUACCUAGCCCAUGGUCUAAAUCUUGCUAUGUGAUGGAAAUGACAUUUGACCAUGGAUGCAUCAUUCUUGGUUGAUGUUUGAUGUGGUGGUGAUGAGGCAAGAGGAUGAGUUAAAAUUCGGCCUAGGUGGAGGUUGUGUUAAUGCCAUUGCAUGCUAAAUAUGAAGUUUGUUAAUGAUGCAUGUGAUGAUGACUUGAUGAUUCUUGAACCUCCUUUUUAGCAUUUUUGUGUGAGCACAUAUGUGCAUUGGUUGCUAAAUGGAGAAGAAUCGGCUAGCAAGUUGUGUGCUAAGGCCGAAUGUAACUUUGCAUGUUAAUGAGCAAUGCAUGUGUUAAAUUGAUGGAAAGGGGGAGGAUGCCUUACUAGUGUGUAUAUGUGUUUAUUAAGUGUUGAAAUCGACCCCAAAAAUAGACAUGCAUAUUCGGCCAAGGGGGAAAAAAAUUAGCUAAUAUGUUGUGUUGAUGCAUGAUUUCACAUGUAUGUGACUUUGAUGUCUAAUGUAUAAAUAUGGGCUAAGUGCUUCGUGUUCAUCUUUUUGAUGCCUAAAUGAUGAAAUCAAUUUAUUUGUUUAAUUAAGCUCAAGAGCAAAGGGGAAAUAGAUCCGAUAAAGGGAAGGAAAAAGUGGUCGAAUAGUUAGCGGAAUCGUUCGACAACACCCGAGGUAAGUUCUUGAGUAAGAGAGCUUAAAUUACGAUGUGAUUAAAUCAUGUUUUAAGCAAAUUAAAAUCAUGCUCUAUGUGUGGCUAUUGAGCCGAAUGUGCAAGGAUGGUAUGUGCCUUGUGUUUGAGUUUUGCUAAUGAAAAAGAAAUACGAAUGUGCCAUGAAUUAUUGUUAGAUGUGCAUGAUUAAUUGAAUGCUGUCCGGGCUAAGUCCCGAAGGCUUUGUGCUAAGUGACUAUAUCCGGACUAAGAUCCGAAGGCCUUUGUGCGAGAUACUAAUUCCGGGUUAAGUCCCGAAGGCAUUCGUGCGAGUUUUAAAAUCCGGGUUAAGUCCCGAAGGCAUUGAAUGAGUUACUAUAACCGGGCUAUGUCCCGAAGGCACUUGAACGAGGAGCUAAAUCCGGUUAAAUUCCGAAGGUACGUGAUUUUGGUAAUGAAUGAGCUUGCUGUAAAAUUCCAGCUAAUACUCGAAAAACAUCCCGAUAUUGGGAUAUGUUACGUAUGUGCUUGAAUUUAGUUGAGCCCUUACAAAUAAGUAUUCGCUCAGUUGAUAAACGAGCUACCGGCCUUUGGCUGAGUUGAUCUUUUGUGUAUGUACAUAAGGGUUGAUAAUGUGAAGCAAGUACGAUAUCGUAAAUUUGUGCAUAUGAAAUUAUCCGUUUAGCUAUAUGAAUGCUAUACUUUUGUUGUGCUGGAAUUCCUUGCUCAAAACUUACUAAGCAUAAAUUGCUUACUCCGUUUCAUUGCUCCUCUGUUUUAUAGAUUUGGUUCUCCAGCUAUCGGACUCGGGAUCUUGAAGUCAAAGUCGCCCACACUAUCAAAGCCCCCCCUUUUGGUACAAUUUUGGUUGAACUUCGAAAUGGCAUGUAUAGGACUACCCGUUGUUGUGGGUCGUGGACCCUUUGGACUUGUAUAAAUUUUGGAUAGCCAUGCGAAAAUGGCUUAUAUGUGUUUGAGUAUAAUGUUAUAAUCAUUUGGUGUGGAUAUGCUUGACAAGGAUUGGCCACGGGGAUGGUUAAUCACUUUCCUAAAUUGUGCUAUGUAUGCAAAAAGGGCUAGUUGAACCAUGAAAUAGGUAAAGCCUACCAUAAAGGUAGAUGCUGACAGCAUCAGUGACGUAGAUUUGGAAAAUCACUAAAAAUAGUAGGAUUGGAAUUAAAUAGUGAAUAAAUUUUUUAAACAAACCUUGAUGAAUCUACUUUCAUAGGAAAGUAACGAAACAAUCAUACGGACAGUAUGUUAAGAGAUAUUCAGGUUCUCGUGAGACAGGGCCAGAACAGUUUCUGGAUUCCCUGUUCCGACUUUGGAAAUUCAUUAUAAAUUAACCAGAGAUAAUUAGGAGUCAUACCAUAUAUGUAUAGAUUCUUCUCUGAGUCUAGUUUCUAUAGAAACAAACGGCAUCAGUAUUGGAUCCCUGUACAAGGAGAUAUCCAAGUCGUAAUGCGCAAAGGUCAGGGUAGUCGAUCCCUGUAAAAUGGGAGAUUUUGACUAAUAAACUGUACUAAUUGGCCCAACCAAAAAUUCUAGAAAAAAAUAUGUGGAUGGGAAUAUGAGUCUAGUUUCAGGGAAAAAUCACGAAACUGAUUUUCGAGUUGUGAAACUCAAGAUAUGAUUUUUAAAGCGACUAGUACGCAGAUUGGCAGUGUCUGGGAAAUAUUUUUUAUAAGGGGUUUAAAGUCUGUUAACACCUCGUGUUCGACUCCGGUGUCGGUCUCGGGUUCGGGGUGUUACAUAGUCGGAACAGUGGUUUCGACACCAUAAAUCUGAGAUAGAAAUAAUUACUUUAUGGAUGUUACGAGGUCCAUGAUAUAUAUGCAUGCUUGUGUGGAAAUAUUAAUGAGAAAUUUAACCGAUAAGGUGUCCAAUUGAGUUAUUAGGACUAAAUUGCAAUAAGUGAAAAACAUGAGUUCUAGUUGAUUUAAGGGUUUUAUUGUGUUGCGAUUUGAAAUUUGAAGUCCUUAUUUGGUAAUUAGACCAUUAUAUGUCAUUAUGGACAAAAAUGGACGUAGGAGGAAUAAAAUAUUAAAGUUAUAAUGGAAGGGCAUUUUGGUCCAUUGGUUAAUAAAAGAAUUAAAAGGGAAAAAUAGUCAAAUUUGUGUCCAUCUUCAUCCUCCUUGGUCGAAUUUCACAAGAAGCCAUAGCUAGGGUUUCAUUCAUCUUUCGAGCUCAAAAUAAGUGCAUUCUAGCCCCGUUUUUAAUGUUCUUUAUAUUUUUGAAAUCCUCGUAGCUCGAUUUAGCUAUUUCUACCCUUAAUUUGAGCUAGGGUUCAUGUUCAAAAACAUACCCAUGAAUGACAUGCUUGUGCUUUGAUGUCUAAUGGAAGAAUAUGGAUGUUUGAUGUGUGAUAAACAACUUUUACUAGUGGUUUUUGGUAAAAUUGAUAAAAAGUAAAAGUUGUAGAAACUAUGUGUAAAUGUGUGAAUAAAUGAAAAAUGUGGGUUGGUAUAUGAGGGAAAAUGAUUCGGCUAGGCUUGAAUAAUGAGAAUAAGGGUACUUUUCAUUUUACGAACCUAGGUGCAAUUCUGUAAUUUUGUAAAAUUUUAGGGGAAAAAUUGUAAUUUUGCAAUAUCAUGAUUUUUGGAAUGAAAUGAAUAAUGCAUGUAUUAAAUAAGCUAAAUGUGCUACUAUAGAUCAAGAGGGAUGAGGGAUAGACCUUGACCGAGGAAAAGGCAAGGUUGUGGACUAAAUCGCAAAUUUGUAAUAUUUUGCACAAAGGUAAGUUGUGUGUAAGUAAUUCAACAACUCCAAUAUUACAUAUCUAAUAUUUGACAUUAUAUGAUAAACGUAUGUAUGCCUUAAUGAAAUUGACUUGUGAUGAUCCAAUGGAAGUUUAGCGAUAGCCUCAUGCCUCAGAAGCCUGGGUGACCCAAAGGAAUACUUAGGACUUGGAUGUCGUGACACUGUGCUAAAUGAGAUUCUGUGUAAGACCAUGUCUGGGAUAUGGCAUCGACGAUGAUAUAUGUGCCUGUGUAAGACCAUGUCUAGGACAUGGCAUCGGCGAUGAUAUAUGUGCCUGUGUAAGACCAUGUCUGGGACAUGGCAUCGGCGACGAUAUAUGUGCCUAUGUAAGACCAUGUCUGGGAAAUGGCAUCAGCGAUGAUAUGUGUGCCAGUGUAAGACCAUGUCUAGGACAUGGCAUCGGGGAUGAUAUGUGGAUUCAUGUAAGACCAUGUUAGGGACAUGGCAUUGGUAUUUGAUUUGGUGUAUGACCAUUCAAGAUGUUGGGUUAAGAAGUGGAGUGAUAUGAGUAAGAAUGUGCGGUACAGGUAUGUACAUAAAUCUCAUGAGUAUUGAACUCAAUUCAUGAUGGGAAAUUUAGCAUAAGUAGAAAGGAGUAAGAUAAGCUUGAUGUUUAAUGACAUUUAAUGUCAAUUUUGACUACGUUCAUAUGUGUAGUAUGAUAUUGUGGUGAUAAUUGAUAAUAUGUUUAAUCCAUGAAUAUCUUGACUUAUGUUGUUUAUUAUUCACAUGCAACUUACUAAGUCUUGUGCUUACCCUUCUCUCGUUUCCCUUUUCUUUUAGCAUCGUCAAGCUAGCUCGGGGAUCGUGGACAUCAGAGCUUGAGUCACACUAUUAACAAAUCUUUUGGGGUAUAAUUAGUUUACUACAUUUAAGUAUGGCAUGUAUAGGGGACUUAAUAUUUUGUUAUUUGUGUCAUAUUUGUUAGCCAAAGUGAUGGCUCUUUUUGGUUUAUUGUUCCUUUUUGUAUAUGGCCAUGAAAUAUGGCUUAUAUUGAUUAUUGAGUUGAAAUCCCUAAAUAUUGUUACAUGCAUGACAUAUGUUAUUACUUUUGUGGUGUGUGCUAAAUGGUUGAUAAAAUGUGGAAUUUUUUCUUGAUGGAUAAAUGAUGCCAAUUGGUAUGGUCACUAUAUUAAUAAAGGUAAAGAAAUGUAUUGAAUGAACUUAAUAAGUCAAGGAGUCCCAAUUAGGUAAACUUGAUAUGAAUUCAUCAUGCAUGAGUGAAACCUAUAGAUGUCUACCUAACCCUUUUAUGCCAUGCCAACCACCAUUGGCAUGUGAGUGUGUGUUGGGGUUGUUAAGGGUGUCAAGAGGGCUUGGAAUAUAGCCUCAAAGUUGUCCACACGGGUAGACUCACAGGCAUGUGUCUAGGUCGUGUGUGACACACGGUCUGCCCCAUGGACAUGUAGUCCAGUCGUGUGUCCCAUGCACCCUAGUUUUAGAAGUCAGUAUGCAUGGUAGUAAACACACAGGUAGAGAUACGGCCAUCUGUCUCAAUCGUCUGGAGGACACGGCCUUAAGACAUGGGCGUGUGUCCAGGCUGUGUGACGUCUGCACCUUAAAUGCGAAAAUUAAAUUUGCCACAUGGCCUAGCACACAGGCGUGUGACUUGGCCAUGUGAAAUUAAAUUUAUACUGACGUCAUAAACAGAGUGUUACACGGCCUGGAGACACGGGCUUGUCAAGGGCGCAUGGGCAUGUCCUUGUGUCCACACGAGCGUAUGACCCUGUUUUAAGAAAAUUUUUCUAAAGUUCACGGUUUAGUCUGAAACUACCUCGAUGUACAUUUUGGGCCUCGUAGGACCCUAUAAGGGACGAUAUUUAUUCUUGAAUAAAUUUUAAAUUUGAACAAAAUUUUAUGUCUCGGUUUUACAUAGAAGUGUAUGUUCAAGUCGGGUAAUGCCUUGUAUCCUAUCCUGGCGUUGGACACAGGUAACAGAUGUUACAGCACUAGUUCUAGUUUAGCCUGAAUCGUGUAAGGGAUUUGUAAUAUAUAAUAAUGCAUCGUUGAAUGGUUUAGGCUAUGUGUUGAUGCAAGAAGGUAAAGUAAUAGCCUAUGCUUCUUGUAACAUCUUGAUUUUGGGUCUAGUCAGAACAGUGGUUUUGAAACCACAAAUCCGAGGAUGUAAAAUUAUUUUAAUAUUAUUUUUAGUGUUUAUAGCAUGUGAAUGUGUAUGUGUAAAAAAAUUUGUGAGCUAAUUUUACCGUUUAGUAGCUUCAUUUGAGAAAAAGGACUUAAUCGCGUAAAAUGUGAAAGUUGUGUUCUAUUAGCUAAAGGUGUUAAAUAGCUAUAGAACUUAAAAUUUGAGGUCCUAAAUGAGUAAUUAGGCCAUUAUAUAUGCAUAUGGCUUUACAUGAAGAGUAAUAAAUGAAAAGUCAAAAAGCCAAAAAUUGGGUAGGGUUGGUAUUUGAUGACAUUAGCUAAAUGAAUAAAAAAAUAAAAUCAAAUAGUCAUCUUUCUUCUCCAUCUUUUCCACCAAAAAUUGAAGUGAAAAACCCCAUGGGAGCUUGAAAAUUUUCAGCACAAUAAACCCCUACAUGUAAGUAAUUUUGAUGGUUAUUUUUGUUGAUUUUUGUGUUUUUGGAACCCUUAUAGCUUAAUUUAGCUAAUGAGGGGACUAUUUUGCACUAUGGUUGGAAGUCUAGGGUUUUUCCAUUAGAGCAUUAAUGUUUUUUACUGAAUUUUUUUGGAAUAAAAUGAAUUUUGGUUGUUAAAUAAACAACUUUUGUUAAGUGAUUUUCAUGAAAACACUUAAAGAGGACCUUUUUGUAAAAGUUGUAAAAUGAGUGGUAAAUGAGUAGAAUAACUAAAAUUGUGAGCUGUUAUAAGUUUAAUAAAGAUCUUGCUAGGCUUGAGUAGUAAGGAAAUUUGAUGAAAAUCAUUUUACGAGCCUAGGGGCUAAACUAUAAUUAUGUGAAAAUUUAAGGACAAAACUAUAAUUUUUUCAAAAUAUGAUUUAUGGGUUGUUUUGAAUAAUUUAAUAAUUAAAUAACUAAAAUUCUCUAUUAUAGAUCAAGAUAAACGGAGUCCGGGCCUAGACCGAGGAAAGAGCACGAUCUUGGACUAAAUCGAAAUAGUUGUCCAUAUUUUGUACCGACGUAAGUUUGUGUGUGAUUGAAACAAGUUUUUAUUAUCCAUUUAGCAUUUAAUGUUAUAUCAAUUGUAUAAUUGUCUUCACGAAUAUUAUCGAUGUUGUUCAAUAAAGAUUCGAGGUGAUAAAAGCCAGUUGAACCUUAGGGAUACUUAGGGUACAAGUAGGAUGACAUUUGGGUUGGUGAGAUCCCGUAUAAGACCAUAUCUGGGAUAUGACAUUGGCAUCAGCAUGAGUUAUCAUGUAAGGCCAUAUCUGGGAUAUGGCAUUGGUACGAGAUUUCGUGUAAGACUAUGUAAUAGACCAAUUUAGGGCCUAGUCAGAACAGUGGUUUUGGAACCACUAACCCGAGGUUGAAAAAAUUAUUUUUAAUAUUAUUUUAUGUGUUAUAGCAUGUUUAUAUGAGUGCAUGAAAAUUUUGGUGAAAUAAUUUUAGCGAUUUCAUGCUCAAUUGCGAAAAAGGACCAAAUCGCAUAGGAGACAAAAGUUUUAUUUCAUUAGCUAAAGGUGUCAAAUAGCUAUAGAACCAAAAUUAAGGGUAUUUAAAGGGAAAAUAGGCUUUUAUUAAUGGCAUGACUGGCCAUAGGGACAAGAAAAUCAAAAAUGUCAAAAAUUAGGUGAAAUUUGGUGACCAAUUUGACUAGAAUAAAAUAAAAUAAGGAAAAAUUAUCAUCUUUUUUUCUCUUCUUCUCUUCUCCACUGAAAUUUUCAGGAAGGAAGAGGGUCUUGAAAGCUUGAAAUUUUUAUCCAUUAAGUUCUCUCAUAAGUAAGUGAUUUUGAUGACUUUUCUUGAUAAUUUUUGUACUUUUGUGACCCUUGUAGCAUAAGCUAACUAAUGAAGGGACUAUUUUGCAAAAUGGUUGAGGGUCUAGGGUUUUUCCAUGAGAUUAUUCAUGUUGUUUGUCGAAUUUUUAUGGAAGAAAAUAAAUCUUGGUUGUUAAACAAACAAUUUUUGUGAAGUAGUCUAAGGACCAUUUUGUAUAAGUUAUAAAUUAUGUGGUAAAUGUGUGAAAUAAUGAGAAUUGUGGGCUGCUUCUAGUAUAAAAAGAAUUUGGCUAGGCUUGGGUAGUGAGAAAAUAUGAUGAAAAAUCGAUUUACGAGCCUAAGUGUAAAAUAGUAAUUUUGUGAAAGUUUAGGGGCGAAAUGGUCAUUUUUCCCAAAUAUGAAUUAUGGAAUGCAUUGAUUAAUAUGAUGAUUAAAUUAGUGAAUGUUUAUCAUUUUAGAUCAAGAAGUAUGAAAUCUAAACCUAGAUUGAGGGAAGGCCAAACAAGGAGAUUAAAUCCAACUAGUCGCCCACUUUUUGUAUACAGUGGUAAGUUGUACGUAAGUAAGGAAACUUUAUCAUUAUUAUGUGUUGAAUGAUUAAUUUUGCGUAAUAUGGUUGAACAUGCUUAUGAAUAAUGCAUGGUGAAAUUCAAUGUAGUAGAGUCCGGAUUGAACCUAGGAGUAGAUUGGAUAUCCAUGCCAUGAUGUUUGGGGGGUGUGUGUGCCAGUGUAAGAUCAUGUCUGGGAUGUAACACCCUAAACCCUGCCUAGAUGCUAUGGCCAAAAUCUGGCAUGUCACAUUGAAGUGUUUUUCGAAAACCAUAUUCUCAUUGAAAACCCUUCUUGCUAUUUAGAACCUCUAGCCAUUAUAAAACUUUGUGAAAACCUUAGUUUCUGUUGGUUUAUUAAAAGUCAUUCUCUUGUAAAACAUUAUUACCUUUAAAACUUUAUUUGCUGCGGAAGCUUAGUUUAAAGUUUUGCAGAAAUGUGAUAUUUUGAAAAACAAUUAUUAUUUUGGAAAAGAAAAUCGUGCUCUACUCCAGCAGUUAUAAAAUAGUAUAUAAAAUUCCAAUUUUAGAACCAGGAAUUAAAAGAGGCCUUGUUACAACCCAGAUCAAAUAUAAGUACUUCUAAAUAGAUAACUUAAAAGAAAGUCGGAAACAAUAGCAGUUGUGUUGCCACCUCCGAGUCCCUCGCAGCACUGAUCCUCCUAAUGCUAGGGAUUACCUGCACAGUCUAGUCCAUUAACAGUUGGGCCAAGUCCAUUCUCAAAAUCAGUAACAGUUGGGCCUAGCAAUAGAAUCAGGUGGGCCUCAGCCCAGUACAGAAUCAAUAUCAGAUGUAGAUAUGCAGAUAGAUUCCCAGCCCAGUCCAACCAACACACCACCCAUACCAACCAACACACCAUGUAGGGAUAAAAUUGACCCACCUAGCCAAGACACCAAGCUUAGUACUGGUUACGACACUAAGUCAACAGGAUGGCUCAAUACCGUAGACAGGACGGCUCAACGCCGUAGACAGGACGACUAAAGGCCAUAAGUAUCAUAUAAAGGCUGAAAGCCUUGUACAGAACGGCUACAGGCGACACACUUCCUCCGUCCAUAAUAACCUAACCCCAUGCAAUAUGUCAUGUAACACCCCAAACCCGACCCAAACGUUAUGGCCAGAUCUAACGUGUCACAUGGACUUACGACUUAGUAUGCAUUCGCUGGUUUAAGUAAUUGGGGUGGUCUUUGUAAAAACAGCGGUUGAAUGAAAAGUCGGUUUAUCAAUCUUUAGGCUAUCCAUUUGUUCUGCUUGUUGAGUCUUGAAAACGUUCAUUAAUUUUGAAAACUUGCGCAGCCUAACACUAGCAGUUUCGCCAUAGUAUAAAUAUAAUCAGAAAAUAAAACCAUAGCGGAAAAAAGAAAUUUAAAUAACAACCUUAUUACAACUUAAAACCCAAAAUUAAAUCAGAAUAUAAAAUAAUAAAAAUAAACUAACUUAGAAAAACCAACUUUGCAGAUGAUGUGGCCACUCCGAAUCCCUCACAGCUCCAAGGCCACUAUGGUUGGGGAUUUCCUGCAUAGAUGAAAAUAAAGGGUGAGUUCGGUAAACUUAGUGUGUAACAUAACUCAACCAUAGCCCAAAACAGAUCAAACCUCAGAGUCAGGGCCUUGGCCCAGUACAAAAAUCAGAAUGAAACCCAUAGGCCCAUAGCAGAUAGAGAACAAAUAUAUCAUGAAUGCAGAAAUCCCAACCUAGAGCCAUCCAUAACACCCCUGUACCAGCCUUACACCAUGUGGGGAGACUACUCGACCCACCCAACCGCUACACACCACAGAAAUUGCAGCGAGGCUACCAGAUAUUGUGACGAAGUCACCAGAUACAGAUAUUGUGGCUAGGCCACCAGAACAAAUAUAUAUAUGUGGUGAAGCCACCAGAUUGCAGCGAGGCUGCUAGAUAUUGUGACGAAGUCACCAGAACAGAUAUAUGUGGCGAGGCCACCAGAUUGCAGCGAGUCUUCCAGAAUGCUUCCACCAUCAAUAUAAACCCAUGUCCCAUGCAACAGAAAUAAUAUGUCAUGGCAUACGUAUAUAGAAACAGAACAUCAUGCUUUUCAGAAAAAAAUAACCCUAGGGGUAAAAUCGUAAAUUUGCAUGCAUAAGGGUAUUUCAGUAAUUAUUACCAAUUGCUAAGGUUUCAUGCUCAUUCUAACGUUUACCAAGUAAUCAGAAGUACUUACCUCGUCCUUUUACCAAAGUGGGCCCGUUGGCCCAUUGGCCCGUUUUCAGCCCAUUAAGCCCAAAAAUACAGUUGUGCACGAAAAUGCACACUCUGCACUUUAAUCAUCCAAAUGCACCAUAUUCAUUAACAACUGUCUCACUAGCGCUCGCACUCUCGUAAGUUCACAAAAUACCAGCGUUUCUGUAUUUCAGCUUUUACCAAUUCAGUCUAAGGGAGGGUGUCGUUUACACACCUGGUUGAUGACUAUUGAUGACGAUAUCUCCCACGCGAUAAUCCUACAAUCGAUCACUAACGCAUUAGACUUACGAAUUAAGGAUAACUAACAUAAAUCCACGUCAACUAACCCACUAAUCACACAAGUUAGUCAUUUACGCACAACGGGUAAAAUAGUCAUUUUACCCUCCAGGGGUAAAUCGGUAGUCCUACCUUACAGUGGUAUUUUAGUAAUUCUAUCCUACAGGGGUAUUUCAAUAAUUGUACAACUUAUCCACUUGGGCCUACGGACCCAUUGGGACCACAUGGCCCAUUUUAGCCCAUUACGGCCCGGAAUAGCCGUCCUACUGCUAGAGUAAUGAGAAAUACACACCUGUUAGGAGACUGCAGUUAAUCCGCACUCCAAACACUCUUAGCUGACGCCCAACCUAAACGAGCACGUCACAAAGCGAAUGGGAUCAGCCAAGAAGAGUAUGCCUACUCUCCUCAUGGUUUGCUCUAUUUAAAGCCAGUUCUCCAUCUACUCUUAUGUUAGCUUCCUGAUGUGGGAUCCCUCCAUCACCAGAGUUUAAAACCAACACCAACCCUUGCCGUCCCAACAUAGCAAAAUAAUCAACCUUUACGUGCCAAGGGAUUCGAACCAAAGUCCUCUCACAUGCCAACUCACGUCACCACCACUAGGCCAUCAACUCAUUUGUGUCAUAAAUCCAACAUAUUAAACUUUAAAGUGCACCUACUUGCUUCCAGAUUUAUUGAAAAGAAAAACCAAAAUAUAUUGCAAGAGCCAAGACCUGAACCUUGGACCCCUUGCUUCCUCUAUGGUGUCACUUCCUUGUCCCCUAAGUGGCGCCACCUUGCCACUACACCACACUUCUUUUUGUGUUAUCUUUUACCCCUUUACUCUUAAAAGCCCAAACGCCAAUUGCAUCACCUGUUCAUAAAAUUAAAAUUUCGAAGACUACCACGGAUUUAACUUAAGUUUGGGCCUUCUAAAGGCCCACUAACUUACUAAAAUAUAUAUUUUAACCAACCAUAUCACACAAAAAUUUUAAAAAUCAUAGAAACACAGAAAACUCAAAAAUUGGGGCAUUACAACUCUACCCUCCUUAAAGAAAUUUUGUCCUCGAAAUUUUACCUCUCCCACUCACAAAAUCCAUGGUUACCCUCUCUCACUUCCAAAGUGGUACUUUCACUGGCUGCAAAAGUCUGGAAGGUAAUUGAUGUUUAGCUUUCACUUGCUGACAAGUCAGACAUUUUCCUACAACUUUUGUUACCUCUCGCUUCAAUCCAGGCCACCAAUACAACUCUUUUAAGUCGCGAUACAUUUUACUCCCUCCAGGAUGCAUAGCACACAGACCUCCAUGGGCUUCUUUCAGAAUUGCUUGCCUCAAGUCAGAGUCCUUAGGAAUACAAACUCUACCUCGGUAACACAGAACUCCCUCACUGUUCAGUCUGAACUCAGAAGUAUCCCCAUUCUUAACCUGCCAGAAUCGAGAAACCAGGGACUCAUCCCUCGACUGUUUUUCCUUAAUCUCAUCUACCCAGGUCGGCCUAACUUGUAGUUCUGCUAACAGACUACCGUCGUCAUACAGACUCAAAUGAGAAAACAUGGCUCUCAGAUCAGAUAUAGUUCUAUGACUUAGGGCAUCAUCCACUACAUUAGCUUUGCCUGGGUGAUACUCAAUCGCGCAGUCAUAAUCCUUAAGAAACUCUAUCCAUCUCCGCUGCCCAAGGUUUAUCUCCUUCUGAGUCAGCAAGUACUUAAGACUCUUAUGAUCUGUGUAUAUAAUACACCUUUCUCUGUACAGGUAAUGUCUCCAAAUCUUAAGCGCAAAGAUUACUGCUACCAACUCCAGAUCAUGAGUAGGAUAGUUAACUUCAUGUGGUUUAAGUUGUCGCGAUGCAUAAGGAACCACUUUAUCCUCUUGCAUCAGCACACAGCCCAACCCUACAUGUGAUGCAUCACUGCAUACGGUAAAAUCUUUUCCAGACUCCGGCUGAAUCAGUACAGGUGCCUCGCUCAGAACUUUCUUCAACUUCUCAAAAGAUUCUUAUUGUUUCUCAGUCCAAACAAACGGUACUCCCUUCCUUAUAAGCUUUGUCAAAGGCGCUGCCAUCACAGAAAAUCCUUCCACAAACCUUUUAUAGUAUCCAGCGAAACCCAAAAAACUUUAAAUUUCCGACACUGACCUCGGUGGCUUCCAUUCCAGAAUCACUUCAAUCUUUCGAGGGUCCACCUUGAUCCCUUCAGCAGAGACAACAUGCCCCAAGAAAGUUACCUCUCUCAACCAGAACUCACACUUUCUAAAUUUCGGAUAAAGCUCCUUCUCCCUCAGCACUUGCAGCACAAUACGAAGAUGCUCAUAAUGCUUCUCCUCAGUUUCAGAAUAAACCAGAAUAUCAUCGAUAAAGAAAACCACGAAUCGAUCCAAGUAUGGCUGGAACACUCGAUUCAUCAGAUCCAUAAAUGCCGCAAGUGUGUUCGUCAACCCAAAUGGCAUAACCAAGAACUUAUAGUGACCAUACCGAGUUCUGAAUGUCGUCUUGUGAAUAUCCACCUCCUUAACCCUCAACUGAUGAUACCCAGAUUGAAGGUCAAUCUUUGAAAAUACUGAAGCUCCUCUAAGUUGGUCGAAUUAAUCAUCGAUUCUCGGCAGUGGGUACUUGUUCUUAAUCGUCAGUUUGUUCAACUGUCGAUAAUUGAUGCACAUCUGCAUUGACCCAUCUUUCUUCUUUAUGAACAACACUGGUGCUCCCCAUGGAGACACACUUGGUCUAAUGAAGCCUCUAUCCUAUAACUCUUGAAUUUGGGCCUUCAGCUCCACCAACUCCUUCGGUGCCAUCCUAUAAGGUUUAAUGGACACCGGUGCCGUUCCAGGCAACAAGUCGAUUCCAAACUCAACCUCUCGAUUUGGGGGCAAACUCGGAAGCUCCUCUGGAAAAACAUCUUGAAAAUCCUUGACGGUUCUAACUUUAUCCACUGCCAGAUGCUCAGUUUCCGAUUGGCUUACAAAUGCCAAAUAAGCCUCACAUCCCUUUCGAAUCCACUUCUUGGCUCUCAAUACUGACACCACAUUAGACAGAUAAUCCCUACGCUCGUCUAUCACCAAAACCUCCUCAUCCUUUGUGGUCUUUAACAUUAUUCGCUUAGCAGCACAAUCUAGAGUAGCCCUAUGCUUAACAAGCCAAUCCAUUCCCAAAAUAAGAUCGAAUUCUCCGAAAGGUAGCUCCAUCAGAUCUCUAGAGAAAACUUUUCCUUGAGUUUCUAUAGGCACAUCUCUAUACAAUUUAUCUACUCUAACUGAGUGACCCAAAGGACUUAGUACAGAUACCCCACUUACGGUCUCCUCAGAGCACACACCCAGCGACCCAGAUAUAGCACAUGCAACAUAUGAAUGGGUAGAUCCAGCAUCUAUCAACGCAGUGUAUGGCAUACUGGAAAUCAGAAACGUACCAUUUAUGAUGUCAAGUGCAUCACCCUCCUCUCGGCGACGAGCUGCAUACACCAACUCCAGCUGAUGAGCCUCAGCAAAUCAGCACCCCUGCCAGGCGCUCAUUUUCCUCGACCGUUUCCAUUACCACCUUUUCCUUGCCGCUUCCUCUCGGAAUCUAUGGUCCACCCCUUACUGGUUGAGCGACCCACUGCUCUAAAACUUGAACCUGAUCUGGUUCUUGGGGACAAUCCUUAACCCUAUGCUCCACAGAUCUGCAUUGGAAACAAGCACCAGAAUGUUUCCGACACUCAUCCAUAUGCAUCUUCCCACAAUUCCUACAACCCUCCGGUCUAAUAGCAUUCAUCGGUACUGCUCGAACUAGCUCCAUUACCCUUGCUCUCUUAACAUUCCUGUUCAUACCACCUGAAAGUCCUGAAUCUCUCCUAAAACAGUUCUGAUCUUUCUUACGAUUCUAUCUUUCUCUAUGCUUCACUUCCUCAGCUAUCUUAGCUUUUUCCACUAAAGCAGUGAAGUUACACUCCCUCUGUGGAGCAAUCAGCACCCUAAGUUCAUCUCUUAGACCAUCCUCGAAGCGUACGCUAUGCUCAUACUCUGUAGCGACAAUCGCAGAAGCAUACCGGCUAGUCUCAGAAACUCAGACUCAUACUCAGCCAUUGACUUACUCCCUUGGACCAGGUUCAGAAAUUCUUUUCGGUGAGCGUCCACGUAACUAGCCCCAACAUACCUUCCUUUGAAGGCUGUCUUAAACAACUCCCAAGUCACACUGUCAGCAGGAGUUCCAUCUCUCAUCGUGAGCCACCACUGAUAAGCCUCAUCCCUGAGUAACGAUAUGGCUCCCUUCAGCUUCUGCUCCACAGAGCAAUCCAGAUCAUCCAUAAUUCGCUCUGUGGCUUCUAACCAAUACUUAGCCACAUUCGGAGCUACACCAAAUACGCCCCUAAAUAUCUCUGCUCCAUUGGCCCGGAGACGCUCAGAAUUGGACCCCCUAAUUUUGUUUCCCGUACUUGCCCCAACAAUCCUUUCCAAAACUCGAAACAUUUCCUAGGAUAGAGCAUCGUCCCCGAUACCUCGAUCACGACACUCUACCUCUGUUGCUGGUGGUACCAGUGCAUCUACUGCCGGCACAUGUCCUGAAGACAAAGAUUCAGCCUCAGCAUUACCUCGGCCACGUCCACGGCCUCUUCCACGAGCUGCUCGUGUACUCAUUUUGUAUUAUCUGAUUAAGAAUUUUAUGAAUCAGUUAAAUAUUUUAGUCUUUAUUACAGAUGUCUUAUGAAUAAUAGUAAUUCAGAGUUUGAGUUUGUUUCCUUUUACGGUAGCCUAGCUACAGUCUUAGUCUACUUAUCAGAGUUUCUACGGUUCCAGUGUUACCCUAACUAAAGUACCAUGAUAAGGUUUUGUACAAGCAUAUAAUAGAUAUUUUAGAAACAAUUAGAAAGGCUCAGAAAACUUACAGACUUGGGCCAGAGAUUCGGUGUGCCACCUUCUAAAAAACCUAAUUUUAGAAAACCGAUUUUAAUCUUUAAAAUCAUCUAUUUGUAAAGAGAAAAUAUUGGAAACAUUCUUGAAAACAAUUUAUAAUCAAGUUCCAAAAAAAUGAUUUUCGAAAACCUUUAUUCAGUGUUUCUUUACAAACUCCCGUUUUUAGACCCGUUCCACAAUCGUGUUGUUGCAACUUGUCUUUAAUACCACUAAAUGUAACUCCCUAAACUCGACUCAGACGUUAUGGCUAGAUCUGACGUGUCACAUGGACUUACGACUUAGUAUGCAUUCGCUGGUUUAAGUGAUUGGGGUGGUCUUUGUAAAAAUAGCGGUUGAAUGAAAAGCCGGUUUAUCAAUCUUUAGGCUAUCCAUUUGUUCUGCUUGUUGAGUCUUGAAAACGUUCAUUAAUUUUGAAAAACCCGCGCAGCCUAACACUAGCAGUUUCGUCAUAGUAUAAAUAUAAUCAGAAAAUAAAACCAUAGCAGAAAAAAGAAAUUUAAAUAACGGCCUUGUUACAACUUAAAACCCAAAAUUAAAUCAGAAUAUAAAAUAAUAAAAAUAAACUAACUUAGAAAAACCAACUUUGCAGAUGAUGUGGCCACUCCUAAUCCCUCACAGCUCCAAGCCCACUAUGGUUGGCGAUUUCCUACAGAGAUGAAAGUAAAGGGUGAGUUCGGUAAACUCAGUGUGUAACAUAACCCAACCAUAGCCCAAAACAGAUCAAACCUUAGAGUUAGACUUAUCUAGCCCUUGGCCCAGUACAGAAAUCAGAAUGAAACCCAUAGGCCUAUAGCAGAUACAAAACAAAUAUAACAUGAAUGCAGAAAUCCCAACCCAAAGCCAUCCAUAACACCCCCGUACCAGCCUUACACCAUGUGGGGAGACUACUCGACCCACCCAACUGCUACGUACCAUAGAAAUUGCAACGAGGCUACCAGAUAUUGUGACGAAGUCACCAGAUACAGAUAAUGUGGUUAGGCCACCAGAACAUAUAUAUAUGUGUUUGUGUGUGGCGAAGCCAUCAGAUUGUAGCGAGGCUGCUAGAUAUUGUGACGAAGUCACUAGAACAGAUAUAUGUGGCGAGGCCACCAGAUUGCAGCAAGACUGCUAGAACGCUUCCUCCAUCAAUAUAAACCCAUGUCCCAUGCAACAGAAAUACUAUGUCAUGGCAUACGUACACAGAAACAGAACAUCAUGCUUUUCAGAAAUAAAAUAACCCUAGGGGUAAAAUCAUAAUUUUGCAUGCAUAAGGGUAUUUCAGUAAUUAUUACCUAUUGCUAAGGUUUCAUGCUCAUUCUAAUGUUUACCAAGUAAUCAGAAGUACUUACCUCGUCUUUUUACCAAAGUGGGCCCGUUGGCCCAUUGGCCUGUUUUCGACCCAUUAAGCCCAAAAAUACCAUUGUGCACGAAAAUGCACACUCUACACUCUAAUCAUCCAAAUGCACCACACUCUACCAUUGCUCGCACGCUCGCGAGUUCACAAAAUACCAACGUUUCAGUAUUUCAGCUUUUAUCGAUUCAGUCUAAAGGAGGGUGUCGUUUACACACCUGGUUGACGACGAUUGAUGACGAUAUCUCCCACGUGAUAAUCCUAGAAUUGAUCACUAACACAUUAGACUUCUGAAUUAAUGAUAACUAACAAAAAUCCACGUCAACUAACCCAAUCAUCAGACAAGUUAGUCAUUUAUGCAAGACGGGCAAAAUAGUCAUUUUACCCUCCAGGGGUAAAUCGGUAGUCCUACCCUACAGGGGUAUUUCAAUAAUUCUAAAACUUAUCCACUUGGGCCUACGGACCCAUUGGGACCACAUGGCCUAUUUUAGCCCAUCGAGGCCCGAAAUAGCCGUCCUACUGCUAGAGAAUGAGAAAUACAUACCUACUAGGAGACUGCAGUUAAUCAGAUCUCCAAACACUCUUAGCUGACGCCCAACCCAAACGAGCACGUCACAAAGUGAAAGGGAUCAGCCAAGAAGGGUAUGCCUACUCUCCUCAUGGUUUGCUCUAUUUAAAGCCAGCUCUCCAUCUACUCUUAUGUUAGCUUCCCGAUGUGGGAUCCCUCCAUCACCAGAGUUUAAAACCAACACCAACUCUUGCCGGCCCAACAUUGCAAAAUAAUCAACAUUUACGUUCCAAGGGAUUCGAACCAAAGUCCUCUCACAUGCCAACUCACGCCACCACCACCAGGCCAUCAACUCAUUUGUGUCAUAAAUCCAACACAUUAAACUUUAAAGCGCACCUACUUGCUUCCAGAUUUAUUGAAAAGAAAAACCAAAAUAUAUUGCAAGAGCCAAGACUUGAACCUUGGACCCCUUGCUUCCUCUAUGGCGUCACUUCCUUGUCCCCUAAGUGGCGCCACCUUGCCACUACACCACACUCCUUUUUGUGUCAUCUUUUACCCCGUUACUCUUAAAAGCCCAAACGACAAUUGCAUCACCUGUUCAUAAAAUUAAAAUUUUGAAGACUACCACGAAUUUAACUUAAGUUUGGGCCUUUCAAAGGCCCACUAACCUACUAAAAUAUAUAUUUUAACCAACCAGAAUACACACAAAUUUUUAAAAUCACAGAAACACAGAAAACCCAAAAAUUGGGGCGUUACAUGUCAUGCCAUAAAUAUUACGUUCAUGCAAAGUCAAACUUAGCACAAUCAUAUAUGUAAAUCAUAGGCACAUCAGUCAUAUGUAACAUAAGGGCAUAAUCGUCAUUUUACCAUACAGGGGUAUUACUGUUAUUUUACACUAUAAAGGUAUUUUGGUGAUUUUACAAAUCGGGGUCUUAACAACCCAACAGAAGGUCCACCUCGCCUUGGUCGACUUAAGUAACCUAAAUAGACAUAACGGUGCAAAUAGCCCUAAGGCCCAUUACUCGGCCCAAAUGGGCCCACACCCUUGUAUGGCCCAUUUAGCCCAAAUUUAGAUACUGCUAUGUGACCUACAUAGCCCAGUCCGAUAAUUAUCACAAAUUAUACUUUUAAUCCAUGUGGGGCCCAUAAGCUAUUAGGCACACAUAGUCCAUUUAGGCCCAACGUGACCCAGAACUACCUAAGUCGUGUGCGCGACAUUACAAGUCUAUCUACAUCUCACUUAACAUUGAAGUUUACACAAGCGAGCCCACGGACCCAACGGGCCCAUCGAGGCCCAGACAGCCCUAGCACACGAGAACGCUCGUGGCGGCCUCUACAGUGUAUCGCCUAUGAUUUGUGGGCUUGAUUCGCCCCUCGUGUGUUCACAUGCUUGUAAGCCCGCAAAUGCCAAGGUUUUAGCUAUUCGGCUUUUGUCGACUUCCAACAAAGAAGGGUGUGAAUACACACCAGUUAAUGAGAAUGCGUCAAAGUCCACGAGCACCAACCUUGGUUAAGCAGGUAUGAAAUAAUCCCCCUUAAAACCAGUGAUCACCAACUCAUCUUAUUCACUCUAUUUAAAGCCAGUUUCUCACCAAUUCUCAUGUUAUCUUCCCGAUGUGGGAUUACUUUCAACCAUUAGGAAAAUUUCUUAUUUUUAUAUGACCAGUUCAACCACAGAGUUCCAGUCCAACUCCACUUCCUACACAGCUCAAAUAGCAAAAUAAAUACCCCAUUAUGCAUCCCAAGACUUGAGCCUUAGAUCUCAUAGUUACACAACACAGCACCUUGCGACUAGACCACAAGGCUCUUUGUGUCACCAUUUUAGCCUCAAUUAAUUAUAAGGUCUGUAGGCCAAAGUCUAGGUUCCUUUAAAAGAAAAGCCAAAAUAAAUUGCAAGAGCCAAGACUUGAACCCAAGCUCCCUUGUAACCUUAAUGAUGCGACAACCACUAGACCACUUGCACCCUUGUGACAUUUAUUUACCACAAUAAUUUAAAAGGCCUUCAUCCAAGCACCCAGGGUUUUAUUCACUUAAAACCAAAAUUUUUGCUAAAAACCCAAGUUUGAACCCAAGAUUUCUCCAACACUUCUCAGAGCCAUUAACCACCAAAGCAGAAAUUUAAUUGUGUCAUUUCCUUGCAGAAUUAAAUGCUUAUAUACAACCUCCUUACAGACUCAUACUCAAGGCCCAAUACUUCUAGGCCCAAAUCUGGGAUGUUACAAUUAUACCCCUUUAAAGAAAUUCCGUCCUCGAAAUUUCCAACUAUCAGAACAAUCGCUUAGCUCAAUCUACACCAUUACGCUCCCGCUGCGCACUCUAGUUCCAAACUACACUAACACACUUUUAAUUAACUUAAUCUCAAAACCUCUCACACCCAACCAAACAUCGAACCACAUAAGCAAACAAAUAUUUACCACACAUGCAUACAAUUUCUAUAUUCAAACAUCACAUCCAAAGAAAACACACUUGACUUAAAAGAAAUUGUGCAAUCCCAAACUCGAUGCUCUUUAGACCCGCAUCUAUGACACGCUCCUAACUUCCUCCAGCAUUCGUCCGAAUGGCAACUUUUGCAACGCUCGCAAGCCAGAAAGUUUAGAUGCGUCUUAACGCGUUUCACAGAAUAAGGCUCCUACUUCAUAGGACUGUGAUCCCUCUUCCUGCUACACUCUAAGCACCUGGCCUGAAGUGUUUCACCAUAUGCCUUAACUCUUGCCUCGAACACUUCUUCCAGCACUUUCCUCACCAACCAGGUCAGUGCCUCCGUACCAAGCUUCAGGUUAUUGUGACCUGAAGAUGGCUGACUUACCUUGACUACAUUCUCUUGAACCAUCUCAUGUUCCGGGGAGACGGGCAACUCCUCGUGACUUUGCUUACCUUUGGAAUCUAUCACAGUACUGUUGCUAAAUUAAAAAAAUCUACUUCUAGAACAUACACUGAAUAAAUACAAAAUCUAACUUUAAGUACAGUCUAACAGAAAACAUACAAAUUCGAUGCCGGAGACUCCAUAACCACACUUUCAAGAAAAUAUUCAGAAAAACAUUUCAAAUACUUCAAAUCUUUUCAAACCUUUUUGAAACAAUUCUUUCAAAAAUCCAAUUUUAAAACCCAUUCCACAGUCAAGUUUUGCAACUUGGCUCUGAUACCAUUAAAUGUAACACCCCAAACCUAGCCUAGACACUGUGGCCGAAAUUUGGCCUGUCACACUGAAGUGUUUUUCGAAAACCAUGUUUUCAUUGAAAACCCUUCUUGCUAUUUAGAACCUCUGGCCAUUUUAAAACUUUGUGAAAACCUUAGUUUCCGUUGGUUUAUUAAAAUUCAUUUUCUUGUAAAACAUUAUUACCUUCAAAACUUUAUUUACUGUGAAAGCUUAGUUUAAAGUUUUGCGGAAACAUGAUAUUUUGAAAAAUAGCUAUUGUUUUGGAAAAGAAAAUCGUGUUCUACUCCAGCAGUUAUAAAACAUUAUACAAAAUUCCAAAUUUAGACCCAGAAAUUAAAAGAGGCCUUGUUACAACCUAGAUCAAAUAUAAGUACUUGUAAAUAUAUAACCUAAAAGAAAGUCGGAAACAAUAGUAGUUGUGUGGCCACCUCCGAGUCCCUCACAGCACUAAUCCUCCUAAUGCUGGAGAUUACUUGCACAGUUAAUAAACGGGGUGAGUUUAUGAAAACUCAAUGUGUAAUCCCCUCCUAAACUAAAAUAGUUAGUAAACAGACAAAAUUUAGAAUUAGUCUAGGCUAGUGUCCAUUACAGUAACAGAACAAUGUGUGUGGCCCAAAGCCCAGUAUAAUUUCACUUGGGUCUCAGCCCUCAUCAAAAUCAAUUAGGCCUCGCCUAUUCUCAAAAUCAGUAACAGUUAGGCUGAGCCCAUUAUCAAAAUUAGGUGGGCCUAAGCCCAGUAUAGAAUCAGCAUCAGAUGCAGACGUGACAGCCCAAAAUUGACCCUAGUCGGGAAGUGGUUUCGGGACCACAAAACCGAGUCAUAAAAAUAAUUGAUUUCCAUAUUCUAUGCUUAUUAUGUGUGUACAUGAGUAUGUGGAAGUUUCAUUCUCCAAUUUUGCCAGUUGCAUGGGAAAUUAUUAAAUAGGGAUUGAUAUGAGACAUGGUGAAAAUAUGAUAGGCUAAUUUAAAAUGGUCUAUUAAUGCAUGUUGUGAAAAUGAUGGGUUUGCAUGUCAAAUUACCCAAAAUUUGAGCUAGUGGUUGGCCAUGCUAUGGGUGGAAACAUGUUGGGAACAUGUUGGCCUAGUGAGGUAUGUAGGAAAAAAAUAAAAUAAUAAGCAUGAUAAUUAAAUAAUGAAAGGAAGGGUGAUGAAAAAAAAAACAAUAAUGGUCUCAUGCAUACACCCCAUUGCCGUGAGCUAAAGGAAGGAAAAGAAAGGUUUUGUUCAUCCUUUUUCAACCUCUUUUGACCGAAAAUCCUAAGGAAGAGGAUUAGGAGGAAGUUGGCCAUGCAUGUAACUAGAUUGAGGUAUGUUUAAUGUUAUUCUUUGAGAUUCAUGUAUAUUUUAAGUUGUAAGUUCAAAAUCUACCUAGCCAUGGUUCAAACUUUGUUAAAUGAUGGAGAUGACAUUCGACCAUGAAUGUUACGUUCUUGGUUGGUAUUUUGAUGUCUUUGGUGAUGAGGUAAGGAGAUGGUUGACUUUGGGUGUUUAAUAAAAGGGUUUGGAUGUGAGAGUGUGUGAGAAGUAGAAAUGAGGAGUCUUAGCAACUCCAUGAAGGUUCGACCAUGGUAGUUUGAGGAUUUGAGAUUUUAUCUCUUGUUAAAAAUUUGAUGAAUCCUAGUGUGUGAAGUGUUUGAACCAACUAAGGAUUAAUAGAUGCAUGGGUACAAAGUAGGAAGAAUCGGCUACUAUGGUGGACACCAAUGCCGAAUGUAAAGAUGUUAUAGUAAAUAAUGUAUGUGAUUUGAGUUGAUAAUGUGAAAAAGGAUAAUUAGAUGUAUUAUAAAUGAUAUAAAGAUUUUAGAAAUUAUUUUGGUUAGGUGUGUGUAUGAUUAAGUAUAUUCGGCAAUAUACUUAAAGUGAGUAUUUGAUAUUAUAUGGGAGUAUGUAUAUUCGGCCACAUGAGUAAAUAUAUAUAUGAUGUUAAAUUUGAUUAUGUAUAAUGGGCAUUAAGAUGUGGAACUUAAGAAAUGUAGUCAUAUGUGGAAUUACAUGAUGUUAUAGUUGACAUUGUACACACAUACAUCCAUUCGGCCAUCAACAUGAGUAGUUAGUGAGGAUGGUUGCCGAAUAUACAAACAUACAUAAGCAUGUGUAAUUGAAUUAUGAAUGUUUAACAAGAUGGUUAAACUAGUGAAUUAUUGAUUAAGCUCAAGGAGCUAAAGGAGGAGAAUCAAGCAAAGGCAAAGAAAAGAUCACUGAGUAGCCGAGUUGGAACCGUCUUACCCAACACAAGGUAAGUCAUUAAGCAUGUAGUUGGUAUUGUUUCAAAUGGUCAUAAUGUUUAUGUAUUGAUGCUGAAUGGAAUGAAUAAAUAUACAUAUAUAUAUAUGCAUGUACGUAUGUGAUGAUGAAAUUGUUAAACGAAAAGAAAAGAGGUAAGAUGUACUGAGUUGUUGAUCUCGGCACUAAACGUGCGGGUAUAACCAUUUAUGACCAUGAGAUUGGCGCUAAGUGCGCGGGAUUAAAUUGUACAGCACUAAGUGUGUGAUUUGACUAUGUUGCACUAAGUGUGCGAAAUGAAUAUGAUGCACUAAGUGUGCGAAUUGACCAUGCGGCACUAAGUGUGCGAGUUUGACUAUGUAGCACUAAGUGUGCGAUUUGAUUACGUAGCACUAAGUGUGCGAGUUGAUUAUAUAGCACUGAGUGUGCGGACUCAAUAUGCAUUCGUGAAUCAUUAUGGACACUAUGUGUGCGACACUAUUGAGUCGAUCGCGGACAGCGGAUCGGGUAAGUGUCUUGAGUACAUGGCUAAUAGGUGCUAUGCUUAUACUUGGUGUUGAGCUCGGUAAGUUUGAACCUAUGUGACAACCAUACUUGAAGUCACGUACAUAAAAUUUAUCGUAGGAUAGGUGAAAGGCCGUUUAGUCGUUUGAUUGUAACGAAAAUAAAUUGAUUUAUGAAAAUGCUUCAAUGUCCUAUUGAUGAGUAUAUGGAAUGUGAAUGCAUGAAUUGAUAUGAAAUUGAAUCGAUAGGUUGGAGGAACUAUGGUAUGGUUCGGAAUGGAUGGAGUAAUUAGCCUCGUUCCAUUUUGUUUUCUCUUGUGAUAAUGUUAUUGAUGGAUGGUAGUGCAUAGCUUAUGACUUACUGAGUUAUAAACUCACUCGGUGUUUCCUUGUCACCUAUUCUAGGUUUCUUGGACACAUCUCUUUUUGCGUGAUCGGGCCGUCAUCGAAGUCAUCACACCGGAUAGCAAGUUUUGGUACUUUCUUCUUAGUUGGCUUAGAAGAACAUUUUGGCAUGUAUAAGCUAUUACGUUGUGUUUGAACUUUGGCAUGUAAACUUUAAGCCAUGCGAAAAUGGCACGAAUGUUCGAUUGAGUUGGAUCAAGGGUAGGCAUGAAAUGGACCUAGUUACUUUCGUAACAGAUGCUGGCAGCAGCAGUGUCAUGAGAUUGAAAAAUCACUAAAAAUAGUAGGAGUGGAAUUAAUUGAUGAAUAAAUUAUGUAAUCGAAGCUCGAUGAGUCUGUUUUCAUGAGGAAGUAACGAAAAGAUCAUAUGGGCAGUAUAUUAAGAGAUAAUCAGAUUUUUGUGGGACAGGGCCAGAACGGUUUCUGGAUUCCCUACUCCGACUUUGGAAAUUCAUUAUAAAUUAACCAGAGAUAAUUAGGGGUCGUACCAUAUAUGUAUAGAUUCCUCUCUGAGUCUAGUUUUCAUAGAAACAAACGUCAUCAGUAUUGAAGACCCGUGCAGGGAGAUAUCCAAGUCUAAUGGGAAAAGGUCAGUGUAGUCGACCCCUGCAACAUGGGAGACUUUGACUAAUAAACUGUACUAAUUGGCCCGACCAAAAAUUCUAGAAAAAAAUACAUAGAUGGGCACAUGAGUCUAGUUUCUGGGAAAAAUUACGAAACUGAUUUUCGAGUUACGAAACUCAAGAUAUGAUUUUUAAAACGACUAGUACACAGAUUGGGCAGUGUCUGGAAAAUAAAUUUUAUAAGGGGUUAAAGUCAGUUAACACCUCGUGUUCGACUCCGGUGUCGGUUUCGGGUUCGGGGUGUUACAUUUGAUUGGUAUCAGAGCUAUGGUUUAGUCGGUUCUAGGACUACCAUAGCACGUAUGAGUCUAGCUAUACAUGCCUUAAUGUUAAUGUUUAAAAGGGUGAUGACUUCUGACGGUUGAAAUGUUUUUGUUUUGAUUAGUAAAUGGAUCCCGGUGUAGAAAGAACCCUAGCGGAUGACGUUGAGAGCGUAGCGGCUGCUCCUGCACAAGGGACGCCGCCUAUUGAACCUCAGUCAUCUGCGAAUAAUCAAGGUGAGGGGGCUAAACAAGUCUUCUUUACCAUGAUGAAUGAGUGGGUCGCGCAAUAUGCCCGAACCAACCCGGCUAUCCAACAAUUCCCAAAUUUGAAUAAUCCACCCCAAGAGCCUGUAAUGCCAUCAGUCGCUGAUCCUGUGAGGCUGAGUAAGCCACCUGUAGACUUGAUUAGGAAGCGUGGGGCCGAGGAGUUCAAGGCCAUAGUAACUGAUGAUGCCGAAAGGGCCGAGUUCUGGCUUGAUAACACCAUUCGGGUGUUCGAUGAAUUGUCAUGCACACCCGACGAAUGUCUAAAAUGUGCUGUAUCUUUGUUGCGAGACUCAGCCUACUAUUGGUGGAGGACCUUGAUUUCCAUAGUCCCGAACGAGCGAGUAACUUGGGACUUCUUUCAAACGGAAUUCUGAAAGAAAUUUAUUAGCCAACGGUUCAUUGAUCAGAAGCGUAAGGAGUUCUUGGAACUCAAGCAAGGCCGUAUGACUGUAUCUGAAUACGAACAUGAAUUCGUAAGACUCAGUAGGUAUGCCCGGGAGUGUGUAGCUGAUGAGGUUGCUAUGUGCAAAAGAUUCGAGGAAGGAUUGAAUGAAGAUUUAAAGCUACUAAUGGGUAUUUUGGAAAUAAAUGAAUUCGUAACACUAGUCGAACGAGCCUGCAAGGCGGAAGAACUUGGAAAGGAGAAGAGGAAGGCUGAAUUUGAAGCUAGAGAUUAUCGUAAAAGAUCAACGGGUAAAGCUCCGUUCUCAGCUGUAAAGAAGUUCAAGGAGGACAUUAAUAAGUCGAGGGCGACUGCGGGAAUUUCUAUCAGGGCAAGACCAUCGAUGGGCUCCCGAGCUACUUCGGUAGCUAGUGUGGGCAAUAAUCGUCACGAGAAACCUGAAUGUCCCCAAUGUGGAAGAUGACACCUAGGUGAAUGUUGGGGCAAGUCUACUAGCAGGGCCUGUUACGGAUGCGGUUCGAAGGACCACUUCAUUAGAGAUUGCACGGAGCUGGAUGAGAAGAAUAAGAUUCAAGGUGCAAGACCUAGUGGAGUGACAUCUAGAGGUAGACCACCGAGAAUUUUAGGAGGCAGGGGUGGUAGUCAGAGGGGGGCCUCUGAUACGGCCGAUCGAGCCGAGAACCGUACUCCUGCUAGAGCAUAUGCCAUUCGCACACGAGAGGAGGCAUCCUCCCCCGACGUCAUCACUGGUACCUUCACUCUCUUUGAUACUAAUGUGAUUGCAUUGAUUGACCCUGGUUCUACUCAUUCAUAUGUAUGCGAAACCUUAGCAACCAGUAAGACUCUACCUGUUGAGUCUACUGAGCUCGUAAUUCGAGUAUCAAACCCGUUGGGUCAAUGCGUGCUUGUUGAUAAAGUGUGUAAGAGAUGCCCUCUAAUAAUCCGAGAAUCCUGUUUUCCGGCCGAUUUGAUGCUUUUGCCGUUCGACGAGUUUGAUGUUAUUCUUGGUUUGGAUUGGUUAACCGCGCAUGAUGCGGUUGUGAAUUGCAAAAGCAAGACUAUCGAUUUGAGGUGCGCAAAUAACGAAAUAAUCCGAGUUGAGUCUGCGGACUUAAGGGGGUUGCCAGCUGUAAUAUCAGCAAUGUUGGCCCAGAAAUAUAUAAGGAAAGGGUGCGAAGCGUACCUCGCGUAUGUACUUGAUGACAAGGAGUUAGAAAAGAAACCCGAAUCGGUGCCGGUGGUUUGUGAAUACCCGGAUGUUUUUCCUGAAGAGUUACCGGGUUUGCCACCUGUUCGGGAGGUAGAGUUUGGUAUUGAGCUUGUACCUGGAACUACGCCAAUUUCGAUCGCUCCGUAUCGUAUGGCACUAACCGAGUUAAAAGAGUUGAAAGCUCAGUUGCAAGAAUUGACGGAUAGAGGUUUCGCUCGACCGAGUUUCUCACCCUGGGGUGCACCAGUAUUGUUCGUGAAAAAGAAGGACGGAACCAUGAGGUUGUGCAUUGACUAUCGUCAACUGAAUAAAGUGACGAUAAAGAAUAAGUAUCCGUUACCGCGUAUUGAUGAUCUGUUCGAUCAAUUAAAGGGAGUAUCGGUGUUUUCAAAGAUAGAUUUGAGAUCGGGUUAUUAUCAGUUGCGGAUUCGAGAUUCGGACAUACCUAAAACUGCUUUCAGAACGAGGUACGGUCACUACGAGUUCUUAGUGAUGCCGUUCGGGCUCACUAAUGCCCCUGCGGUGUUUAUGGAUUUGAUGAAUCGGAUCUUCAGGCCGUAUUUGGAUCGGUUCGUAGUUGUGUUUAUUGAUGACAUCUUGGUCUAUUCAAGAGAUGAGACCGAACAUGCUGAGCAUCUGAGGCAAGUGUUGCAAAUUUUGCGGGAUAAGCAGUUAUAUGCUAAGUUCAUUAAGUGUGAGUUCUGGUUAAGAGAGGUUAGCUUCUUGGGUCAUGUGGUAUCCGCAUCGGGUAUUCGAGUUGACCCGAGCAAAAUUUCAGCCAUACUUAACUGGAAGCCUCCGAGAAAUGUUACCGAAGUCCGGAGCUUUCUAGGGCUCGCCGGUUAUUACAGACGAUUUGUCAAAGGUUUCUCGAUGAUAGCCACACCAAUGACGAAGCUACUUCAAAAGGAUGUUAAGUUCGAAUGGACGGAGAAAUGUCAGAAAAGCUUCGAUCAACUGAAAACUCAUUUGACUGAAGCUCCAAUUUUGGUGCAACCCGAAUCGGGUAAAGAGUUUGUCAUUUAUAGUGACGCAUCCCUACUUGGGUUGGGUUGCGUAUUGAUGCAAGAAGGUCGAGUUGUGGCCUAUGCGUCAAGACAAUUAAAGCCACGCGAGAGAAAUUAUCCGACCCAUGAUCUCGAACUAGCCGCCAUUGUGUUUGCAUUGAAAAUAUGGCGACAUUAUUUGUUUGGUGAGAAGUGCCAUGUGUUUUCGGAUCACAAAAGUCUCAAAUAUUUGAUGACUCAACGAGACUUGAAUCUGGGACAAAGACGUUGGCUUGAGUUGUUGAAAGAUUACGAGCUUGUCAUUGAUUACCACCCGGGAAAGGCUAAUGUGGUUGCGGACGCCUUAAGCCAGAAAUCACUGUUUGCUUUGCGAGCGAUGAAUGUACACUUGUCUGUUCUAUCUGACAAUGUGUUAGUAGCUGAAUUAAAAGCCAAACCAUUAUUGACUCAUCAAAUUCUUGAAGCUCAGGAAGUCGAUGAUGAAUUGGUUGCAAAACGAGCUGAGUGUGUUCCGAAUAAGGAAUCGGAGUUUCAGAUUGAUGAUGAUGGUUGUUUGAGGUUUAGAAGUCGUUUGUGUAUUCCAAGGAAUUCGGAACUCAUUCCGAUGAUUCUGAACGAAGCCCAUUGUAGCCGAAUGUCAAUUCACCCGGGGAGCACGAAAAUGUACAACGACUUGAAACGUCGGUUUUGGUGGCAUGGUAUGAAACGAGACAUCUCCGACUUUGUUUCGAGAUGUUUAAUAUGUCAACAAGUGAAAGCGGAACAUCAAGUGCCUUCAGGGUUACUUCAGCCGAUCAUGAUACCCGAGUGGAAAUGGGACCGAGUCACAAUGGACUUUGUGUCCGGACUGCCAUUGUCCGCAAGUAAGAAGGAUGCGAUUUGGAUUGUUGUUGAUAGGCUGACUAAGUCGGCUCACUUUAUCCCCGUGCGUACGGAUUUUUCAUUGGAUAAACUAGCCGAAUUGUAUGUUUCUCAGAUUGUGAGGUUACAUGGAGUACCUAUUUCUAUCGUGUCGGAUAGAGAUCCGAGAUUCACCUCGCGAUUUUGGAAGAAAUUGCAAGAAGCUUUGGGUACCAAGCUGCAUUUUAGCACCGCUUUUCAUCCCCAAACCGAUGGUCAAUCCGGGCGGAUAAUUCAGAUACUCGAGGAUAUGCUGAGAUGCUGCAUCCUUGAGUUUAGUGGUUCAUGGGAACGGUAUGUACCUUUGAUUGAAUUCGCUUACAACAAUAGUUUUCAAUCAAGUAUUAAGAUGGCACCUUACGAGGCUUUGUACGGUCGUAAAUGCCGUACACCAUUGUUUUGGACCGAGCUCGGUGAAAGUAAAAUUUUCGGAGUUGAUUUGAUUAAAGAUGCCGAACAGAAAGUAAAGGUAAUCCGUGAAAGUCUGAAAGCAGCCACAGAUCGUCAGAAAUCGUAUGCGGAUUUGAAACGAAAAGACAUUGAAUAUCAGGUGGGAGAUAAAGUGUUUCUUAAAGUUUCGCCCUGGAAAAAGGUACUUAGGUUUGGCCGUAAAGGCAAGUUGAGCCCGAGAUUCAUUGGGCCGUACGAAAUCUCCGAACGAGUGGGGCCAGUUGCGUAUAGAUUGAUUUUGCCCCCUGAGCUUGAAAAGAUCCAUGACGUCUUUCAUGUUUCGAUGCUUCGACGCUAUAGAUCUGAUCCAUCGCACAUAAUUAGCCCAUCAGAGGUUGAAAUUCAAGACGAUAUGAGUUAUGAAGAAGAACCGAUGCGUAUCCUAGCUCGUGAAGUGAAGGAGUUACGAAACAAAAGAGUUCCGCUAGUAAAGGUGUUAUGGCUCAAACACGGGAUCGAGGAAGCUACUUGGGAAACCGAGAGCUCGAUGAAAGAACGAUAUCCAAACCUAUUUACCGGUAAGAUUUUCGGGGACGAAAAUUUCUUAAGUGGGGGAGAGUUGUGACAGCCCAAAAUUGACCCUAGUCGGGAAGUGGUUUCGGGACCACAAAACCAAGUCAUAAAAAUAAUUGAUUUCCAUAUUCUAUGCUUAUUAUGUGUGUACAUGAGUAUGUGGAAGUUUCAUUCUCCAAUUUUGCCAAUUGCAUGGGAAAUUAUUAAAUAGGGAUUGAUAUGAGACAUGGUGAAAAUAUGAUAGGCUAAUUUAAAAUGGUCUAUUAAUGCAUGUUGUGAAAAUGAUGGGUUUGCAUGUCAAAUUACCCAAAAUUUGAGCUAGUGGUUGGCCAUGCUAUGGGUGGAAACAUGUUGGGAACAUGUUGGCCUAGUGAGGUAUGUAGGAAAAAAAUAAAAUAAUAAGCAUGAUAAUUAAAUAAUGAAAGGAAGGGUGAUGAAAAAAAAAACAAUAAUGGUCUCAUGCAUACACCCCAUUGCCGUGAGCUAAAGGAAGGAAAAGAAAGGUUUUGUUCAUCCUUUUUCAACCUCUUUUGACCGAAAAUCCUAAGGAAGAGGAUUAGGAGGAAGUUGGCCAUGCAUGUAACUAGAUUGAGGUAUGUUUAAUGUUAUUCUUUGAGAUUCAUGUAUAUUUUAAGUUGUAAGUUCAAAAUCUACCUAGCCAUGGUUCAAACUUUGUUAAAUGAUGGAGAUGACAUUCGACCAUGAAUGUUACGUUCUUGGUUGGUAUUUUGAUGUCUUUGGUGAUGAGGUAAGGAGAUGGUUGACUUUGGGUGUUUAAUAAAAGGGUUUGGAUGUGAGAGUGUGUGAGAAGUAGAAAUGAGGAGUCUUAGCAACUCCAUGAAGGUUCGACCAUGAUAGUUUGAGGAUUUGAGAUUUUAUCUCUUGUUAAAAAUUUGAUGAAUCCUAGUGUGUGAAGUGUUUGAACCAACUAAGGAUUAAUAGAUGCAUGGGUACAAAGUAGGAAGAAUCGGCUACUAUGGUGGACACCAAUGCCGAAUGUAAAGAUGUUAUAGUAAAUAAUGUAUGUGAUUUGAGUUGAUAAUGUGAAAAAGGAUAAUUAGAUGUAUUAUAAAUGAUAUAAAGAUUUUAGAAAUUAUUUUGGUUAGGUGUGUGUAUGAUUAAGUAUAUUCGGCAAUAUACUUAAAGUGAGUAUUUGAUAUUAUAUGGGAGUAUGUAUAUUCGGCCACAUGAGUAAAUAUAUAUAUGAUGUUAAAUUUGAUUAUGUAUAAUGGGGAUUAAGAUGUGGAACUUAAGAAAUGUAGUCAUAUGUGGAAUUACAUGAUGUUAUAGUUGACAUUGUACACACAUACAUCCAUUCGGCCAUCAACAUGAGUAGUUAGUGAGGAUGGUUGCCGAAUAUACAAACAUACAUAAGCAUGUGUAAUUGAAUUAUGAAUGUUUAACAAGAUGGUUAAACUAGUGAAUUAUUGAUUAAGCUCAAGGAGCUAAAGGAGGAGAAUCAAGCAAAGGCAAAGAAAAGAUCACUGAGUAGCCGAGUUGGAACCGUCUUACCCAACACAAGGUAAGUCAUUAAGCAUGUAGUUGGUAUUGUUUCAAAUGGUCAUAAUGUUUAUGUAUUGAUGCUGAAUGGAAUGAAUAAAUAUACAUAUAUAUAUAUGCAUGUGCGUAUGUGAUGAUGAAAUUGUUAAACGAAAAGAAAAGAGGUAAGAUGUACUGAGUUGUUGAUCUCGGCACUAAACGUGCGGGUAUAACCAUUUAUGACCAUGAGAUUGGCGCUAAGUGCGCGGGAUUAAAUUGUACAGCACUAAGUGUGUGAUUUGACUAUGUUGCACUAAGUGUGCGAAAUGAAUAUGAUGCACUAAGUGUGCGAAUUGACCAUGCGGCACUAAGUGUGCGAGUUUGACUAUGUAGCACUAAGUGUGCGAUUUGAUUACGUAGCACUAAGUGUGCGAGUUGAUUAUAUAGCACUGAGUGUGCGGACUCAAUAUGCAUUCGUGAAUCAUUAUGGACACUAUGUGUGCGACACUAUUGAGUCGAUCGCGGACAGCGGAUCGGGUAAGUGUCUUGAGUACAUGGCUAAUAGGUGCUAUGCUUAUACUUGGUGUUGAGCUCGGUAAGUUUGAACCUAUGUGACAACCAUACUUGAAGUCACGUACAUAAAAUUUAUCGUAGGAUGGGUGAAAGGCCGUUUAGUCGUUUGAUUGUAACGAAAAUAAAUUGAUUUAUGAAAAUGCUUCAAUGUCCUAUUGAUGAGUAUAUGGAAUGUGAAUGCAUGAAUUGAUAUGAAAUUGAAUCGAUAGGUUGGAGGAACUAUGGUAUGGUUCGGAAUGGAUGGAGUAAUUAGCCUCGUUCCAUUUUGUUUUCUCUUGUGAUAAUGUUAUUGAUGGAUGGUAGUGCAUAGCUUAUGACUUACUGAGUUAUAAACUCACUCGGUGUUUCCUUGUCACCUAUUCUAGGUUUCUUGGACACAUCUCUUUUUGCGUGAUCGGGCCGUCAUCGAAGUCAUCACACCGGAUAGCAAGUUUUGGUACUUUCUUCUUAGUUGGCUUAGAAGAACAUUUUGGCAUGUAUAAGCUAUUACGUUGUGUUUGAACUUUGGCAUGUAAACUUUAAGCCAUGCGAAAAUGGCACGAAUGUUCGAUUGAGUUGGAUCAAGGGUAGGCAUGAAAUGGACCUAGUUACUUUCGUAACAGAUGCUGGCAGCAGCAGUGUCAUGAGAUUGAAAAAUCACUAAAAAUAGUAGGAGUGGAAUUAAUUGAUGAAUAAAUUAUGUAAUAGAAGCUCGAUGAGUCUGUUUUCAUGAGGAAGUAACGAAAAGAUCAUAUGGGCAGUAUAUUAAGAGAUAAUCAGAUUUUUGUGAGACAGGGCCAGAACGGUUUCUGGAUUCCCUACUCCGACUUUGGAAAUUCAUUAUAAAUUAACCAGAGAUAAUUAGGGGUCGUACCAUAUAUGUAUAGAUUCCUCUCUGAGUCUAGUUUUCAUAGAAACAAACGUCAUCAGUAUUGAAGACCCGUGCAGGGAGAUAUCCAAGUCUAAUGGGAAAAGGUCAGUGUAGUCGACCCCUGCAACAUGGGAGACUUUGACUAAUAAACUGUACUAAUUGGCCCGACCAAAAAUUCUAGAAAAAAAUACAUAGAUGGACACAUGAGUCUAGUUUCUGGGAAAAAUUACGAAACUGAUUUUCGAGUUACGAAACUCAAGAUAUGAUUUUUAAAACGACUAGUACACAGAUUGGGCAGUGUCUGGAAAAUAAAUUUUAUAAGGGGUUAAAGUCAGUUAACACCUCGUGUUCGACUCCGGUGUCGGUUUCGGGUUCGGGGUGUUACAGCAGAUAUGCAGAUAGAUUCCCAGCCCAAUCCAACCAACACACUACCCGUACCAACCAACACACCAUAUGGGGAAAAAAUCGACCCACCCAGCUAACACACCAAGCUUAGCACCGGUUGCGGCACUAAGUCAACAGGACGGCCCAAUGCCGUAGAUAGGAUGCCUCAAUGUUGCAGACAGGACAACUAAAGGCCAUAAAUAUCGAAGCAAUGCUGCCAGUUAACAGAAUGACUAUAAGCCAUAAGUAUCGCAAAAAGGCUAAAAGCCCUGUAGAGAACGGCUACAGGCUGUACACAUCCUCCGUCCAUAAUAACCCAAUCCCAUGCAAUAUGUCAUGCCAUAAAUAUUACGUGCUUGCAAAGUCAUACUCAGCACAAUCAUAUAUGUAAAUCAUAGGCACAUCAGUCAUACAGAACAUAAGGGCAUAAUCGCCAUUCUACCAUAUAGAGGUAUUACGGUCAUUUUAUACUACAAGGGUAUUUUGGUGAUUUUAAAAAUUAGGGUUUUAACGACCCAACAGAAGGUCCACAAUCGCCUCGAGUGACUUAAGUAACCUAAACAGACAUAAUGGUGCAAAUGGGCCUGAGGCCCAUUACUCGGCCCAAGUGCGCCCACACCCUUGUGUGGCCUAUUUAGCCCAAAUUUUGAUAUGGCUAUGUGACCUACAUAGCCUAGUCCAAUAAUUAUCACAAAUUGUAGAUUUAAUUCGUAUCCACCUAGGCCCAACGUGGCCCAGAACUACCUAAGUCAUGUGUGCGACAUGACAAGUCUAUCUACAUCCCACUUAAUAGUGAAGUUUACACAAGUGAGACCACUGACCCAUCGGGCCCAUCGAGGCCCAGAAUAGCCCCUCGUGCAUUCACACACUCGUGAGGCCCCGAAUGCCGAGGUUUUGGCUUUUCAGCUUUUGCCGACUUCUAACAAAUAAGGGCGUAAAUACACACAUGUUAAUGAGAACGCGUAGAAGUCCACGAUCAGCAACCUUAGUUAAGCAGGUAUGAAAUAAUCCCUCCUAAAACCAAUGAUCACCAACUCAUCUUGUUCGCUCUAUUUAACAUCAGCUUCUUGCCAAUUCUCAUGUUAGCUUCCCGAUGUGGGAUUACUUUCAACCAUUAGGAAAAUUUCUUAUUUUUAUAUGACCACUUCAAGCACAGAGUUCCAAUCCAACUCUACCUCCUACAUAACUCAAAUAUCAAAAUAAAUACCCCAUUGCGCAUCCCAAGACUUGAACCUUAGACCUCAUAGUUACACAACACACUACCUUUCCACUAGACCACAAGGCUCUUUGUGUCACCAUUUUAGCCUCAAUUAAUUAUAAGGUCUACAUGCCAAAGUCCAGGUUCCUUUAAAAGAAAAACCAAAAUAAAUUGCAACAACCAAGACUUGAACCCAGGUUCCCUUGCAACCUUAAUGACGCCACAACAACUAGACCACUUGAUUCCUUGUGACAUUUAUUUACCACAAUAAUUUAAAGGGCCUUCAUCCAAGUACCCAAGGUUUUAUUCACUUAAAACCAAAAUUUUUGCUAAAGCCUAGGUUUGAACCCAAGAUUUCUCCAACACUUCUCAGAGCCAUUAACUACCAAAGCAGACAUUUAAUUGUGUCAUUUCCUUGCACAAUUAAAUGCUUAUAUACAACCUCCUCACGAACCCAACUCAAGGAUCAAUACUUUUAGUCUUAAAUCUGGGGCGUUACAUGAGACAUCACAUCGGCAUCGAUAUGUAUGUGCUAGUGUAAGACAUGGCAUCGACAUCGAUAUGUGUGUGCUAGUAUAAGUCCAUGUUUGGAACAUCGCAUCACCCAUAGUAUCAGAGCCAGUGUAAGACCAUGUUUGGUACAUGGGCAUUGGCCACAUUAUAAGAGCCAACAUAAAACCAUGUUUGGAACAUGGUAUUGGCGAUGUUGUGAGAGCUAGUGUAGGAUCAUGUUUGGGACAUGGCAUCAGAAUCGAUAUCUAUUCUAGUGUAGGACCAUGUCAGGGACAUGGCACCGGGCACAAUGAGAGCCAGUGUAAGACCAUGUCUGGGACAUACCAUCGGCAUUGAGACGAGAGCUAGUGUAAGACCAUGUCUAGGACAUGGCAUCGACCUCGACAUGUGAGCCAGUGUAAAACCAUGUUUGGAACAUGGCAUCGGCAAUUCACCAUUUUGUAUAAAGUUUGUUAGAUAUCCUUUAGUAUUCCAAAUGGUUUUACUGGUUAUUUUAAAGCUUGUGACAAUGAUAUGGAAUGAUAUAAUCAUGUUGUGAGUGGUAUAAGUUCUUAUUCGAAACUCAUGAGAUAUGAGUCUAGCUAUGAUGUCUUAAUGGUAAGAAUAACAUGAGUAAGUUCUACCUAUGAAAAUGAUUUUGAAAACCUUCGGCUUAUAUUUGUGAUGUAUAAGUAUGUGGUGAUAUCUACCUUUGUGCACUCAAGAAUGUUGUGUGGAUUUACAAUAUGCUACAUGUUUUAAAUAUGCGUGGUUGAUGUUGUUAUUUAUUUACAUGCAACUUACUAAGCUUUAUGCUUACUUCCUCUCCUUUCCAUUUUCUUAUAGUGCCACCUAAUUAGCUUGUGGAUCAACGGACGUUGGAGGCAUCAUUCACACUAUCAAUUGAAGCACUUGGUAUAGUUAGUUUUUCUAUUUUGAGUAUGGCAUGCAUAGGGACUUAGUCUUUUGUUAGUGUCAUUUUGUUUUGGAGCCAAGGUGUUGGCUUGUCAUGAAAUUUCUCAUUUUGUAUAAGGCAAAGGACAAUGUCUAAUAUUCAUUAUUAAUAUAUGUGAAUGACAAUAUUUUCAUGGAUGAGCAAAUUGCAUGAAUGAAUAAGUGCACAUUUGGAUUGUUAAAGUAUGGUGAGGGUCAUUUUUAAAUGUCCUGUUGUGGUUGAUUUGAACUUGUAUUGAUGUAUGGAUUGGUUUUUUUUGGUGUUGUUUAAUUGGUGCAAGUAAGGGUGGCAAAAGGGCUUGGUAGAUAGCCUUGUUUUGGUCCACACGGGCAUGUAUCUAGGCCGUACGUGACACACGGUUUGUCCCACGAGCGUGUAGUCUGGCCGUGUGUCCCCUGCACCUUAAUUUUACAAGUUAGUAUGCAUGGUAGUAAACACACGGACAGAGACAUGGCCAUGUGUCUCAGCUAUGUGGAGGACAUGGCCUAACACACGGGCGUGUGCCUAAGCCGUGUGCCCUUAAUGGAUUGAUGACGUCAGAAAUAGAAUAUCGUGGUAUUUGUACACGGGCUGAGACAUGGGCAUGUCAUGGUCGUGUGAGGGACACGGGUAAUGGACACUGGCGUGUGUCGGGCCGUGUGAAAGACCCUGUAGGUUCGAAUGAAAAAAUAAACCCACACGAGUGAGGGGCGUAGGCGUGUCCAGAUAUGCUCAGGCCGUGUGAGCUACAUGGGCCUUCAGCACGACCAUGUUCAGACAACACAUGGGUGUGUGCCCUGUUUACCUUGAAACUUUACAAAGUUUUCUAAAGUACUCAAUUAAGUCUUGAAUCUUUUUCAAAGCCUGUUUUGGGUCUGGUGAGCUCGUAUUAGAGGCUUUAUGUUCUGUUUUCAAAAAUUUUUGACUUGGACGAAAAUUUAGGGCAUAAAAAUGUUUGUAAGCAUGUGUUUUAAGUAUGGUAACACCUCAUAUCUUGUUCUAACGUUGAAUCCAGGUAAAAGGUGUUACAGACCACGUCUGAGACAUGGCAUCGAAAUGAGAUAUGGCUCCGAUGUGAAAUCCCAUGUAAUACCAUGUUUGGGACAUGGCAUUGGCAUCUUAUUAUGUAUGGUAAUUCCGAGAAUGCUUAGAAUUCUAAGUGGUUCAAUGGGUAGCCGAGGAUGUGUCAAAGAAAUAAUGAUGUAUAAUCAUGUUGAAAGGGUACAAGUAUGCACGCCAAGCUUGUAGUUAUUGAGAUUCUGAAAUGAUAAGGCUUCGGUAAGAUGAGAAUGAAGGCAUUACGAUCUUGAUGCUCUAUUAAACCUUAUGUAACUUGAAUAAGAUAGGAUAUGACUAUCAUUAUUGUUGAAAACGAGAUGAUUUAAGUUUGUUAUGUAUGUGUAUGAAAAUGCAUAUUUUUCUUGCUUAUUAAUUACAUGCAAGCUUAUUAAGCUUUAUGCUUACCCUCUCUCUUUUUCCAUUUCCUUUUAGUAUAGCCAAGCUAGCUCGGGGAAUAAAGGACAUCGGAGGCUCUUUCACACUAUCGACUAGAUCUUUUGGGUAUAGUUAGUCUUAAUAUUUUUGAGUAUGGCAUGCAUAGGGACUUGGUCUUUUUGUUAUAUUUCAUAUUCAUCUAGCCAAAUGUAUUGGCUUAUAAUAAUAGUUGAAUCAUUCUGUGUAUGGCCAUGAGAUAUGGCUCAUGAUGAUUGUUGAGCUGUAAACCUAUUCAUCUAUGUAUGUAUAUGCUGAUUUCAAUCGAAUAUGGCCUUUGCUUAUGGAUGAUUGAAUGUUGAUAAAUGAUAUGUGAGUGUAUGAUAUUUUAUAGCAAUGCAUGCAUGCAAGUCUAAAAGAUAUUGUUUCUUUGUACAUAUGUGUUUGUUUAAAUAAGGGUGGCAAUUGGCUUGGAAAAUAGCCUUAAAGAUGUCCACACGGCUUGCCCUAAGGGCGUGUGAUUUUGUCGUGUGUCUCUUGCAAUCUAAUUAAUGCCAAACAAAAUUCCCAGUAGUAAACACAUGGGUAGAGAGGCAGCCAUGUGUCUCGACUGUGUGAGAGGCACGGUCUUAGUACAUGGGAGUGUGCUAGGCUGUGUGAAGUCUGCGGCUGAUUUUGGAAUUUAAUUUGCCACACGGCCUAAGGACACGAGCAUGUGCCUUGGCCGUACGACUUUAUUUGGUUGAUGACGUAAUAGUCAGAGAGUUAUACAGGCUGAGGACAUGGGCGUGUCCCAAGUCACAAAAGCAUGUCUGACUACACGGUAUUGGGCCUGAAUCCUUUCCAAUGCAUGUCUUGGGCCUUUUAGGCCCGUAUAACUGAUGUUGUGUAUAUGUUUGAAUAACCUCAAUUGAAUGAAAUUUUAUGGUCUAGUUUUAUGUGUUUGAUUGCAUUUACAUUCGGUAACGCCUUGCACCCUUUUCUAGUGUCGAAUACGGGCAAUGGGUGUUACAUUUAGUGGUAUCAAAGUCAUAGUUUAGUCGAUUCUCGGACUAACGUAGUGAGUGUAUAAGUCUAGCUAUACUGCCAUAAAUACAUUGUGAUAGUGUGAGACUACUAACAUUUUAAUUGUGUUUUUAUAUAGUAAUGGAUGCCAAUCGAGCUGAAGCUAACAACGUAGAAAGUAAUGUGCCUGCUCCCGCUGAAGGGAUAGUGCCGCAAGAGAGUAGACCUCCAGCAGUUAGUUAGGAAGGAGGAUAAGAGGCUCAGGAAGCCUUUCAUCACAUGAUGGAGGCUUGGUAAAUGGAGUUUGUUUAGACCAACCAAAACGCUAAACCCCCUUCACCCCACCUAUUCCCUAACCUAUCCCAGUGGUACACUGUGGUUUGGAUUUUAUAAGACAAAAUAGACCUCCAGUGGAUAAAUUUCUAAAGCAAGGAGCUGAAGAGUUCCGAGCUACUAUUGAUGAUGAUCCGGAAUGAGCAGAGUUUUGGCUAGAAAACACCAUCCGGGUUUUUGAGGAAUUGUCAUGCACACCAGGAGAGUGCAUGAAAUGUGUUGUGUCAUUGCUUAGAGAUUCGGCUUACUAUUGGUAGAACACACUUGUAUCGGUUGUACCGAGGGAGAGAGUGACAUGGGAAUUUUUCCAAGAGGAGUUUCAGAAAAAUUAUAUCAGUCAAAGGUUUAUAGAACAAAAAAGGAAAGAGUUUCUUGAGUUGGAGCAAGGUAGAAUGACCGUAACUGAAUACGAGAGUGAGUUUGCAAGACUUAGAAAAUACGCUUGGGAAUAUGUGUUGACCGGAUACAUUAUGUGUAAGAGGUCUGAGGACUGAUUAAAUGAAGGUAUUCAAAUGUUUGUCGGUAUACUUGAGCUGAAGGAGUUCGUUAUACUCAUUGAAAGAACUUGUAAGGCCGAGCAAUUGGCCAAAGAGAGGAGAAAUGUCGAGUUUGAGGCUAGGGAUUCAAAGAAAAGAUCUAUGGGCAAGUCAUUUCAAUCCACAUCGAAGAAGUCAAGGGACUUCCACCCUCAUUCCAAUGCUCCUGUUGAGCUUUCAAAUAGAAAUAGAGGUAAACAGUGUUCGGGUACUAAGGCCCAGAUCACCUCGAUUGCUAGUGUCAGUAAUGGUUGACCGAGUAGACCAGAAUGAGCACAAUGCAGUUGACGUCACUCCGGUGAGUGUUAAGGGGGUGACAGGACCUGUUUCAAGUGUGGUUCCCCAGACCACUUUAUUAUAGAGUGCCCCGAGAUGGCAGGAAAGGGGAGGUACCCAAAUGCAAGAUCGGGUAACACCGCUAGUCGAGGUAGACCGCAGAAAAAUCUGGGUAGUGGAGCGAGUAGUAAGAAUACCCUUAAAGAGUCUACUGUGAGACCCGAGGGCAGAUCUCUUGCAAGGACGUAUGCCAUUUGCGCUCGCGAAGAGGCUUCAUCCCCAAAUCUGAUUAUGGGUACAUUUUCUAUCUAUGAUGCUACUGUUAUUGCUUUGAUUGAUCCGGGAUCUACCCAUUCCUAUAUUUGUAUGAAAUUGGUGUCUAGUAUAAUCAUGCUAGUUGAAUCUACGGAAUUUGUAAUAAAAGUGUCAAACCCUUUAGCCAAAUACGUGUUAGUUGAUAAAGUAUGUAAAAAUUGUCCCUUGAUGAGUAGAGGUCACUGUUUUCUAGCAAACCUUAUGUUUUUGCCAUUUGAUGAGUUUGACAUAAUUCUUGGUAUGGAUUAGUUAAUAGCUCAUGAUGUAGUAGUAAAUUGUGGGAGAAAAUUUAUUGAACUGAAAUUUGAAAAUGGUGAUAUUCUCUGGGUUGAAUCAGAUGAGUCGAAUAGCUCGCUUGUAGUGAUUUCUCCUAUGACCACUCAAAAGUAUGUAAGGAAGGGUUACGAAGCUUAUCUUACUCUGUGUUGAACACAAAAGAGUUUGAGUUAAAGAUUGAGUCAGUACCGAUAGUUUGUGGGUAUCCGGAGGUGUUUCCGGAAGAGUUGUCUGGAUUACCUCCAAUUAGAGAAGUAGAAUUUGGUAUUGAUCUAAUUCCGGGUAUGACACCCAUUUCUACUUCUCCGUAUAGGAUGGCUCUAAUUGAGAUAAAAGAGUUGAAAAUUCAAUUGCAAGAAUUGACGGAUAAAGGUUUCAAGAGACCUAUUAUUCACUGUGGGGUGCAUCGAUUUUAUUUGUGAAGAAGAAAGAUGGUUUGAUGAGACUAUGCAUUGAAGACCGACAACUCAACAAGGUGACGAUAAAGAAGAAGUACCAUUUGCCGAGGAUAGAUGAUUUAUUUGACCAAUUGAAGGGAGCCAUAAUAUUCUCCAAAAUAGACCUUAGGUCUGCAUACUAUCAGUUAAGAGUUAAAGACUCGAAUAUGACAAAAACUGAUGAGGCACUUAGGAAGGGAGACACGGAGUAGGAGGAAAGGAAUAACUCAAGGGAAACCGAUUAGUCUAUCUCAGAAGCCAGAUUAAUCACCAAGACAGAAGAUCUCCCUUCAAUUUCCAUUCAGGGGUUUUGGGUUUUCUUUAUGUUUUGUAUUCAUUAUUCUUUCUAUAAUUAUGAACUAAACCCCUUAAAUACCUAAGGGGAAUGAAACUUAAGACAAAUCUUGUUAUUAUUAUCUGAAUUGUAUGAUAAAUAUUUAACUUGUUCUUAAUUAUGUGUUCUUAAUUCUGGUUUUAAUAUUCCAGGAUAUUGAUUCGAGUUCAUGCUCUUAUUCAGAGGAGGAAUAGACCCUGUCUAAGAGUAAAUUUUUCAUAAUUAAGCGGAGUUGAUUACAUGCCUAGAGAUAGGGUGAAACCUAAUAAGGGGAUGCAUAGAUCGAGUUAAUGCAACACUAGGUGUUAAUUAGAAAGAGAUUUCAAUUAAUCAACCUAGGGUUAGACGUUAUUAGUCUUGAGAGAGAUAAUAAUAUAACUUAGGGAUUUCUACGGAUCAAAUCAAAUGAAUAAAUCGUCUGAUUCAGAGUAAAAUAACAAGUGAAGUCUAAGUGGAUUUUUCCUUUGGUAUUGUCUUAAUCAAUCGAAUUUUCUAAAAAGCUUUUUCCCAAUCUUCUCUCUAUGCACUCUUAGUUUAGUAAUUAAUUUAGAUAACCAAAUCCCUUGAUUUUUAGGCUAUAUAAUAAAAAAUAAGGUAAUUACUAGUAUUAUUGGUUCCUUUGGGUUCGACAAUCCGGUCUUGCUAAAGCUAUACUACUGUUCGAUAGGUACACUUGCCUUCAUCGUGAUAAUAGUUAGUUUCAAGAACGAUUAAUUAUAAAUAUUUAAAACCUUCUGAAAAUAUCACGUAUCAAGUUUUUUGCGCCGUUGGUGGGGAACUAGGAUAUUAGGAACACUCAAUUUUUAUUACUUUAGUCAUUCUACUUUAUUUGCAAUUUAAAUUUUUAUUUUUUUUCUAAUUUUUCUUUUCUUCGUUCCUGCCAGGUUUUUAUAGUGUAUGACUAGAAGAAAUCAGUUGGGACCAUUACUGUUUGAUAGUGAGAUCGAUCGCAUAGUUCAUAGAAACCAAAGAGAAAUAAGGCAAAGCGUACGAUACGUAGAGGAAGAGCAAGAGGACGAUACUUGAACCACAACCAAUGAGAUGGCUGAAAACCAAGAAAAUCCGCUACCUCCUGCGAUUGCUACUAAUCAGAAUCCUGCUCUACGCACCAUGUAUGAUUAUGCUAAACCUUCUUUAACAGGAACUGAAUCGAGAAUAGUUAGACCUACUGUAGCUGCAAAUACUUUUGAACUAAAACCUAACACAAUUCAAAUGAGACAGCAAUUUGUUCAGUGUGACGGUUUGCAGGAUAAAGAUCCCAACGCUCACUUGGCAAACUUUUUGGAACUAUGUGAUACAUUUAAAAUUAAUGGCAUUUCUGAUGACGCCAUUUGCCUUCGAUUAUUCCUUUUUUUCAUUGAGAAACAAAGUUAAACAGUGGUUGAAUUCUUUACCAUGAGGGUCAAUCACUACAUGGGAACAAAUGACCGAAAUGUUUUUAUUAAAAUAUUUUUCGCCGGCUAAAACGGGUAAAUUACGUAAUGAUAUGUCUUCUUUUGUGCAGAUAUAUUUAGAAACACUCUACAAUGCAUGGGAGAGAUACAAGGACCUCUUGAGAAGAUGCCCUCACCAUGUAUUACCAUUCUGGCUACAGGUUCAAACGUUUUAUAAUGGCCUGAAUCCUUUGACUCGACAAAUGGUUGACGCAGCCGCUGGUGGAACUAUCAAUAAUAAAACAGCUGAAGAUGCUUAUGAAUUUAUAGAAGAGAUGUCACUGAAUAAUUAUCAGUGGCAAGUCAUGAGGACAAAGCUAACAAAAGCAGCCGACAUUUAUAACAUCGAUACGAUCACCAUGCUCUCUAAUCAGGUAGAACUCUUGAAUAAGAAAAUUGACAAUUUUCUUAGUUCUUCACAAGUUCACCUAGUAAUGCAGUGUGAAGCAAGUGGAGAUUGAUCGAGCAAUCCAGAUUACCCACCCUAUGGCCACAAUAUAGAGAACGAGCAGUUAAAUCACAUGGGUAAUAAUCCUCGAUCACAAAAUAUUCCUUAUAGUAAUAAUUACAAUACAGGUUGGAGGAACCACCCAAAUUUCUCAUGGGGAGGCCAAGGAAAUUAGCGACCACCACCACCUCUAGGCUUCCAACAACCACCCUACCAACAAGAGAAAAAAUUGAACCUUGAGAAGAUGCUAACUAAAUUCAUCUCGGUGUUAGAAACUCAUUUUCAGAAUACAUAGACAGCACUUAAAAAUCAACAAGCGUCGAUCCAACGCUCAAAACUCAGAUAGGUCAGCUCGCUAUAUUGAUAUCUGAACAGCCAAAAGGUAGCCUACCGAGUAACACUGAAUGUAACCCAAGGGAGUAAAUCAAUGGAAUUACCAUUCAAAAUGAGGAAGGGUUAGUUACACCUGAACCAGAACAGAGGCAAGAAACUAUAGUAAGUAAAGCUAUGGGUGAGGUGGACCACAAUGACCAGAAAUUGAUAAGUAUAGAGUAUAAACCUCGUGUUCCAUACCCAAACGUGACAAGGGAAGACCGCACAGAAGAACAAUUCGGUAAAUUUCUUAAAUUAUUAAAGAAGUUACAUAUUAACUUACCGUUUAUUGAAGCUCUUUUGCAGAUGCCAAACGCAGUCAAAUUCUUAAAGGAGCUUUUAACAAACAAGUAGAAGUUGGAUGAGGCAUCGCAUGUUUUACUAAAUGUGGUUUGCUCAGCCAUACUACAGAAUAAGCUGGCCAACAAGUUAAAAGAUCCAGGGAGUUUUACGAUUCCCUGUUUAAUUGGUAGCCUAGACGUAAAUAAUGCCUUGGCUGAUUUAGGGGCUAGAAUCAAUGUCAUGCCUUACAAAAUGUUUAAACAACUAGGUCUUGGGAAACCCAAAUAAACUAGGAUGAGUAUUCAAUUAGUCGAUAAAGCAAUUAGAUUUCUUAGGGGGAUUAUUGAAGAUGUACUCGUUAAAAUUGACAAAUUUAUAUUCCCAGUUGAUUUCGUUGUUCUAGACAUAGAAGAAGAUAGUAAUGUUUCUUUAAUUUUAGGGAAACCCUUUUUAGCAGCCGCUAGAACAAUAAUUGAUGUUGGCACAGGUGAACUCACACUUCGUGUGGGAGAUGAAACAAUCACCCUUCAAGCUCGUAAUUCGAGUAACACAUUAAAAAUUGAAGGUGGUUGUAUAAAUCAUUCUACUAAAACUGACCAUAUGGUGCAACCUACUUUGUAGGAAAUAAGUUCAAAAAAACUACAUGAGCCAUGUUCAAGCGAAAACAACAGACCUAUCUAUGAAGAAAAAAGGCUACAAAUCAAGGAACUAGAUGAAUGGCGGACACAGAAACUGAGAACACCCGAUAAACUGAAACCAAGCCAGGAUGAGCUCAAUACAUCACCAAAUCAACUUAAGGUUGGAGAGAAAGUACUACUAGAUGUAGCAGAUCCUCACAUUACCACUUCUGAACCUAAUGAAGAAAUUCCUCUCACGGUACUCAGUAUUUUCCCAUAUGGUACAGUCGAGGUAAUUCACCCUAAAUUCGGCACUUUUAAGGUAAAUGUACAUCAUCUCAAAAUGUAUAACGAUGAGAAUUUCAAAGACGAUAAAAAGGAACUACGGCUCCACGAAGUUACCUAUAUACCCUCAAGGUAGAGUCGAGGUUAGACUAUAAACAAGAGCUUCUCGGGAGGCACCCCAAGCACUAACAAUGUUAAUGCGAAGAUUUAAUUCACUAACUACGUCACUAAACACAAGAUUUUCAGAACCACACGACCGGGCACACGAGCGUGCCGUAGGCCGUGCACAUACCACGGGAUGCAACACGGCCGUGCGAUAUGGCCAUGUAAAAAAUAGAGCACAAAAAUUUUCCCCAACACGGGACCCGAUAAAGUUGCCAUGGCCGUGGGCAAGCCUGCCAAAUUAGCACGGGCGAGUGACACGACCGUGCCUACUGACCAUGGCCGAAUCUAUCAAAAUAACACGGGCGUGUGCCUGCAUACAUGGGCGUGGGAGAAGUGAACGAAGAUUGACACGGCCAUGCAACAUGGCCGUGUACACCAAUGCGCCCAAUUUCGAAAACCAUGAAACGCACAGGUUGAAAUGAAGGCACACAGGCGUGCCCCACGGCUGUGUGCCUCAAUUUCUUUAUAUACACCUAUUAUUUAUUUAAUUUUUCUCUUUAUAUUUUUAAAUUACUUUUUAUUUCCUUUUAAUACUAUUUUAUCUUGAGUUUUUAUAAUUUUUAUUUUCGACUAUUCCAUUACAAGUAAUUAUGCUCCAUUAUAUUUCUAAAGAGUUCCUAAUUUUAUCACAAUCAUAAAGUGCUCCAAAGCUCAUCAUCAAAUAGGAACUAAAAACUCCAAUGGCAGGACUUAUGGACUAAUGAACCUCUUCUACCACCAGAGUAUCCUCCUCCACUCUCAUCAUUGCCUUGGCCGAUUGUUCUCCAUAAACCAAUUCAAUGAAUUCAUUCAUCAUUCAGGAAGUUUCACCCCUCUCCCUAUCGUAUGAUUAUUUAUCUAUAUUUUUCACUAUAUAUAUCUUUGUACAUUGAGGGAAAUGUACAUCUUAAGUGUGUGGGGGGUCUCUAAUAUCAUCAUUAGAAAUCCCUGAAUUUUGUCUUAUUCUCACGUGAAUUACUCAUAUCACUAUUAGAAUGAGUUUUAUUUAAUUUAUGAUUUUUAUUGAUAUGUCUUGAAUUAAAACAUAGGCAUUUAUGCAUUGAUCACUUAAACUUUAAGACAUUAGGGAAUCAAGCAUAAUAAGUUGAUUUUUGAAGAAUUAUAAACUUUUACGUUGUUUCCCUAUGUUUAGGUAUUAUCGUGAGUUGAAAUUCACAAGUUUAAACAUCAAAAAGCCAUAAUUUUUGUGAGAUCUUGAGCAUUUAGAGCAUCUAUUGUUUAUUUCAUGCUCACUUUUAUUGUUGCUUUGAGUGUGUUAAUAUUGAAUUGUUAUUCUAGAACUUUCUUGAUUAUGCAUGUCAAGACCACACCAUUUGAUUUGAUAUGUCAAGAUGAUAAAGGAACUCAGGUUUAACCUAGUCACUCCACAAAAGCUUACCUUCAUAAUUAACCCUUAGUGAACCCUUUUGAGCCUAACAAACCAUUACUUGAUUUACCCUCAAUAUUAACCCAUAACCCAUUAUUGUUGAAAUCCCCUAAUUUGAUCCCUAUUUUUGUCGAGAUUUGAUUUGAACUAAUUGCUUACCUACGUUUUACUCUUCUAUGUAUUUGAAUUGUAUGGUAAAAUAUAUAUAUACUUUAACACAUAUUAGUAGUAAUUCAUUGUUUUUGAUCUUGAGUGUUAAUUCUAUAUUCUGACAAGAAGCUCACUUGUAUUCAACUGAUGACUACACAUUUUCCUAGCUAGGUAAUUUUUCAAUUCAAUCUCGAUUCUAACCUUUUCUUUCAGCUUGUGACCACACCCCCUAACCAAAGCCACGUUACAACCCUAUAAAAGACCUUUUUGAUUGAUGUAUCAGCUCAACAUAUAGUGGUGAAGAUUUGAUUUUCAAGCACCUUGAGUGCUUUAAUUGAUGUCCUUAAACACCUUGAUUGAUUUGAGUGAAUCUUUAGUGAGGAUGUUAAACUCUGUGAUAUUUUGAUCAAAGGUAAUCACUUAAAUAAGGGGAGACACCUAUGUUUUCGUGAUAAAAUACUCAACUUAAAAUGUUUGAAACUUUGAUGUACUUUUAGUUGAAUUUUCAAUGUGUGAAUACUUAUGGAUUAUUUUGAGAUAUUAUUGAUAGGGAUUAUAAAUUGGGAAGAAUUUAUUUUGAUUGUGAGUUGAGGAUUUUGCUUGAGGACAAGCAAACGCUUAAGUGUGGGGCUAUUUGAUAAACCGUAAUUUAUACAUGUUUUUAUCCCAUGCUUAGCAUAUUUAUGGAUGGUUUCUCCUUAGAUUUGGUGAAUUCGAUGCUCCUAAUUCUUUAAUUUCAUGUUUUAUACUUAAGUGAGUAUAGGAGAGAAAAAAGAGUGAGAAACUGGCCAAAAACAGAGAAAAUGAACCCACAUGGGAAAUUAAAACGGCCUAUACUUCCUCACACGGGCGUGUCCCAUGGCCGCGUCCCUUUGGCAGGAUCGAAGCACAACUUACACGGAGAGACUACACGCCCUUGCCUAUUAAACAGCCUUGACCACCGGCUAGAGUAAUCACACACGGACGUGUCACAAGGGCAUGUCCCUGCCAUGCCCAAGUAUAACCCUAUUCAAAAAAGGCCAAAUUUGAGGGCUCUUAGGCAUUCUAAAGCUUAUUUAAACACCUGGUGAGGCACUUAGGAAAGGAGACGUAGACUAGGAGGUAAGGAAUUACUCAAGGGAAGCUGAUUGGUCCAUCUCAGAAGUAGGAUUAAUCAUCAAGACUGAAGAUCUCCCUUCAAUUUCCAUUCAAGGGUUUUGGGUUUUCUUUAUGUUUUGUAUUCAUUAUUCUUCUGAGAUGUUUUCUUCUAUAAUUAUGAACUAAACCCCCUAAAUACCUAAGGGGAAUGAAACCUAAGACGAAUCUUGUUAUUAUUAUCUGAACUGUAUGAUAAAUAUUUGACUUUUUCUUAAUUAUGUGUUCUUAAUUCUUGUUUUAAUAUUCCAGGAUAUUGAUUCGAGUUAAUGCUCUUAUUCAAAGGAGGAAUAGACCCUGUCUAAGAGUAAAUUUGUCAUAAUUAAGCGGAGUUGAUUGCACGCCUAGAGAUAAGGUGAUAAGAUUUUGCCGGAUUAGGGGGAAACCUAAUAAGGGGAUCCAUAGAUCGAGUUAAUGCAAUACUAGGUGUUAAUUAGAAAGAGAUUUCAAUUAAUCAACCUACGGUUAGACAUUAUUAGUCUCGAGAGAGAUAAUAAUAUAACUUAGGGAUUUCUACGUAUCACGUCAAAUGAAUAAAUCAUCUGAUUUAGAGUUAAAUACAAGUGAAGUCUAGGUGGAUUUUUCCUUAGGUAUUGUCUUAAUCAAUCAAAUUUUCUAAAAAGCUUUUUCCCAAUCUUCUCUUUGUGCACUCUUAGAUUAGUAAUUAAUUUAGAUAACCAAAUCCCUUAAUUUUUAGGCUAGAUAAUAAAAAGAAAGUAAUUACUAGUAUUCUUGGUUCCUUUGGGUUCGACAAUCCAAUCUUGCUAAAGCUAUACUACUGUUCGAUAGGUACACUUGCCUUCAUUGUGAUAAUAGUUAGUUUCAAGAAUGAUUAAUUAUAAAUAUUUAAAACUUAUCGCGAUAUACUACUCUUCGAUAGGUACACUUGCCUUCGUCAUGAUAAUAGUUAGUUUCAAGAACGAUUAAUUAUAAAUAUUUAAAACCUAUUGCGAAUAUCAUGUAUCAAAGGCAUUACAAUCCUUAUGCUCUAUUGAACCUUAUGUAACUUGAAUAAGAUAAGAUAUGACUACCAUCAUUGUUGAAAAUGAGAUGAUUUAAUUUUGUUAUGUAUGUGUAUGCAAAUGCAUAUUUUUAUUGCUUAUUAAUUACAAGCAAGCUUACUAAGCUUUAUGCUUACCCUCUCUCUUUUUCCAUUUCCUUUUAGUAUCUCCAAGCUAGUUCGGGGAUCAAAGGAUAUCGGAGGCUCGUUCACACUAUCAAUUGGAUCUUUUGGGUAUAGUUAGUCUCAAUAUUUUGAGUAUGGCAUGCAUAAGGACUUGGUCUUUUUGUUAUAUGUCAUAUUGGUCUAGCCAAGUGUGUUGGCUUAUAAUGUUAGUUGAAUUAUUUUGUGUAUGGCAAUGAGAUAAGACUCAUGAUGAUUGUUGAGUUGUAAACCUAUUCAUCUAUGUAUGUAUGUGUCGAUUUCAUUAGGAUAUGGCCUAUGGUUAUGGAUGAUUGAAUGUUCAUAAAUGAUAUGUGAGUGUAUGAUAUGUUAUGGGAAUUCAUGCAUGCAAGUCUAAGACUUACUGUUUAUUUGUACAUAUGUGUUUGUUUAAAUAAGGGUGGCAAUUGGCUUGGAAAAUAGCCUUAAAGUUGUCCACACGGGCGUGUGUUUAGACCGUGUGUGACACACGGCUUGCCCCAUAGGUGUGUGAUCCGGCUAUGUCUCCCCUGUAGUCUAAUUAAUACCAAACAGAAUGUGCAGUAGUAAACACAUUGGUAGAGACACGGCCGUGUGUCUCAGCUGUUUGAGAGGCAUGACCUUAGUACAUGGGUGUGUGCUCAGGCCGUGUGAAGUCUGCACCUGAUUUUGGGAUUUAAUCAGCCACAUGGCCUAAGGACACGGACGUGUGCCUUGGCCGUGUGACUUUAUUUGGUCGAUUACGUCAUAGUCAGAGAGUAACACGGGCUAAGGACACAUGUGUGUCCUAAGCAACACGGGAGUGUGUGACCACACGAUCUACCCACACGAUUGUGUGACUCUCCAACACAUGAAAAUUUUCUAAGUGUUGUAAAAGUUUCGGAAGUUUUCAGUUUAGUCCUGAAUACUUUCCAGUGCAUGUCUUGGGCCUUGUAGGCCCGCAUAAGAGAUGUUGUGUAUAUGUUUGAAUGACUUUAACUGGAACGAAAUUUUAUGGUCUAGUUUUGUGUGUUUGAUGGCAUUUACAUCCAGUAACGCCUUGUACCCUAUUCUGGCGUCGAAUACAAGUAAGGAGUGUUACACUUCUAAACAGCUAAAACCAUAUGAAAAGAAUUACCCGAUACAUGAUUUAGAAUUGACAGCUAUUGUUUUUGCUAUAAAAAUCUGGCAACAUUAUUUCUUCGGUGAAAAGUGUCACAUAUUCACCGAUCAUAAAAGCUUAUAGUAUUUGAUGUCGCAGAAAGAUUUAAAUCUGAGACGGUGCAUGUGGCUUGAAUUGUUGAAAGAUUAUGAUUUGGUUAUUUAUUUUCAUCUGGGAAAAGCCAAUAUGGUUGCAAAUGAUCUGAGUAGAAAGUUUUUGUUUACGUGCGAGCAAUGAAUACCCAAUUGCCGUUGGAAAAUGAUGGCUCAAUUUUACCUGAGCUAAAAGCUAAACCGAUGUUUCUAUAAUAGAUCUGUAAAGCUCAGAAAGGUGAUAAUGAAUUGCAAGCUAAACGGGUACAGUGAGAAUCGACUUUUGAUUCAGAAUUUUAGAUUGGACCUUUUUACAGGUAAGAUUUUUGGGGUCAGAAAUCCCUAAGGGAGGAGAGUUGUAACAUCCAGUUUUGGGCCUAGUCGGAAUAAUGGUUUCGAGAAUACAAAUUUGAAGUAGAAAUAAUUAUUUUAUGAAUGUGUUGAAGUCAAUGAUAUGUUUGCAUAUGAAAGUUUCGUUAAGAAAUUUUGUUGAGAUAGUGUCCAAUUUGAUUUUUAUGACUAAAUUGCCAAAGUUGCAAAAUAUGUGAUUUUAGGAGCUUUAAGCAUGAAAUAGCUAUGGAUUAUUAAUUAUAGGUCCUUAAAUAGCAAUUUGACCAGUUUCUAUUUUUAUGGACAAAAAUGGACAUGAAUAGGUAAAAUUUCAAAGUUUAGUAAAAAUGGCAUUUUGGUCAUUUGGUAAAUAAAAGAAUAAAAAGGGAAAACAAAGCCAAAAAUGGUCCAUCUUCUUCAACCCUUGGUCGAAUUUCAUAAGGGACUCCAUAGCUAGGGUUUUGUCACUUUCAAGCUUGAUAGUAAUUGUAUCCUGGCCCCGUUUUUAAUAUUCUUUACAUUUUUGAAGUUGUUAUCAACCGAUCUAGCCAUUUCUACCAUUUAUUUGAGCUAGGGUUGAUGUUUAGGGUUUGACCCAUGUGUGGCAUGCAUAUAUUUUGAUGUUUCAAGUUAGAUUAUGAAUGUUUGAUGUGUGAUAAACAACUUUUACUAAGUGAUUUUUCAUGAAAACAACUAAAAAGGACCUAUUUGUAAAAGUUGUAAAAUGUGUAGUAAAAAUUUAAUUUGAUGAAAAAUAUAGGCUGAUAUGAGCAUGUGUGUGGGUCGGCUAGGCUUGAGUAAUAAAUAAAUUCAAUAAUUCAUUUUACGAGCCUAAGGACUAAUUUGUAAAUACGCAAAAGUUUAAGGGUAAAAUUAUAAUUUUGCCAAAGUAUGGUUUCUAGAUGGAUUUGAGCAAUGUGGUAAUUAAAUGAGCUAAAUUUUCUAUUAUAGAUCAAGAAAAACAGAGUCCGGACUUAGACCAAGGAAAGAACAAGGUUGUGGACUAAAUCGAAUUAGAAAGCCAUAUUUUGUACCGAGGUAAGUUCAUGUGUAAAUAAUGCAAUAUUAUGAUCAUAUUUUUAAUGCAUUAAUAUUGUAUGAAUUGUAUAAUUGAUUCAAUGAAAGCAUUCGACAAGUUCUGAUAAGAGAGAGUGUAAUGCCCCAAAAAUCCCGAAAUCUCAAACUUUCUUUGUUUUCGGUUUUGAUAAAAAUAGUGUUUUGUGUUCCUAGCCAUGUGAUAAUUAUAGUAGGUCUUAAUUAAGGUUUGAGUUCAAACCUAGGAAUAAAUGAAAUUAUAGUAUAAUUAUUAAAAGAAUCAGGGUUGGCAAGUAGGUGGGCUUCUAAAUAAAAAUAGGGAAAAAAUAACAUCAAAAAGCCUUGUGGAAUAGUGGCUAAGUGACGCCACUUAGAGUGUGGGGAGGUGGCAUUAGUAGCUAGCAAGUAGGUCUAAGGUUCGAAUCCUAGUUUUGUAUUUUAGAAGUUUAAUUUUGGCCUUCUAGAAGGAUGGAAGUGGCAUGAAGAUGGACUAUAAGGGGAGUGUUCAGAAGAGAAAAUUAAGGAAAGGAUCAAGGGGUUAUCAGGGAGAAAAACGAGGAAAUGAGAAGGGAGAAGUGAUGGAGUAAAAUUGGGAAUUGGGCAUGGAAAAUUCAGCUAUAAGGGCUAUAAAUAGGGGCCGAAUACAGGGUUGCCAGGCUACUGUCAAAAUUCUUCUUCACAUUGUUGCCAAAAACCCCUUUCUCCAAAAGUCGAAAAGCCUUUUCUUUUUAAGAUCCAAAAAGCUGAAAACCCUUUUUUUUUCUUUCUUUUCUUCCUGUCGAUUUCUAUUCUUCUCUACACAAUUUUCUUUGUUUCAAUUAGCUGAUUUCUUCUUCUACUCUUUUUCUUUAAUCUAUACCAAAUAAACCCUAUUCACCAUACUAAGUUUGCAAAGCUGAAAAAUUGAAUCUCCCAAAGGUUGAAUACUCUUUGACCAAAUCUAGUGGAAUUAAUAUCGGAUCUCAGAUCUUAGCUCUCUACCGAAUUACUCUUUAGGUGUUUUCAGUUUUGAUCUAGGAGUUGAUCAUGGUUAGUGAUUUAAGAAAGGGCUGAUCGCGCAAGGUAAGGUUAAUGCGAGGUUUCAGUUUUAGUAAGGAUAUGUUUUAAGCAUGCGAUUAAUGGAAGGGUGAUAUCAUUAGUAGGUUUGGACUAAGGGAAUCGCAGCACGCUUGCUUACCAGGUAUGUACAUUCACUGUACACACAAGUAGAUCGGUAAAAGUUGAAAUGCUGAAAAGCCAAAAUGUCGAAAAACUGAAAGUUUGGCUACAGUAGUCUUACGAGUGCGCGAACACUCGUAAGGGGGAAACUGAUAGGUUGCCUGAGGCCCAUGAGCGAUUCCAUGGACUUGGGUUGUGAAUAGGCCAAAUUGGCCGGAAUAGGCUAAAUGGGCCUAAUGGGCUGUUGGGCCUAUAAUAGGCCAAAAUUUGAUAAGUGAUGCUAUGCGAUAGACAAUUUUUGUGUGAGCAUGAAUAUAAUGUGAUUUGGGCCGGAUGGGCCAUAUAAAUGAGAUUGGGCCUAAUAGGACAUAUAAAGGUGAUUUGGGCCUGAUGGGCCAUAAAAUAUGAACUGGGCCUGAUGGGCCAUAUAAAUGAGAUUGGACCAAAUGGGCCAUAUGCAUGUAUGUAGGGGUAUUGGGCCUAGUAUAUGAUGACUACAUAAAACUUAAUUAAUUAAUUGAGACCGUGGACAAGUCAUAGGGUUAAGGUGUGGCAACGGGUAUGUGCAUGUCUAGGAUUGGAUCUAGAGAGAGCUUGGUACUUAAGCAGUCUUAAUGACCCACUCCUCUUUUCUGGAAUCCUACCUGGUACGUAGUAUUUGUUCACCUUAGCUCGCGGGGCUUGUUCAUGGGCCAAGGUAAGUGAAAAUCGUAAUUAAUGGAAAAUUACCGAAAUGCCUCUAAGGGUAAGAAUGACCAAAAUACCCCUAGGUGUUGAAUGUAAGUUUUGUGGAUGUGACAUGCAUACAUAUGAUGUUCUGCUUAGGUUGCAGAUGGGGUGGGAAUUAUGGCACAGAGGAAGUAUAUGAGGAUCGCAUGGUUGCCUGACAAUCGUGAUCCACUAACAGCUUUUAAAGCCCAAUAUGUAAAUGAAGGUAGUUCCGCAACCGGGCUACCAUUGGUGUGUGGGCUCAGUGGGUUGAUAUUUAUAUCCCCACAUGGUGUGAUGGGGGACGGAGCUGGUGCGUAGCGGAUGGAUAAUUUGAAUGGAAUUGCAUUGCAUGUUUGAUGUAUGAUGAUUUUUUAAUGCUUGUUUUUCGUCGAGGGUUGUACAGACUGAGUUUGCGAAAACUCACCCCCUCUUUUAUUUUACUUUCAGGUGAUACUCAGUAGACGAUUCGAUGUUUGGAAGGACUCUGGGUGGCCAGCUAGCAAGACAAAUUUGGGUUUUUUUUUAAGCUUAUAAGUUUUAUUUUAUUCAGUAUGUUUCAAACCAGAUUGUAAUAAGGUUUCCAUUAUGCUAUUAUUACUUGAAGUAUUAUUAUUUCCACUGUAAUUACGAGAAGUUGAACAUGGGUUUCCUAAACUAUAGUAUGUUUUCACAUUUUCGUAACUUAAAUUCUAAAUGAUAAGUUUUCUUAAAUCAAAUGCUUAAAACAAGGAUUUCGCAACUAAAAGGUGUGUUUAUUAAGAUUUCUUUUGUUUAAGAAGGGAUCUCAAUGAAAAUACGGUUUUCGCUAAAACACUUCAAUGUAAUACGUCAGAUUCGGCCAUAACGUCUGGGCUGAGUUUAGGGUAUUACAUUUAGUGGUAUCAGAGCCCAGGUUGCAAAACUCGAGCUGUGAAUUGGGCCUUAUUACUUGGUUUUUUUAUUGUGUCUUAAAAAAUAUAUUUUGAAUCACAAUGUUUUGGAAAAAGAGAAGUCUUGCUAAGCGGCACACCGAGUCUCCGACGUCGAACCAAGUAAGUAUUCUUGUUUUUAAGCCUGUUUAAAUUGUUAUAUAGUAGACAGUUAGAGGGCUACUUUAGAUGAUUUUGUUAGACUAGAACUAAAGCCCGUAGGAUCUUGGAACUGUAAAGGAUUUUCGAAAAGAAUCUUCUCUUUAAUUACUUUCAUAAGACAUCCGUGUAAUUAUGAAUCUAACUAAGACUUCAUAAAAUUUUUAAUUCAAAAAACUCGCAAAUCGAUGAUGAGCCCUAGAAGAGGUGCGAGAGACUGUGGUCGAGGCCACAGAGGUGUUAGGGCUGAAUCGUCAACAUCGGGCCAUAUGCCCAAUGUUGGAGUAGAAGAGGCUUCGGCCUCACCGGUGGCUGGGAAGGGAUAGUAUGACCGGGUUGCAGAAGAAGAUGCAUUGUCCCAGGCAAUGCUGAGAAUUUUAGAAAGGGUCGUUAGGCCCAAUAAUGGCAGCGAAAAUCAGGGGUCCAUUCUGUAGCAACUUCGAUCAAACGGGUCUGAGAUCUUUAAAGCCGUGGCUGGCGUGGCUCCUAACUUGGCUGAAUAUUAGUUGGAGGCCGCUAAAAGAAUAAUAGAGGAUUUGGACUGCUCACCGGAACAAAAACUGAAAGGAGCUCUGUCACUAUUAAGGGAAGAAGCCUACCAGUGGUGGUUGACAGUGAAAGAGGGCACCCAACCGGAGCGGGCCACUUAGGAGUUCUUUAAAGCUGCAUUCCAAGGGAAGUAUGUGGAUGCUAGAAGGAAGGAGUUCCUGAACCUAACCCAAGGAAACAAAUCGGUGGCGGAGCAUGAGGCGGAGUUUCUACGCCAUAAUAUGUAUGUAAGAGUAAUGGUUGCAACGGAGUAUGACCAUUGCGUGGGGUUUGAGGAUAGACUUAGAGAUAGCCUUAGAGUACUGGUAGCUCCACAAAGGGAGUGAGUUUUCUCGGAGUUGGUGGAGAAGGCAAAGAUAGCGGAGGAGGUAAAGCAUACUGAGCGCUUAAAUCGGGAGAAAGAAAGGGGUAGGAAUAAGAAGGAGUCUGAGACUCCUGGUGUAGGACAGAUGCCUAGGGCUAUCGCUAGAGUUAAUGGGCCAGAUAGAGCAAGGCCCCCUGCUAUUAAUCUAGGGGUGCCACUUUGUGCUAAUUGUGGGAAAGGUCAUCUAGGCGAGUGUUGGAAGAAGACGAGAGCUUGUCUAGCUUGUGGAUCUAUGGAGCAUAGGAUCAGGAAUUGCCCUAAAUUGUCAUCUCAGGUGCCAAUCGUGGACCGAGGUGGUGUACAGCCACCGAGGGGUGGUCAGCUAUUGCCGAGAGGCUGUGAUCAGGCUAGGGAUGGAAACGGUUUGGGUCAUGGAGCACCAGGCAGAGGUGCUGAUCAUGCUGAGGUGAGACAACCAGCUUUGGUCGAUGCAGCACGUUAUCAAGAGGAUGGAGACGCUCCAGAGGCGAAUAAUGGUACAUACUUACCCAUAGUGUGCCAUUUACCUAAGUUGGAAUUAGAGUGCGCAGCGGAAGUGUGGUGUGGUAGUCUGUGUUAGUAGUUGGAAAUUUCGAGGAUACAAUUUCUUUUAGGGGGUAGAGUUGUAACUCCCAAAAAUCUCGAAACCCCAAAAUUCUGAAAUCCCAAACUUUUUUUGUUUUCAUUUUUGAUAAAAAUUGUGUUUUAUGUUCCUAACGAUGUGAUAAUUAUAGUAGGUCUUAAUUAAGGUUUGAGUUCUAAUCUAGGAAUAAAUGAAAUUAUAGUUUAAUUAUUAAAAGAAUCAGGGUUGGCAAGUAGGUUGGCUUUUAAAUAAAAAUAGGGGAAAAAUAGCAUCAAAAAGCCUUGUGGAAGAGUGGCUAAGUGACGCCACUUAGAGUGCAGGGAGGUGGCGUUUGUAGCUAGCAAGGAGGUCCAAAGUUUGAAUCUUAGUUUUGUGUUUUAGAAGUUUAUUUUUGGCCUUCUAGAAGGAUGGAAGUGGCGUGAAGAUGGACUCUAAGGGGAGUGUUCAGAAGAGAAAAUUAAGGAAAGGAUCAAAGGGUUAUCCGGGAGAAAAAUGAGGAGAUGAGAAGGGAGAAGUGAUGGAGCCGAAUUGGGAAUUUGGCAUGGAAAAUUCAGCUAUAAGGGCUAUAAAUAGGGGCCGAAUAUAGGGUUGCCAGGCUACAGCCGAAAUUCUUCUUCACCUUGUUGCCAGAAACCCCUUUCUCCAAAAGCCGAAAACCCUUUUCUUUUUAAGAUCUAAAAAGCCGAAAACCCUUUUUUUUUUCUUUCUGUUCUUCCUACCGAUUUCUAUUCUUCUCUACACAAUUUUCUUUAUUUCACUUAUCGAUUUCUUCUUCUACUCUUGUUCUUUAAUUUGUACCAAAUAAACCUUAUUCACCAUACUAAGUUUGAAAAGCCGAAAAAUCGAAUCUCCUAAGGGCUGAAUACUCUUUGACUGAAUCUAGUGGAAUUAGUAUCGGAUCUCGAAUCUUAGCUCUCUGCCGAAUUUCUCUUUAUGUGUUUUCGGUUUUGAUCUAGGAGUUGAUCGUGUUUAGUGAUUUAAGAAAGAGCUGAUCGCGCAAGGUAAGGUUAAUGUGAGGUUUCAGUUUUAGUAAGGAUAUGUAUUAAGCAUGCGAUUAAUGGAAGGGUGAUAUCGUUUAUAGGUUUGGACUAAGGGAAUCGCAACACGCUUUCUUACCAGGUGUGUACAUACACUGCACACACAAGUAGAUCGGCAAAAGCCGAAAUGCUGAAAAGCUGAAAUGCCGAAAAGCUGAAAGUUUGGCUACGGUACUCUCGCGAGUGCGCGAACACUCGUAAGAGGGAAACCGAUAGGUUACCUGAGGCCCAUGGGCGAUUCCAUGGACUUGGGUUGUGAAUAGGCCAAAUUGGCCGGAAUGGGCUAAAUGGGCCCGAUGGGCUGAUGGGCCCAUAUUAGACCAAAAUUUGAUAAGCGAUGUUAUGUGAUAGAAAAUUUGUGUGUGAGCAUGAAUAUAAUUUGAUUUGGGUCAGCUGGGCCAUAUAAAUGAGAUUGGGCCUAAUGGGCCAUAUAAAGGUGAUUUGGGCCUAAUGGGUAAUAAGAAUAUGAACUGGGCCUGAUGGGCCAUUAUACUUUAUAUGGACAAAAAUUUGGACAUGGAUGGAAUUUUUAGAAAGUUUAGUAGUAACGGCAUUUUGGUUGUUUGCAUAAUAAAUGAAAUAAAAUGGGAAAAAUAACACAAAAAUGUGCUCAUCUUCAUUUAGCUUGGCCGAAACUUGCAUGUUCUCCAUAGCUAGGGUUUGUUUCAAGCUUUCAAGCUCAAUAGUAAGUGUAUUCGAGCCCCGUUUUUUUAUGUUCUUUACAUUUCUGAAAUCCUCGUAGCUCGGUUUACCUAUUUCUGCCAUUAUUUUGAGUUAGGGUUUAUGUUUAAAAAUUUACCCAUGAAUGAUAUGCAUGUAUUUUGAUGUUUGAUGGUAGAAUAUGAAUGUUUGAGGAUAGGAGAACGAUCUUUUCUAAGUGAUUUUUAGCGAAAACGAGCAAAACGGUAUAAUUGGUAAAAAUACCUAAUGCUCAUAAGUGCAUGUUAGAGUGAGAAUUUUAUGUUAUCAUAGAAGAGAAAAAUGAUCAACAUGUCAUAAAUCGUAAGAAUAAGGGCUGAAAUUAAAUUUCCGAGCCUAGGGGAAAAAUCAUAAUUUUGUAAAAGUUAGGGGGCAACAAUGUAAUUUUUCCAUAAUGUGAUUUUUGGAUUGAAAUAAAUAGUAUGAGUAUUAAAUGAGCUAAAUGUAUUGUUAUAGAUCAAGAAAGGUGUGGAAUCGACCUUGAACGGGGGAAGGAAAAGGUUUUGGACUAAAUUGCAAAAUUUCCAUAUUUUGCACCGAGGUAAGUUUGUAUGUAAAUAAUACAUUAACUUCAUUUACAUUUUUAUAUUUCAGCGUAUUAUAAAUAUUUUAGCUAAUUUUGAAGCAUGAAUCGACUAUUAGAAGAAUGGAAAUAAGUAAUAGAGAGAAAAAUCCCGGUUGAACAUUCGGAAAGAUUGAAUAAUAUAGAUGGAGCGUAGCUAGGUCACAUGUAUGGAGCUGAGUGCACAUCAUGUGUACAAGAGAGCUAUGAGAUACUAUGUAGUAGCUAGGUCACAUGUGUGAUACGGGAUGUAUCCCAUGUAGACAAGAGAGCUACGGGAGAGAUAAAUGUAGCUAGGUCGCAUGUGUGAUUCCAAGUGAAGGACACCAUGUAGACAAGAGAGCUACGAGAUAAAUUGGCUAGGUCACAUGGGUGGUACUAAGUGUUCACCAUGUGUACAAGAGAGCCAAAUUAUAUGAAAUAUGAUGGUGGGGCUGUGUGCUAAAACCAUCAAGUAUUGAGGAUUGAUCCGAAUUGUUCAACGGGAUGGUUUUAAGGUGACAUUGUAAUCAUGGGCCUAUACUUGUGAUGUAUGAAAUGUGGUGAGAAUGAAUUUUGAUAUGCAUGUUAAAAUGAGGUUAAUACAAAGAAAGUGUGAAAGAGUGAAUUAGCAAUAAUACUGUUGUGGACAGUCACAGUAACGUGAAUUUGAAAAAUCACCAAAAAUAGUAGGAAUUUAAUUAGAGGCUGUAUGAGAUAUAAAAUUAAAUCUUAAUGAGUCUAUUCCCACGUAAAAUAAACAGAGCAAGUAAAUGAACUCUAUAUUUUGAGAUAUUUAUAUUUGUGUGUGACUCGCUCAGAUGACUAUGUGAUCCCCUGUUCUAAUUUUGAAAAAUCAGUAAAAAUUGAAAAAAAUAAAUUAAGAAAUAUAGUUUAUAUUUCUAGAUUACUUAUUGAGUCUAGUUUUAAAUGAAAUAGAUUUCAUGGAUAUUUGAAUUGUGUAAUGGGAGAAAUUCAAUUCGUAGUGAAUAGAGGUUAGAUCAGUCGAGCUGUAUAGCAGGGGAAACUUUAACUAAUAAACUGUACUAAUUGGCUAGACCAAAAAUUCUAGGAAUAUUUUAUUAAGAAGUAAUAUGAGUCUAGUUUCAGUAAAAUUUUACAGAUUUGAAUUUUGAGUUUUGCAACUCGAGUUAUGAUUUAUUUAGUGAAUAUGACACAGGAGAGACAGCUUGACCAAAGUGGAGUAAAUAGUAAAAUUAAAAAGUAGAUACACUUGAGUCAUUUUGUAAACAUAUUAAAUUCUUUAUUCAUUAUUUAUAUACUUUCUUACUAAGCUAUAUGCUUACUUUCUUUUCUCUCUUUUGUCUUAUAGUGUCGUCCAGCUUGCACAGGAGUCAAGGAUCGUUGAAGAUCUGCCUACACUAUCAAUACUUUUGGGUAUUUGAACUGAACAUUUUGAAUUAUGGCAUGUAUAGUAGACUUAGUUAUUUUGUUACGUGUCAUAAUUGUCUAGGUUUAAAAUAUUAAUUAUAGUAUUUGACCGAUUAUUUUGUACGAAGCCUUUGAAAUUGGCUAGUUUUGUUAAAGGCAUAUGUUAUAAUGAUUCAUGAUCUAAUUGCACGCAAUAUUUUUGUCUCGGUUUUAUUUAAUAGUAUGUACUAUGAUUUGUUAAUGCCUCGUACCCUAUUCCAGUGACGUAUAUGGGUAAGGGGUGUUACAUUUAGUGGUAUCAGAGCUAUGGUUUGUCAGUUCUCGGACUAAUAAAGUGUGUAAAAGUAUAGCUAUACAUGUCAUAAAUAUACUGUGAUAGUGUGGUGACUCCUGAUUAUUCUAAACUAUGUUUUGUUUUAAUAUAGUAAUGGAUCCUGAAGGAACUGCGGCUGAUGAUGCUGCUAGUAAUACGCCGGCUCCAACACAAGGGACUGCGCCUGUAGAAAGUAGACCUGAGACAUUGAGACAGGGAGAUGAGACUCGGGAAGCCUUUCUCCAAAUGAUGAACAAUUGGUACACUGAGUUUAUUCGAGCAAACCCAAAUGCUCAACCUCCUCCACCCCCUCCCAUACCUCAGACGAUUCCUGUAGCUACUCAAGGCAUAGAUUUGGUAAGAAUGAACAAGCCCCCAGUUGACAAGAUUCGAAAACAAGGGGCCGAAGAGUUUAGAGCAAAGAUUGAUGAUGAUCCCGAGAAAGCGGAGUUCUGGCUUGAAAAUUCUACCCGUGUAUUUGAUGAGCUCUCAUGUACACCCGAGGAGUGCUUAAAGUGUGCUGUAUCACUUUUGAGAGACUCAGCCUACCAUUGAUGGAAGACUUUGGUAGCAGUGGUGCCAAAAGAAAGGGUUACUUGGGAUUUCUUCCAGGAAGAAUUCAGAAAGAAAUACAUAAGUCAGCGAUUUAUUGAUCAAAAACGGAAGGAGUUCCUUGAAUUGAAGCAGAAGAAUUCAAAAAGAAAUACAUAAGUCAGCGAUUUAUUGAUCAAAAAUGAAAGGAGUUCCUUGAAUUGAAGCAGGGCAAGAUGUCUGUGGCAGAGUAUGAACGCGGAUUUGUAAGACUCAGCAAGUAUGCCCAAGAAUGUGUGUCCACCGAGGCCAUUAUGUGCAAAAGGUUUGAGGAUGGGCUAAAUGAGGACAUUAAAGUGCUUGUGGGAAUUUUGGAGCUGAAAGAAUUUGAAGUAUUGGUUGACCGAGCUCUUAAAGUCGAAGAAUUGAACAAAGGAAGAAGAAAAGCUGCUAUUGAGGCUCGAGAUUCCAAAAAGAGGCUGAUAAGCAAGUUAUUUCAAUCUCAAUCAAAGAGGUUCAAAGAGACAAACCCUCAAAUGAUAGUUUUAGUUGGGGAUUCACACAAAGAUCGUGGUAGGGCAUAUUUGGGGUCUAAAGCUCAAGCUACUUCAGUGGCAAGUGUGGGUAAUGUGCGAUCUAGAAAGCCCGAAUGUCAGCAAUGUGGCAGGCAACAUUAUGGUGAGUGUUGGGGAAACGAGCGAGCUUGUUUCAGGUGCGGUUCUCGCGAGCAUUUUAUCAGAGACUGUCUGGAGAAAGCUAAAGAAGAAAAAUUUCAGAGUGCUAGAUAGAGUACUACCGCUAGCAGAGGUAGACCACUGAGAAAUACUGGAAGUGGAGCUAACAGUAAAACUGUAAUGAAAGAUUUAGCGGUGAGAUUAGAAGCUAGAGGCCUGUUAAAGCUUAUGCCAUACGUGCCCGAGAGGAUGCAUCAUCUCCCGAUGUGAUUACUGGUACAUUUUCUCUUUAUGAUGCUAUUGUUAUUGCAUUGAUUGAUCCCGGGUCUACUCAUUCCUAUAUUUGUAUGAAUUUAGUAUCUAAUAAGAAGUUGCCUGUUGAGUUUACUGAGUUUACUAUUAAAGUGUCGAACCCCUUAGGCCAAUAUAUGCUAGUUGAUAAUGUUUGCAAGAAUUGCCCAUUAAUGAUUCAAGGUCACUAUUUUCCGGGUAAUCUGAUGUUGUUACCAUUUGAUGAGUUUGACGUUAUUUUGGGAAUGGAUUGGUUGACAUUGUAUGAUGCCAAAGUAGAUUGUAAACAGAAAAUACUAGAGUUGAAAUGUGAAAAUUGUGAAAUUUUGUGGGUUGAAACAGAUGAAUCAAAUAAAUUGCCUAUGGCGAUUUCGCACAUGUUUGCACAGAAAUACAUGAGGAAAGGGUGUGAAGCUUAUCUGGCCUAUGUAAUAAAUACUGAGCUGUCCGAAUUGAAGCUUGAAUCAGUACCGAUAUUCUGUCAAUUUCCAGAUGUAUUUCCAAAGGAAUUGCCUGGAUUGCUUCCGAAAAGAGAGAUAGAGUUUGCCAUUGAUUUGUUGUCGGGGACUGCACCGAUCUCGAUUGUUCCAUAUAGAAUGGCUCCGACUGAAUUAAAAGAAUUGAAGGCUUAGUUGCAAGAGUUAACAGACAAGGGAUUUGUGAGACCGAGUUUCUCUCCCUGGGGUGCUCCUGUAUUGUUCGUAAAGAAGAAGGAUAGCUCAAUGAGGCUUUGCAUUGAUUACCGUUAGCUCAAUAAGGUGACUAUAAAGAACAAGUACUCAUUGCCGAGGAUUGAUGAUUUAUUCGAUCAGUUAAAGGGGGCCACAGUGUUUUCAAAGAUCGAUUUUAGGUUCGGUUACUACCAGUUGAGAGUUAUGGAGUCGGAUGUGCCGAAAACCGCCUUUAGGACAAAGUAUGGACAUUAUGAGUUCCUUGUGAUGCCUUUCGGCUUAACAAAUGCUCCAGCUAUAUUUAUGGACUUGAUGAACUGAAUCUUUCGGCCAUAUUUAGAUAAGUUUGUAGUAGUGUUUAUAGAUGACAUUCUAAUUUAUUCUCGGGAUGAGUCUGAGCACGCCAAACACUUGAGAAACAUAUUGCAGAUCUUGAGAGAAAAGAAACUAUUUGCUAAGUUUAGCAAAAGUGAGUUCUGGCUUCGUGAAGUCAGAUUUUUGGGACAUAUAGUCUCAGGUGAUGGUAUUCGGGUGGAUCCGAGCAAGAUUUCUGCGAUCGUUGAUUGGAAACCGCCAAAGAAUGUAUCCGAGGUUAGAAGCUUUUUAGGCUUGGCAGGGUAUUAUAGACGUUUUGUCGAGGGAUUUUCGAUGAUUGCCUCUCCUAUGAAUAAGUUGCUGCAAAAGAAUGUUAAGUUUGAAUGGACUGAUAAAUGUCAGCAAAGUUUUGAAAAGCUGAAAGCACGAUUGACUGAAGCACCAAUUUUAGUACAGCCCGAGUCGGGGAAAGAGUUCAUAAUUUAUAGUGAUGCAUCAUUGACUAGCCUUGGAUGUGUGCUAAUGCAAGAGGGUAAAGUGGUAGCUUAUGCCUCGAGACAGUUAAAACCGCAUGAGAAGAGCUAUCCUGCACAUGAUUUGGAAUUGGCCGCUAUUGUCUUUGCCUUGAAGAUCUGGUGACAAUAUUUGUAUAGUGAAAAAUGUUGAAUUUUGACUGAUCACAAAAGUUUGAAGUAUUUGAUGAAUCAAAAGGAUUUGAAUCUACAACAGCGGUGAUGGCUUGAAUUAUUGAAGGAUUAUGAGCUAAUGAUUGAUUAUCAUCUGGGAAAAGCGAAUGUAGUUACUGACGCCUUGAGCAGGAAAUCUCUUUUUACUUUGAGAGCCAUGAAUACGGGGUUAGCAUUGUCCGAUGAUGGGUCAAUCUUAGUAGAGAUGAGGGCUAAACCGUUAUUUCUCCAGCUGAUUUGUGAUGCUCAAAAGAACGAUAGUGAGUUGCGAACCAAGAGAACUCAGUGCGAAUCGGGUUAUGACUCAGAUUUUUGAGUUGGACCAGAUGACUGUUUGAUGUUUCGAGACAGGAUAUGUGUACCGAAAAAUGAUGAAUUGAUUCAGAAAAUAUUACAUGAGGCGCAUAGUGGCUGUUUGUCAGUCCACCCUGGUAGCACAAAAAUGUAUAAUGAUUUAAAGAAGUUAUAUUGGUGGCCAGGCAUGAAAAGGGACAUUUCUGAAUUUGUAACCAAGUGUUUGAUCUGUCAACAAGUAAAAGCUGAGCAUCAAGUGCCUUCAGGAUUACUCCAACCGGUAAUGGUGCCUGAGUGGAAAUGAGAUAGGAUUACCAUGGAUUUUGUAACCGGUUUGCUUCUGACUCCUAAAAAGAAGGAUGCUGUUUGGGUAGUGGUUGAUAGGUUAACAAAGUCGACUCACUUUAUAUCGGUACGUACCGAUUACUCACUUGAUAAAUUAGCUGAAUUAUAUAUUGCUGAAAUUGUAAGGUUGCAUGUGGUACCUAUGUCUAUAAUAUCAGAUAGAGAUCCGAGGUUUACCUCGAGAUUCUGGAAAAAGUUACAAGAAGUUUUGGGUACAAAAUUGAACUUUAGUACCGCGUUUCAUCCACAAACAAAUGGUCAGUCGGAAAGAGUAAUCCAAGUACUCGAAGAUAUGCUUAGAUGCUAUGUUUUAGAAUUUGAAGGUAGUUGGGAGAAAUAUCUACCUUUGGUCGAAUUUGCCUACAAUAACAGUUUUUAGUCAAGUAUAUAGAUGGCACCGUACAAAGCCUUGUAUGGUCGCAAGUUUCGGACUCCUUUAUAUUGGACCGAACUUAGUGAGAAACAGAUUCACGGAGUUGAUCUAGUUAAAGAAACCGAAGAGAAAGUAAAAGUAAUUCGUGAUUGCUUGAAAGCUACUUCAGAUCGACAAAAGUCAUAUGCAGAUUUAAAAAGAAAAGAGAUUGCAUUUCAAGUGGGUGAUAAAGUGUUCUUGAAGGUGUCACCAUGGAAGAAGAUUCUGAGAUUUAGCUGAAAAGGCAAGUUGGGUCCGCGUUUUAUUGGGUCGUACGAGAUUAUUAAGAGGAUUGGACCAAUGGCAUCUCGGUUGCAUUACCGGCAGAAUUAGAAAGGAUUCAUAACGUGUAUCAUGUAUCAAUGUUGCGACGUUAUCGUUCUGAUCCUUCACAUGUGAUUUCUCCAACAGAAAUUGAGAUUCGAUCGGACUUGACCUAUGAUGAGGAACCGAUUAAGGUUUUGGCUCGAGAAGUAAAACAGUUGAGAAAGAAAAGUAUAGCUUUAGUGAAAGUGUUAUGGCAAAGACAUGGAGUAGAAGAAGCUACGUGGGAACUGGAGGAAGCCAUGAGAAAACAGUACCCAAACCUUUUUACUGGUAAGAUUUUCAGGGACAAAAAUCCCUAAAGGGGGGAGAGUUGUAAUAGCCCGAUUUAGGGCCAAAACAAAAUAGUGGUUUCGAAACCAUGAAUUUGAGGUUGAAAAAAAUUAUUUUCAUUAAGUUUUAGUGUUUAUAUUAUGAUUCCAUAAUCGUGUGAAAAUUUCGUUGUGAAAUUUUAUUGAUUGUGUGUUUAAUUUGACGUUUCGAACUAAAUUGAAAUAGGUGAAAAAUGUGUGUUCUAGUUCAUAAAGUACUUGAUUGAAAUGGGGGUUUUAAGCAGAGGCCCUUAAAUGGAAAUUAGACCAUUAUACUUUAUAUGGACAAAAAUUUGGACAUGGAUGGAAUUUUUAGAAAGUUUAGUAGUAAGGGCAUUUUGGUUAUUUGCAUAAUAAAUGAAAUAAAAUGGGAAAAAUAACACAAAAAUGUGUUCAUCUUCAUUUAGCUUGGUCGAAACUUGCAUGUUCUCCAUAGCUAGGGUUUGUUUCAAGCUUUCAAGCUCAAUAGUAAGUGCAUUCAAGCCCCGAUUUUUUAUGUUCUUUACAUUUUUGAAAUUCUCGUAGCUCGGUUUACCUAUUUCUACCAUUAUUUUGAGUUAGGGUUUAUGUUUAAAAAUUUACCCAUGAAUGAUAUGCAUGUAUUUUGAUGUUUGAUGGUAGAAUAUGAAUGUUUGAGGUUAGGAGAACGAUCUUUUCUAAGCGAUUUUUAGCGAAAACGAGCAAAACGGUAUAAUUUGUAAAAAUACCUAAUGCUCAUAAGUGCAUGUUAGAGUGAGAAUUUGAUGUUGUCAUAUAAGAGAAAAAUGAUCAGCAUGUCAUAAAACAUAAGAAUAAGGGCUAAAAUUAAAUUCUGAGUCUAGGGGAAAAAUCAUAAUUUUGUAAAAGUUAGGGGGCAGAAAUGUAAUUUUUCCAUAAUGUGAUUUUUGGAUUGAAAUAAAUAGUAUGAGUAUUAAAUGAGCUAAAUGUGUUGUUAUAGAUCAAGAAAGGCGUGGAAUCGACCUCAAACGGGGGAAGGAAAAGGUUUUGGACUAAAUUGUAAAAUUUCCAUAUUUUACACUAAGGUAAGUUUGUAUGUAAAUAAUACAUUAACUUUAUUUACAUUUUUAUAUUUCAGCCUAUUAUAUAUAUUUUAGCUAAUUUUAAAGCAUAAAUCGACUAUUGGAGGAAUGGAAAUAAGUAAUAGAGAGAAAAAUCUCUGUUGAACAUUCGGAAAGAUUGAAUAAUAUAGAUGGAGCGUAGCUAGGUCACAUGUAUGGUGCUGAGUGCACAUCAUGUGUACAAGAGAGCUACGAGAUACUAUGUAGUAGCUAGGUCACAUGUGUGAUACGGGAUGUAUCCCAUGUAGACAAGAGAGCUACGGGAGAGAUAAAUGUAGCUAGGUCGCAUGUGUGAUUCCAAGUGAAGGACACCAUGUAGACAAGAGAGCUACGAGAUAAAUUGGCUAGGUCACAUGGGUGGUACUAAGUGUUCACCAUGUGUACAAGAGAGCCAAAUUAUAUGAAAUAUGAUGGUGGGGCUGUGUGCUAAAACCAUCAAGUAUUGAGGAUUGAUCCGAAUUGUUCAACGGGAUGGUUUUAAGGUGACAUUGUAAUCAUGGGCCUAUACUUGUGAUGUAUGAAAUGUAGUGAGAAUGAAUUUUGAUAUGCAUGUUAAAAUGAGGUUAAUACAAAGAAAGUGUGAAAGAGUGAAUUAGCAAUAAUACUGUUUUGGACAGUCACAGUGACGUGAAUUUGAAAAAUCACCAAAAAUAGUAGGAAUUUAAUUAGAGGCUAAAUAAGAUAUGAAAUUAAAUCUUAAUGAGUCUAUUCUCAUGUAAAAGAACAGAGCAAGUAAAUGAACUCUAUAUUUUGAGAUAUUUAUAUUUGUGUGUGACUCGCUCAGAAUGACUAAGUGAUCCCCUGUUCUAACUUUGAAAAAUCAGUAAAAAUUGAAAAAAAAAUAAAUUAAGAAAUAUAGUUUAUAUUUCUAGAUUCCUUAUUGAGUCUAGUUUUAAAUGAAACAGAUUUCAUGAUAUUUGAAUUGUGUAAUGGGAGAAAUAUAAUUCGUAGUGAAUAGAGGUCAGAUUAGUUGAGCUGUAUAACAGGGGAAACUUUUAGUAAGAAGAGAUAUGAGUCUAGUUUCAGGAAAAUUUUACGGAUUUGAAUUUUGAGUUUUGCAACUCAAGUUAUGAUUUAUUUAGUGAAUAUGACACAUGAGAGACAGCUUGACCAAAGUGGAGUAAAUAGUAAAAUUAAAAAGUAGAUACACUUGAGUCAUUGUGUAAACAUAUUAAAUUGUUUAUUCAUUAUUUAUAUACUUUCUUACUAAGCUAUAAGCUUACUUUCUUUUCUCUCUUUUGUCUUAUAGUGUCGUCCAGCUUGCACAGGAGUCAAGGAUCGUUGAAGAUCUGCCUACACUAUCAAUACUUUUGGGUAUUUGAACUGAACAUUUUGAAUUAUGGCAUGUUUAGUAGACUUAGUUAAUUUGUUACGUGUCAUAAUUGUCUAGGUUUAAAAUAUUAAUUAUAGUAUCUGACCGAUUAUUUUGUACAAAGCCUUUGAAAUUGGCUAGUAUUGUUAAAGGCAUAUGUUAUAAUGAUUCAUGAUCUAAUUGCACGCCAUAUUUUUGUCUCGGUUUUAUUUAAUAGUACUACUAUGAUUUGUUAAUACCUCGUACCCUAUUCCGGUGAUGGAUACGGGUAAGGGGUGUUACAUGAUAUGCAUACAUAUGACGUUCUGCUUAGGUUGCAUAUGGGGUGGGAAUUAUGGUACGGAGGAAGUAUAUGAGGAUCGCAUGGUUGCCUAACAAUCGUGGAUCCACUGACGGCUUUUAAAGCCUAAUAUGUAAAUGAAGGUAGUUCCGCAACCGGGCUACCAUUAGUGUGUGGGCUGGGUGGGUCGAUAUUUAUAUCCCCACAUGGUGUGAUGGGGGACGGAGCUGGUGCGUAGCGGAUGGAUAAUUUGAAUGGGAUUGCAUUGCAUGUUUGAUGUAUGAUGAUUUUUGAAUGCUUGUUUUCCGUCGAGGGUUGUACAGACUGAGUUUGCGAAAACUCACCCCCUCUUUUAUUUUAUUUUCAGGUGAUACUCAGUAGACGGUUCGAUAUUUGGAAGGACUCUGGGUGGCCAGCUAGCAAGACAAAUUUGGACUCUUUUUUGACCAAAUUUCCAACCUCAAAAUCCUAAGUUUAAUCUAUGGGAUAAGUAAAAUUUGAACUAAUCAUCUCAAUUAUGCAUAAAUUUUCAAGAAUUAUUCAAUACAUACCUCAUUCUAGCCAUCAUCUAAGCCAAAAAUCAAACAACAAAACUUUCUUCUCCCUCACUUUAAGCUACGGCAAUGGAGGACAAGGAUGAACCAACUUUGGUUUCUCCUCCCACGAACUAUUAUCUAAUAUCUCCUUUUUAUUUAUUAAUUCAUUUGUAAUAUAAAAUGUUAAAUCAAAAAUACAUAUUAUAUAUAAAACAAUAUCAUGACCGGCCACUAUCCCAAAAAUGGGUACUUUGACAUGCAAGUCCACAUUUUUUAAUACAUGCAUUAAUAGAUCACUUUAUAUUUACCUAACCUAUUUCACAAAUGUCUCACAUAAGCCCUUUGACUAAAAUUCACAUUCAACUAACAGAAUUUAAGCAUCAAAAUUUCACACAUGCACUAUCACACAUAGUAGAUAUGAAUUUUAAUAUUUAAUAAAUUUUAUAACUCGAUUUUGUGGUCCCGAAACCACAUCUCGACUAGGGUCAAAUUAGGGAUGUCACAAAUGUACAUCUUAAGUGUGAGGGGGUCUUUUAUAUCAGAAAAAUCCCUGAAUUUUGUUUAAUUAAUAUAUCUUGAAUUAAAACAUAGGCAUUUAUGCAUUGAUUAUUUAAAAUUUAAGACAUUAGGGAAUCAAGCAUGAUAAGUUGAUUUUUGAUGAAUUAAAAACUUUUAGUUUG
rnacentral:lncRNA from 1 species